GAGAAUUGAAGAAUACUUUAGGAGCCGGUAUGCUCGUGAGCUUAGGGGAAAAUCUCAGUUGGAUUCCCUGAGAAUUCAACAUGGUCAAGGCUAGUAUAAGUUUAUUUUGGAUAACUAAAGAGUUUGGUACAAAAACUCUUAAGGACCUUGCUAUUAAGAUUGGCGUGGAACUGAAAAUAAGAAAUAAGUUCUAUGAAUACUGUGGUAUAACCUGCUAUGCUAGGGUCGUUGUGUAGCUCUAUCAUUUGAGAUACUGAAUAGACCAUGUAAGAAUCUUAAGAAUUGCAGACUUAUGCCUGGAAUCUUCCGAUGAUAUAUGGUGGUGCUUAUAUCAGAUCAGUAUCUUUCUUUCUUGAAAUAGAAUUUUUGCAUACCUGACUUGUUUUUAAUGAGAUUUCAAGGACUAUAUGACUUGGUUUCAAAUUUUUAUGAUACAUACAGAUAAUAUUACCACAGAACCAGUGUAGUUUCUGUAUCAGCCGUUAUAGUUUUCAGUUAAUAGUAACAAGUUUUUGAUUUUUAACAAGAAUGUUGUCCUUCCACGUCUUAAAUAUUCCGUUCCAUAACACACAUUGUGACGAAUACAUAACUUGUUACCAUUGACGAAAAAUUUUGCCAUCAAUAGCUGAAAAUAGAUGUUAGUUACACAAGCUGCAAAGCUAUAACUUUGGAUUUCAUAUUCAGAUUGUCCCUCUCAAAGUUGAACUUGGAACUACGGUUGAUGAUCUGCUAUUAUGCUGAGAAAAAUACAAGAUUUUUUUUUUGGUUGUCAUCAGACAAUGUAAAAGAAAUUAGCAUGGGAUCCAAAUUCUUGAGAGUUUGAUAAGGCAAUGCACUAUAUUUUUUUAUAACUCGCAGCAGACAGCAGCACAACAGCAGACUGCAACUGUCAUAUUCACAAAAUAUCUAUGGGCCAACCCUAGACCCGCAAUGGUGGAUUAGUCUCACACAAGGCCACAGCAAAUAAUGACUUGUAGAAAAUAAUACAUUUUCAACAUUUGCUUUGUCAAUAAAAAUCUGUAGCAUUAUUGUUGAGAGAAUUUGUGCAACAAAAAGAAGGCCAAGUUCGGAGGUUCUCUGCCUGUGCCUUGUGUUCAAGAGUUGGCCAAGAAUCCUAUGUUAGCUAUCCCCCCAGGUACAUACCACCACGCUAAGAUUUAACCACAAUUUCUGAUAAUAAUUUGGAUUCACGGGUAUUGCAGAGCUUGUUUUCUGAAGAGUCAAUGGAUUCUGAGUUGUCCAGGCUCCACUUCGCUAGCAAAGAAUGGGCUUCUUUCCAGGUAAAGUCCUUUGCCAAGUUAUUAUUAUUUUGCUUUUAAAGGAUUUGCUUGGGAUGAGACCUCAUCUACUAAAUACCACCCUUUGUCCCAUAUUGUUACUCGAGCGCAGAUAUCUGCAAAUUGCGAAUUACAUUCACAACCAGCUAAGCUACACCUGCCGUGAGGCACCCAAGUUUGUACUUUUUCAUUUGGACAUGCUUGGUUUGUUAAUAGUAGUCUGGGGUCAAGAAUUAAGAAAUCUGUAUACUCUCAAUCAAAGAGCACAGUCGAUCAAAUUCAGAUUAGAUUAUGUUCCAUUCUUAUAGGUCAAGUAGGCCACAAAUUUGGCCUACUCUGUAUCAAUGCUUUCUUACACUGUAAGUUAGCAAUAAGAAAGCUGUAACAAAAUUUGAGUCUACGUAGUCUUAACCAAGCCGGUUUAAGCACUCUUUUUUUUAAAAAAAAAAACAUUGAGGGAUGUAACUGACCUUGUCCGAUUAUGGACCCAUCUAACUUGCUUUCUUGUAUGGCUGAGAAGAAAAACCUGCAUUCUUGAAAAUUAAAUUGUCUUUAAUAUCUUUCAGAUGUCUAGGCUUGCGGUAGCUUGAGAAGAACUAUAAGCAAAUUUAUGAUGGAGUAUAAUGCAAAUGCGAUUCUAUUAGUUUAUUGAAAUCUAACAAAUACUUUUAUUCAUCGCACUCAGUAAAUUUUGCCUGAAUUAGUCCAAUAAGUUGUACUCUGUCUCAGCAAAAUACCUUGACCAAAAUAAAAAACGUAGUGACACGAUUGUUAAUGUCUUAGCUGUUUUUCUGUUUCUGAAUUGUUUCAGCUGGUAAAUCAUGGAGUGAGCCCUGCAUUUCUAGAGAACGUAAAGAAAGAGAUUCCGGAAUUCUUCAAUCUAAGCAUGAAAAAAAAAAAAUUGGCGGUCUCCAGGAGCUGUGGAAGGAUUUGGACAAGCAUUUGUUGUAUCCGAGGAACAAAAGCUUGAUUGGAAUAACAUUUUCUUCAUGACAACUCUUCCAGUUCAUCUGAGGAAACCCCACUUGUUUCCUAAGCUCCCUCUUUUCCCCCUCAAGUUUCUCUCUCUCUAGGCAGUUAUUUGAUGAUUGCAAAUGUAUUAUGUUCAGAGAAAGAUCCCAAGUCAGUUAUAUUUAGCAAAAUUUGACAACCAAACAUGAUUUUGAAAGAAUACUGCUAAAUAAUAACUUAUUUAACAAUCCACCACAAUCAUGUACUAAACCUUCUAAUUGCGUCUUCUUUUUUCUUGUAGGAAAUUUUGGAAUUUAUUCAGUGGAGUUAAAAAUCUUUGGCCAUGAACCUGGUAUCGAAAAUGGGAAAAGUUUUAAAUAUCAAAGACGAAGAAUUGAGAGAAUACUUUGAAAAUGGUUUCCAAUCAAUGGGGAUGAACUAUUACCCUCCAUGUCCUUAGCCGGAGAAGGUUGUGGGCCUCACAACUCAUUGUGAUGACUCUGCUCUUACCAUUCUGCUGGAAAUCAAUGAAGUAGAAGGCCUCCAGAUCAAGAAGGAUGGAAAGUGGAUUCCUGUUACACCUUUCCCAAAUGCUUUCGUUGUCAACAUUGGAUAUGUGUUGGAGGUAAUUAUUAUGAUAAGUUAUUUUAACUUGACAUUCAUAUGAGCUAGCUAAUGUGUGCUUUCAUUAAUUCAUGUUGCUCCACUUCCUAAUGCUUUCAUUGGAGACACAUUGGAGGUAAUAAUUAUAGUAAAUUACUUAACUUGGCAUUUAUAUGCGCAUGCUCAUGUGCUUUAAUAAUUUUUACAUGGCAGAUUAUAACCAAUGGGACAUACCGUAGCAUUGAGCAUCAUGUAAUUGUAAACUCUGUACAAGGAAGACUUUCCAUUGGCACAGUUUACUCAGUGAGGUAUGAUGGUGAAAUGUACCCUGCGUCCAAUUUGGUCUCUGAAAAUACUCCUUCAUUGUUUAAAAGAGUGAAAGUUGAAGAAUAAUUUCAGGAAUCUGUGUGCUCGUAAGCUUAGGGGAAAAUCUCAUCUGGAUGCCUUGAGAAUUGAACAUGUUCAAGAUUAUUAUAAGUUUAUUUUGGAUAACUAAAGAGUGUAGUACAAAAACCGUGGGGGACCUUGCUAUUACAAUUGUGUGUGGAACUAAAAAUAAGAAAUAAGUGUAAGAACAAUAAAUCCUUUGGUGAAAAUCAUCACCUCAAUUUAGGAACAUGUAUGUUGUAUCACCAAAAAUUAAUAAUAGAAUAUGCGGCAGUGUACCUAAGUUCAUAAUGCACAAUUGCUCUUUAGAGCCGAGUAGUUUGUCUUCCAAAUAAACAUGUUCUCCUAAAGAAUUCUUUAAACUUCUCUAUACUGUCUCUUUAAUGAUGAGAUGUCAAUAGAGAAUAGAACAAUACGUGUGACCUAUGGAUAAUAACUACUUAUAUAUAUAGAUUUUCCUUUUGUUUUUAGGUAUUCUUAUUUCAACCCAUUAUAAAAAUCAAAAUUAGUCUUAAGUCUCUAUACAUUAAAGGCCCACAAUCUAUUAGAUACAUUAAAACCCAAAUUACCGAAAACCUUAAUAGACCAAUUUUAAUUUGGCUUAGAGUUAGACUAUUGGCACCCCUCCAAAAUUCUUCUAAAACCCCUUUUUCAAUAAUGCUAAGCUUAAUGCCAAAAAUACCCUUAUUUCUAAAUAAACACAUUUAAUUUGUGAAUCUUUUAAUUUUUAUUAUUUUCUCGCUCCUCACAAACAAAAUUUUAUGGGUGAUAAGUUUCUUGAUAAAAAUCAAUUAAUAAAAUAAAAUAUCUGUAAGAUUAUAAUGUAAAAAGUUUUAUUAUGAGCCUUAAAAAAAGGUAGAUAAUUUUUUCAAAAUGUGUUUUGUUUAUUAUCAAUAGAUUGUCUUAGUAAUUGAAGAAAAAUUUACAGAGAAUUUGAGAAAAAAAUUACAUGUGUGAGUUUGAUGGCAGAGAAAAUACAAGAGCUUUUUUUUUAAGAGAGAAAAUACAAAAGUUUGAAGUGAGAUAAAAUAGAUGUGAGAUAUAUUAGAGUAUUUGUCCUUAAAUGUAAUUGUAAUAGAAGAGGAAGUUUAAAAGGAUUUUGAAGGGGUGUCAAUAGUCCAACUCUUUGGCUUAAUCUUAUAUGACAAUUCACAUCAUAUAAUUAUUCACAUAUAAGCGCAACAUUGGAUCAAGGAUCCAACCAUACCAGAUUAAAGAUCCAACAACCUUUCACUUGGACUAUAUAUAUAACUUUGUAAUUAUACUUUACAAAAAUAACUAUAUGAGGUCAACUUUACUGUCAUUACCAAAAUGCAUCUAUAGCCAAUUCGGUCCAUCUAUCAUACCAACAUAGGAUCAAAAUGACCUUUAUUACAAAUAUCGUAACUUGACCCAUCAAUGCUCACUAUGCCAGCAUAACUUAAUGACAUAGAUCAUGAUAUGGUGUAGGAUGGAAAUUUUAUGUAAUGUGAUUUCAACAUGCCUAUUUUCAAUUGAUCCACCUUAAACAUUAGUGAGAUCAAAUUAUACAAAAUUAGAGUGUAAAUAAACCAAAAUUUUAUUUCUGUAGAAAAUAGCCUUAAAUAUCCCCAAACCGAAAAAUGUUUAUAUCAUAAAAGCAUUUAAAAGUUACAAACUCCCAUUAAAAAUGAAUAUCAAUAUCCUUUAAUGACAUGACACCCAUAUGAACAAUGUGCUCAUGAAACAUUUUAAAUGACAUUCCCUUAGUAAACGGAUCUGUAAUCAUGGAGUUUGUACCAUUAUACUUUAUAGACAAUUGUCCACUCUGAAUUCCUUAGGAACUUGAUGUCUAUAUACUGUGACAUCGUUGAGCUCUUAUUGUUAUUGGAAUAUAGCACUGCUGACUUAUUGUCACCAAAUAACUUAAGUGGUCUAUCAUAAGGGUGUCAAAAAAGCCUGCCCGGACCGGACCCGGCCCCCGGACCGCAUGCACAUAAAAACCGGACCCAGGUUUGAAAUUCUCAAACCCGGACAUUUCCGGGCCCGGGUCCGGGUUCAACACCAAAAACCCGGAACCCGGACCGGACCCGGUUUUUUAAUAAAUUUUUUUAAAAAAUAUAUAAAUAUAUAAUUAUGAAUUUAUGAUAUGUUGGAUGUUAUUUAAAUUUAUUGUGUGAUUAUUGUGUUGUUGAAUUUAAUUUAUUUAUUUUAUAUAUAGAUUGAAUGAGUUUAAGUUAGAAAUUGGAUGAAUUUAGGUAUUAGAAAGUGGAUUGAAAUAAUUUUAAUUUAUCAUUUGUGCAAAAUUUGCAUUGUUAGUGUGUUAUAUAUUUGUAUUUGACUAUUUGCUUUUUUAAAGUUUGAGAUUGAAUGAGUUUAUUUGAUUAUUUUCUUUUUUUAAAUUUGCAUUGUUAGAGAAAUGAAAGAAAAAAUUGAAGAAAAAAAUUGAAGUUAUCACAUGCGGGUUUAGAAAGCCCGGAUCAAAACCCGGACCCGGAAGGUGCCGGGCUCAACCCCGGACCGCACCCGAAAAAAUUGGGUUUUAACCCGGGUUCGGUCUUGUAUUUCUCUCAUCCAGUCCCGGGCAACACCAAAACCCGGACCGGACCCAAAUUUUGUCAAGCCUAGUCUAUCAAUACUAUUUAAAAUGAGUAAUUCUAUGACGAAAUUUUGUAGCCAUAUUCCUUGAUUGGAUAUUUCGUAACAUGCUGUGAACUCCGCUGCUAUAGUAGAAAAGGCUAUAAGAGACUGUUUAGCACUCUUUCAGGAAACAACACCCCUAGCCAGUAGCUAGAUGUAACCAAAAGUAGAUUUCAUAUUAUCUUGGGAUCUAACAAAAUCAGAGUUAGCAUAAUGAUCUCAAGCUGAUCUAACUUUCGAUGUAGUCUUUUGUUCUCUGUAAGUAUCGCAAGACCCGUUUGGCUGUUUCCCAAUAGUUUACCCCUGGAUUACUUAAAUAUCUAUCCAACAUUCCAGUAAUGUAUGCAAUAUUCAGUUGCGUACAAACCUAAACAUACAUCAGACUUUCUAUUACUGAUGUAUAAGGAAUCUUCUACAUUUUUUAUUCCUUAAAAUCAUCAUUAGGGCACUAAUUGUGUAACAUCCAUUAUUUUUGUUUUAUUUAUUUAUUUUUUAUUAUUUUACUACUACUACUACUACUACUACUACUACUACUACUACUACUACUACUAUUAUUAUUAUUAUUAUAUCUAUUUUAGAGAAUAUAGUAUUUUAGGCUAAUGAUUUUAAGCGUGUUUUAAUUUUUCUUUAUUUAUUUGAUUUACCAAUUUAGUAAAUACCUUAUUAAAAAAGGAAAUAAAUUCCUAAAUAGGUAAGGGUGUUAAAAGGCUUGGCUUUAUAAAAGCUUCUCUUGCGUUGUUUUAUUUCUCAAAAUCCUAGAGGCUGAAUACAACAACACACACAAGAGUAAACCUUUUUUUUUUAAGAAGAGAAGUAGAUUUUGAUUGGUUUUUUUCUUUUCCAUAAAGAAAUUCUUGAGUUUUGAAUUUGUUUUGAAGGAUUUAGCCUUCUGGUUUUAUUUGUGAUUUUAUGUGAUUGAUUGAAUGAUUUUGUGUGUAUUACAUUGAUAAAAUUGUGAAAGCAUGAUCAUCUAUUGAUUUAUGUUGUUAUUGAGUGAAAGUGGUGCUAUUAUUUUAUCUUGAAAACAGUGAACAACAUAGAUUCAAUGUUUUAUGACUGCUGUUUUCAUUAAGUCUCAUGCAUAAAAUUUUAUAAUUUAUUAAACUAGACAUCUUUAUCUUUCUAUUUAUAUGUUUAUCGUUCAAAACUCAUUGUAUAUUAAUUUUUUUGAUUUUUCAAAAUUGGAACACUAGUGUUGGAAAAUUCCAAUUUUCAGCAGCAGUUCUCGUUACUAUAAUUUAUUUGGUAACUCAAACGAUUUCUGAAAAUUCUAGGAACGUUUUUCAUUUUACACAUAUAUGUCUAGUUUCUGUAUACUUAAAUUCCUAAUUUUUGGCUUUAUAUAAAAAUAAUUAAAAAUCAUAGAGCUAGGCUACCGUAAUAUUGGAAAUUGUUUUCUAGAAUUGCGAGGGUUGAUAUUGAAGCGAGUUUGGGUUACUUUUUCAUAGUGAAUGCUAGGGGUGGGCAAAAUACCCGACCCGAUCCGACCCGAAAAAAUUCGGGUUCGGGUCGGUUCGGGUUGUUAUUGAAACCCGAACGGGUGAAAAAUUGCAAACCCGAUCGGGUUGUGAUUGGGUCGGGUAAAACCCGAUCCGAUCCGAAUACCCGAUCGGGUCGCACAAAAAAAAAAAAUCACUAAACCUAUAAACACAUCACACAUGCACACACCAGACACCAGACACCACACACACGGCCAUGCAAAGUUACAACUCAAAAAGUCACAAAAACAAGUGGCUAAAAAAAUAUUGACAAAUAAAAAACAAAAUAUAAUUAUAACCCACGCACACAGGCCACAGCCACACACAAACAUUGAAACAUAUCUUCGCUGCCUUCACAGCCCUCAUCCCCACAGCCCUCAUCCUUACACUCACAACUUCACACACACACACAAAUAUCGCAAAAGCCAAAAGCAAAGCGGCAGCUAGCAGCCAACGCAGAGAAGAGAACGGAGGAAGCGCAGCCAGUGCAUGCAGCCACCUAACCCGUGACUGGAUCUACUGCUCCGCGACAUCCGUAGCUACCAGAUCUGCUGUUGCCGGAUAUCUACAGGAUCUGUUGCUGCUGGAUCCGCUGCGCUGCUAUCGGAUCUGCUGUUGCAGCCUCCACCAUCACCGAGUUCCACCGCGAAGGUGCGAACCGGCAACUCGAAUUCUUUUCUUUUUUUGAUGUUUUGAUGGGAUAUAAUAAUAUAUUAUAUAUUAUCUGUUAAUUGCUAAGUAUAUGUAUUGUUAAAUGUUAAUAAUAAAAUGAGGGAAAUUCUUGUAUGGAAAGUUUUGGAGUUUAAUUUAUUAAGUCUGUGGAAGCUUAAAUAAUAAGUAUGAAUUGAUUUCUUUUUUUUUGUUUUGUUUUUAAUGAAUAGAUUAAGCAAAUUAAGCAUUAAAAUUAAAUAUUUUGCAUUUGAUCUGUGCAAUGUUUCACCCGAUCCGAAUUAACCCGAAUUUAACCCAAUUAUUUGACCCGAUCCGAUCCGAUCCGAAUAUAUUCGGAUCGGGUUACAACUUCGGGUUGAGUUCGGAUGAAUUCUUUUCUAACCCGAUCAACCCGAAAUCCAAUCGGGUUGAUCCGAACCCGACCCGAACCCAAAAAUGCCCACCCCUAGUGAAUGCCUUAUAAAUUUAACUUUUAUAUUCAAUGCAAACGUGUUCACAAUAGUUUUUUGUAAUAUUUUUGAUUUUUCUGACAUAAUUAUAGCUUGUUAGAAAUUAACUCUUACAAGACGAUCGAGUGUAGUUUAGUGAAUUGAUGUGCUUUAGUAAGAGUAAAUGGUUUAAGGAUAUUUUGGCUUUCUUAUCAACGUCAAAAUUGAAAAAAAAAAUUGAUAAGAAUCUUAUCUUGAUAAUUAUAGGCCAAGAACGAGCUCGUGUGAUUGGGGUUAUUGUUGAUUGCUUCGUAUUGAGUUAAGUGAACUCAUGCAUAAUGUUUAUUAUAGUUAUAUAUGUAAAUAUCUAGAAAAGAAUAAUGUUAUUCAUAUAAAUUGACAUUUUAUGGUUUUGAAGUUAUUUUACUCUUAUAUUUUAUGAUAAUAAAUAAUGUUUUGAUUAAAACUUUAUUUAAAAUAUUUUCUUAAACUAUUUAAAAAAUAACUUUAAAAUAAUUGUCUUUCCAUAAAUUGGUCUUCCUUAAAAAUAUUUGUUAAGCUUGCCAAUUCAAUGUCUUAUAAGAGCAUUUUAUCAUAAUAUUACUGAAUGAUUGAUAUUGAAAGACUGAAAUUGUAUUUAAGAUUUUGGCUCAUUAACCGUAGUUAUUGUUGCUGAUAUAACCGAACAUUUAACUAUAUUGUGCGCACCUAUUGAUGAUUAUAGUUGGGUAACGUACCCUAAUUGAACUACUAACCGAGUCAUCGGGGUUAUAGGUGACUUACUAAACUAAUACCGGGUCAUUAGGGUUAUAGGUGACUUAUUGAACCACUGGCCGGGUCACCGGAAGUACAGGCGACACUAUAUGACAUGAGCAAUUGAAUAAAUGAAUGGUUAUAUUGAUAAAUGAUUUCCGAAAUGAUUAUUUAUUAAAAAUGGUUAUUACAUUAUGAUUUAACUAAUUAUAAGUUUUAAUGUACACUUAUGGUACUUUAUAAUGAUUGUUUUGUAUUUUAUCGUUAUUAGUAACCUUAUGCAUGAGUUAGUGUUGAGUGUUAGAAAAUGCAUAUUUAUAAAGGAGAAAAUUGUCAUUUUACAUUUCAUGUCUUACUAACAGCCCUUACUUUUAUGUAUUUAAGCUUCUUGUAAUUUAAUUAUGUGUGUUUUAUUUUAAUUAAGUAUUUUAUGUAUUUUAGGGGCAUCAUGGUCAUUUCACAAUAAACGAGAGAUCAGACGGCAAAAUGGACAUCACUUUUGAACUCAGGACGGUUGAAAAUCUUAGGAGGAGCAUAAAAGGAAAAAUGACACUGUUCACAUGUACGGUACUGUCUAUGUUACUAUUCACGACACUGUUCACAUAGACGGAUCGAUGAUGUGGCAUUGACCGAUGAUGUGGCAUUGACUGAUGAGGUGUCACGAUCCUGUUGGACUAAAAUUCUUAUGCACUGUUGAUUGAUGACGUGGCAGCAUAUCAGUGGACCAAAAAUCUCGCGUACGGUACAUGCAUUAUACAGGAUUAUUUUCAACCAAACUGAGUCACUGUUCAACUCGGGGCAAACCGUGUUACUGUUCAUCCAAGUGGUCAAACCGCAUACUGUUGACUGAUAACGUGGCGCAAUCCUGAGCGUCCAAACUGUUUUUAAUCCGAUGGCCACGAUUUACUUAAUGUAUCUACAAAAAGGGGGCCUCCCCUCUAAUUUGAUACCUCUGAAUCCAUUUUUUGGAUCCAUUUUCUAUAAUUCCUUCUCCAUCUUGUAUUUUCUACGUAUUUUAAUAAAUUUCUAUUUUGCCCCUAGUUCAAUUAUGAGUAACUAAUUUUCUUUCAAGCUUGGGUUGAAGGUGAAGUCUCAACAUGUGUCAUGGGCUUUAUUUGGUAAAUUUAUUUUCUCUUCCCCUCUAGUUUUUGUGGAUGUUUUGACUUCUCGUCGAUAAAUAAUAAUAAUAUUGUUUAGUACCGCCUUGGUUUCACCGGCUCCCUAAUACAAAGUUAUUAUUAUUUGGCACGAUAAGCCCUUAGCACCAUAUUGAUUAGAGCGUAGUUCAUGAGGUGUGAAUUCCCCCCUCAUGAUUUAAUUGGUAUUAAUAAGGAAUAUUUAGCCCAUGGUGCAUUUGAUAUGAAUUCAAAUACCCAAGUACGUCAAUUUAAUAGAUUUUCACUUUAAUUUCUUCUCGCCAUUUCAAUUCCAAUUUUUAGGAUAAUUUAAAUCACUUCCACCACAAAUCCAACCACCUCAUACAAAAUUAAUUCUAUAUAUAAUUAAAAUCCACCUCCUCGUGAGAUCGACACUCGUCACUAUUAGUCUAUUAUACAAUAGAUUCGUAAGCUUGCGAGUUCAAUAAAAUUUGCACAACAAGUUUUUGGCGCCGUUACUGGGGAGGUAAGUUAUUUUAAUUUGUAGAAUUAAUUUUUGUCAAUAAUUUCUUUUAUUUGUUUUCUUUUUUUUUCUUAUUAAAAAAAAGGGAAAAAAGAGAGUGAAUUUGCAUUGAGAGAUUAGUAUUUCUUUUCUUUUUCUCUUCUUUAAAAUUCUGUAAUUUAAUUUUCAAGUUAUUUUUUUCUUCUUUGUAAUUUUUGUUUAUCUUACUAAUUUUUUUAAGUUAAUUUAUUUCACGUAUUUUUUUGUGUGUAUUUUUAUAGUAAGGUUGUAAUAGCGCGAUAAGGUUAGUAUCGUAAUUUCUCCCUCUUCUUUAUUUUUAUUUGUUUUGUUCCCAUCUUUAUUUUUAUUUUAUUUGUUUUACAUGCAUAGUCGAAGAUCAUUAUUACCUAAUCUUAAACCUAUAGACCUGGAACUAGAAAAAAUACUUCGCACACACAAGCACGUUAAAAAUAAAUUUGGAAUGGAUUUACAAGUACCACAAGAGAGGCCAUUUAAGGACUAUUUUAGUCCUUUAGCUAAUUUGAGCACAUCAUGUAUAAGAUACUCAAAUGUAGCUGCUACGAGUUUUGAACUAAGACCUAGUCUGCUAAAUUGUCUCCCAACAUUCUAUGGCCUAGAAAAUGAGGACCUUUAUAAUUAUUUGAAUGAUUUUCAUACUAUUUGUCAAACAUUUAAAUAUGAGAAUUUUUCAUAUGAUGAUGUAAAACUUAGACUAAUCCCAUUUUCUUUAAAGGAUAGAGCUCGUUCAUGGUUUAAUAUAUUGCCUGCUAAUACCAUUUCAUCAUGGGAACAAAUGGUAACGAAAUUUUUAAAUAAAUAUUUCCCAGUGCAUAAAACUAAUGCUAUUCGCAGGGAAAUUUCAAAGUUUACCCAUAGAGAAGAUGAGCAGUUUUUCGAAACAUGGCAGUAAUUUAAUGGGCUACUCUUGAAGUGUCCACAUCAUGGGUACGAGAAAUGACACCAAUGCCAAUACUUUUUGGAGGGAUUGUUGCUGAAUGUGUAAGAAUGACUAAUGGCAACAAGUGGAGGAGAGCUAAUGUCAAAAAGUGCAUCAGAGAUUUGGGAAUUCUUCUAGCGACAAGUGGAUAAUUCCCAACAACGGAGUCGAUCACUCAGGAAUACUAGAAGAAUUAAGGGAGUGAAUGAGGUUCACAUUGACGAGUCAACUUCAGGAAUCAAAGAAGUCAAGGAGAUGGUUGAAGGUAUCGCUCGACAAAUAGCAUCAUUAUCGACUGCUAAAUCAACAGAGCCACAUGACCAUGACUCAUACUCAGAUCAAGCCAAUACCAUAGGUGUAAUGAGAAGCCAUCAAAUUACAACCCAUACUCCAACACAUAUAACCCAGGAUGGAGAGACCACCCCAAUUUUUUAUGGUCUCAAGGAUUCCAACAGAAUGAAGCAGCAGCUCCAGCUCCACCAAUGCAACGAAUUCCUCAAGUUCCUCAAGCCUCUCAGCCACCAUUUAGACCAUACAAUCAGAACCAGAACUACUCUCAACCCAGACCAUGGGAGGAUGCAUUCCAGAAUUUCAAGAAUGUUACUCACUCUACGAUUGAGCAACAGAACCGCACCAUUGAUAGACUACGAAAUGAGUUGAGAGCAGGUUUCAACUCACAAGCCCAAUCAGUUUCAAGCCUUGAGAAGAUGGUGGGACAACUUGUUUCUUCAGUUCAGACCUUGGCAAUGACCGUUGAGAAAGGUAAAUUUCCAAGUCAACCAGUGCCUAAUCCUAAAGGAGUACAUGAUGCAAGUACUAGUUCACCACAGCAGCAUGGAGAGGUAAAAGUUGUCAUGACUUUGUGAAAAGAAAAAGAAGUCGACAACAAAGUGGAGAUGUAGGUGAUAAAAGAAAAUCAAAUUGUACCUGUAAAUGUUGAGGACUCAUCACCGGAGGAGAAAGAAGAAACGAACCUACGAGAAUAUGUUCCUAAAUCUCCAUUUCCUCAGAGGUUAGUAAAAGGAAAAAAGGAAAAAUUCACAGGUGAGAUUCUUGAAAUCUUCAAACAGGUAAGUGUUAACAUCCCUUUGUUUGACGCUAUAAAACAAGUUCCAUCUUAUGCUAAGUUUCUUAAAGACCUUUGUAUUAAAAAGAGAAACAUUCAUGUUCAAAAGAAGGCAUUUUUGACAGAAAACGUUAGUUCUAUACUCCAACAUAAAAUUCCUCUAAAAUGCAAAGACCCAGGCUCCCCCACUAUCUCAUGUAGUAUAGGGAACCACACAAUUGAAAAUGCUUUGUUGGAUUUAGGAGCUAAUGUAAAUCUGUUGCCUUAUUCAGUUUUCGUGAAACUUGGAUUGAGAGAAUUACACCCAACUCCAGUGGGGUUGCAGCUUGCAGAUCGGUCCACGAAAAUACCUCGUGGCAUUAUGGAAGACGUGCUUAUCCAGGUAGACAAGUUUUAUUUUUCUGUUGAUUUCAUUGUAAUUGACACUCAACCAAUUCAGGAUUCAAGGAAGCACAUCCUCAUUAUUCUAGGCCGACCUUUCUUGGCAACUGCAAAUGCUCACAUUCAAUGCAGGACUAGAAAUAUGCAGUUGUCCUUCGGCAACAUGACUAUGGAGCUGAACAUCUUCAACAUUGCCAAAUAACCUCACAAUGCAGAUGAUAAAAUUGUUGAUGCGGAUUUAAUAGAAACAUUAGUUGAUAAUACCUUUGUUUCAAACCUUAGUGAUGACCCUUUACAAACAUGUUUAACUCAUUUUGGUUUGGAUUUUGAUAUUGACAGAUCAGUCGAUGAGGUCAACGAAUCACCGUUUAAUUCCAGAAACGAGAUUAUGUGUCUGUCCGUUUACCCUUUCACCGUUUGCCACAAUCGGUGAACCGUUUUUCAACAGAGAGUCCUCUAACAGUUACUCCUUAGCCGUUAAGCGCUUAGGCUUUCACCGUUUCCCUUUCUUCAGCCUCUGGAAGUUACCCUUUAACCGUUUUCGCGAAGUCUAAAAUCUGUUCAAAGGUUUUCUUCUCCUUCUCCAGUUACCCUUUCACCGUUUCCUCCAUUGUUGCGCAGCCGAAGGUUUCUUUGUCCUCAAAUCCUCAUUUUUUCUUGCUUUCCUUGCCAAAUCAAACCUUCAAAAUUAUUUCUUAUCACCUUUAGAACAAUUCUACCGAUUCAAAACUUCAAAUCGAGCCCAAAAUUAAAAAAUCCCAAAUCUAAACCCUAACUGUCGCGGGUCGGGUUUCUUCAUUCUUAAUCCGAUUUCCACAUUUCUUCAACCAAAUUGAACAUCCUACUCACAUCCUCUACUCUUCUUUAAACCUUUUAUCGAUUUACUUUCGUCCCAUUACGUGUUUCCAUGGCUGAACCCUCUCGGAGAAAUCCCAGGCGUAAAUCUGUGCCCCCAAUGAAUCCCAUACCACCUCGGGAGGUCUCUGAGUUUUCAAGGAUUCACUUCCCCACACCUGCCUUGGCUAAGCGGUUCGAAGAUCGCUUUGAUGGUCGAAAGGUACUUGAUCCUUUUUUUGUUGAUAUUGAUAAUUUCCGCAACUUAGUUGUAUGUGGUAGAAGCAUUAGGGAUAUGCUUCAGCCUUGGGAGGCUGCCAUUGAUUUUGAUGACCGAGUUUAUCCAAACUUAGUGCGAGUCUUUUAUUCGAACAUGGAAAUCUCCGACACUCGCCUAAAUAGGAUAGUUACUCAUGUCGGCCGUGUGCCAAUAGAGUUUGAUGAUGCGGACCUAGCUGACCUUCUUGGUAUCUCUUGUGAGGGGCUUGAUAUUUACACCUCUAGGAAAGCCCUCUCCUUUGAUAGUUUUUCUCAUACUCAUGGCGUCCGUAAUAUAUGUCGUCGUCAAGACUUAUCGGAUGAGAUUUGUUUGCUUCCGUUUCGGUCUCAACUUUUACCUCUCCAAGUUCGUAUUCUUCACACUAUUUUACAGCACAUAGUGACUCCUAGGAAGGGUCACUCGGAUGAGGUUACGAGGUUGGACGUUCCCUAUUAGAUAGCCUUCUUACAGACCGUCCCAUUAACCUCGGGUAUAUUAUUGUGCGACAUAUGUUGAGUACUCCAGCGAUCAACCAUCGCUUGCUUCCUUAUGGCAGUAUCAUCACUAAAAUACUGCGACGCUUUGAGGUGCCACUUCUUGAUAUUGGACAUAUGGAGACUCGACGGAUUGGUUCCGAGGCCAUGACCAGUAUCGGAUUCUCUAGAAAGAAUGGAGUGUGGAUAAAGACAAGCAACUCCAAAAACCGGGAUACCUUGAUUGCUCCAGAGGACGAUCGGAUGCUCAAUGAUGUCUAUUCUCCCGAUCAGCUUCUUGACUUUAGAUUAGGAGCUCAUCCUCAUCCUCCGCGUCGCCAUUUUUUCCCUCGGCCUCCAGCUGACUCAGACUUUGAGGAGCGUGCGAUGGAUGCUGAUAUUCCCUCCUCUUCCGAGCCGCCUCCUGCUCCUGAGCCUUAUGCUGUUCCCGAGCAGCCAUCUGCCUCUAUGCCGCCUCCAGCUCCAGUUCAGCCCCUUGCUUCAGAUGCAGUGCAGCAGCUGAUUACUGAUGUUCAGCGGAUUUCGGAGCGACAGCAGCUGAUUCUUGAUCGGUUGGACAUCAUUUCCCGUGAUCACCAGCAGCUCCGCUCUGACUUUCAGAUUUUCCAGCAGCAGAGCAUUGACCAGUAGCUCAAGCUUAUCGCCGGACAGCGCACUCUUCUCAGCUAUUUCGGCUAUGAUCCGGGGAGCACAUCUUCUCCGCCUCCAUAGUUUCUGAGUUCUGUUUUCGCACAUACAUUUUUCCAUUUUGGUUGUUAGCUUUUUCAUACUUCGUAUAUGGAUUUUGAUGCAUAUGUGUGUGAUGUUCUUGAUGAUUAGAUGAUUGAUGCUUUGUGAUUGAAUAAUUGUUGGUAUGUUUGUGGAUAUUGAAGUGUUCUUUUGUUUUGAUCAUGGAGUUGUUGGCUUGUUGAAAGAAGAAGUUGGUGUCAAUCUAUUUUUUGAAGUGUUCUAUCUCAUUUUGUAUAAGUGGUUUUGAUCAUUUUUAAGGGGAAACUCUGCCAAAAUUUUCGCUCGCCAAAGCCGGGCAACUUCUUUAAUGGAUUUGUGUAUUUCUUAUUUCUUCUUUUCUUUUUGAUGAUGAAGGGGGAGAUAAUUAUGGUUUUUAAGAUGGUUUUUAAAUGGGGAGAUAUUAUUUUAAGAUGGAUUUAAAAUGGGGAGAUUUAAAGAAAAAAUCCUUUUAUUCAUAUUUCUCAAUUUGUCCAUACAUGUAGGGGGAGCACAUAUUAAGGGGGAGCUAAACAUUGAAUGAAAUUUGUCAUCAUAAAAAAUGGGGAGAUUGUUAACAUAAAUAUGUUAAUAAUAUUGAUUUUGAUGAUAACAAAUUUUAUAUGGUUUUUGACAAAAAUAUUGGAGAUAUUUCUUAAUAAACGAAAGCCCUUUUAUUCAUUGCCUUAUUUUUUCAUAAAAGAUGGACUUUCAAAUUAGAAAGAGAUUCUCUACAAAAAAAAAAACUCGUUUAAAAUUGCAAUUCUGGUUAUAAACGGUUAACCAUUUUAAACGAUUAAAGGCAGAGAGCAACAUAUUUCCUAAACCUUUAACCGUUUAUGAAAAACGGAAAACACAAAAGAUGGGAAGGUUACUGGAACUUAACGGUGAACCGUUUAUUUUAAACGGUUAACCGAUUAACACCAGAGAGCGACAUAAUGCCUAAAGCUCUAACCGUUUAUGAAAAAUGGAAAUCACCAAGAAUGGAAAGGCUACUGGAACUUAACGGUGAACCGUUUAUUUUAAACGGGUAACCGAUAAUGUCCAGAAUUGAAGGUUGUCCUCCUCUGGCACUGAUUAACGAAAAAUGAUAAGGCUAAAUUAUUUUGCAGGUUACUGGAGACAAACGGCGAACUGUUUAUUUCAAACGGUUAACCGAUAAUAUCCAGAAACGUUACUUCACGCAAGUUCUUAACCGUUUAGCGUAAACGGAUAACAAAUGCUCAUCUUGCAGGUCUCUGGUAGUUAACGGCUAAAGGUUAAUUACAAACGGCAAACCGUUUAUUUGAAAUCUAGCCCAACGGUAACUUUGACCAACCGAAACGGUUAACCGUUUAGGGUUAACGGCGAACCAUUUUCUGUCCGACAGUUUGUAACGGCUAGAUUUUCAGCUCCAGAUAUAAAUAAGCUCAUUCAAAUUCAAAGAAGGUUGAUCACAACACGACCAUUUUGAGCUAAUAUUCGAGAAUGCAAUCUUCAUAGAGCUUAGAACACAUUAUUGCUUCAUCUAUUCACAUAUUAAGCAUCAUUGUGUAAUCUUAUAUAUUGUGAGAGGUAAAACAGUUUGUAAUCUUUUACUUUGAGUGAUUGUAAGUGUUGGGAUACACUUGGGUUAAGAGAUUGGGGAUAAUCUCUUGUUGUAAAGGUCCAUUGACACCUUGGAAGUCAAGUGUAAGCAUUUGAAGCCUUGGAGGCUUGCUUAGUGGAAUCCUCAAGCCCGGAAAGCUUGGAGGCGUGGACGUAGGCGAGGUUGGCCGAACCACGUAAAAAUCUCGGUGUUUGAAUCCCUCUUCCCUUAUCUUUUUAUAUUGUGAUCAUCUUAAUUGUUAUUGCUUUGAAUUUGAUUUAUAAUUGCAUUAAGAUUUUCUUUAAUAAAUUGAAUAAUUUUUUAGAAUCCCAAUUCACCCCCCCUCUUGGGUUGCAUACUUGUAUUUCAUAUUUUCCACAUAUACCGGUAUAGUCUCUGACUUUUCUUUUACACUGCUAUCAUCUUCAUCUCUCGUUUGCAGUUGAUCUUCUAUAAAGAUAACAUCUCUGCUGAUGAUGAUCUUGUGGGCAGUGGGGUCCCACAGACGAUACCCUUUUACUCCAUCAGCAUAUCCCAAGAAGAUACAUCUUCUAGAUUUUGGAUCCAGUUUUGUUCUUUCUUGGGCAUUGUACAUCACGUACACAGGACAUCCAAAUGCAUGUAGGUAGGAAUAAUCAGCUGGCUUUCCAGUCCACAUCUCCAUCGCUGUCUUCAGCCCAAUAGCUGUAGAUGGCGACCGAUUUACUAUAUAACAAACAGUUUUGGCUGCUUCUGCCCAAAAUGAAUUGGGUAGACCAGCAGUCCUCAACAUAGCUCUUAUUCUUUCUGUAAGAGUUCUGUUCAUCCGCUCCGCCACUCCGUUUUGUUGAGGAGUGUAUGCUACAGUGAACUGUCUCUGAAUACAUUCUUGCUUACAGAAAGCAAGAAACUCGCCGUCUGUAUACUCUCCACCAUUAUCCGUCCUCAAUUACUUGAUCUUUUUACCAGAUUCAAGUUCCACCCGCGCUUUGUAUUCUUUAAACACUGGAAAUACAUUUGACUUUUUUUUAAUUGGAUACACCCAACAUCUUCUGGAAUAAUCAUCAAUGAAAGUCACCAUGUACUUUGCACCUCCCAUGGAUAUAUCCGGUGAUUCCCAAACAUCAGAAUGAAUCAAGUUUAGAAUGCAUUUACUUCUAGCAAUAGAUCUACUAAAUUUUAAUUUAUGCUGCUUACUUGUAACACAAUGCUCGCAAAAUGGUAAACUUACCGAUUUGAGCCCCGGAAGCAAUUUUCGCUCAGAGAGAAUCUUCAAGCCUUGUUCUGACAUGUGGCCAAGUUUGAGAUGCCACAUCAUCGUUGACUCUUCUCCAUUUGAUGCGACACACGCAUCAGCCUCCUGUAGUGUUUCUCCUUUAAGCAUGAAUAGAUUAGCACUGAUCUUUUCUGCAUUCAUCAAUACAAGCGCGCCUUUAACGAUCUUCAUAAUUCCAUUCUCCACAUGAGUUUUGUACCCAUGACUAUCCAUUUGUCCCAAAGACAAAAGAUUUUUCUUCAGGCCGUUGACAUGGCGUACCUCCCCAAUUGUGCGAAUUGUACCAUCAAACAUUUUUAUUUUGAUAGUACCAAUACCAGCGAUCUCCAAGGCAUGAUCAUUACCUAUAUAUACAGAUCCUCCUGAGAUAGGUUCAUAUGUGUGGAACCAUUCUCUCCGAGAGGUCAUGUGCCAGGUAGCUCCUGAGUCUAUAAGCCAGACAUCAGAUAGUCGUUUUCUGCCUUUUGAAACAAUUGUUGCCUCGCUGUAAAGAAUUUCGCCAUCAUCCGAGGUACUUGCUAUACACCCUUGAGCAUUUGAUGACUCAGGUUUUUUGCCCUCUUUUCUCUUCUGGUUACUCCAACACUCUUUCUUGACGUGCCCUUUCUUGCCACAGUUGUAGCAUUUAACAUUCUUCUUACUUCUGGAUUUUGAUCUACCAUGAUUUUGACUCCCACUAGGGCCACGUUCCGUUGAUCUCCCUCUCGUCACCGAUAGCGCCUCCGUUUGCUGUGAACUUACUUGUCUGUUUUCCUUAUUUUUUCGCCUGCUCUCCUCAUUUAAUACGGAGGCUGCAACAUCGUCAAAAACUAGACUGUCCACUGGAUUAUUGUUCGUCAGGUUGAUGAUGAGUUGAUCAUACGAAUCUGGUAGACUUUGAAGUAGAAGCUCUGCACGUUCAUUUUCCUCUAUAUUAUGACCCAACGUUGUGAGUUGUGAAAAUAGAGUCUUCAAGGUGUUGAUGUGGUCGGUCACCAUUGUAGAUUCCGCCAUUCGAAGAGUAUAAAGUUUCCUCUUCAAGAAAAUUUUGUUGUGUAGUGACUUGGCCUCGUACAAUUUUGUGAGAGUAUCCCAAAUUUCCUUCGUUGUGUUUUUCUCUGCCACACUGGAUAAUACUCCGUCUGCAAGUGCCAAGUGUAGAUCAGAAAUGGCGUUGCCGUCUACCUCGUUCCACUUGUCAUCAGUUAUCUCCAUGGGCCUUUCUCCAAUUGCUGCCAAGCAAUUAUUUUUCCUCAAUACAGCUUUCAUCUUCAUUUUCAACAAUGAAAAAUUAUUUCCGUUAAACUUCUCAAUUUCAUACUUUGCCACCAUUUUGUUGAUAAAUACCGCACACAAGCUAGUGUACCACCUUGAAUAGUUGUGAGUAUGUGUGAGAAUGCACACCAGGAAAGUUCCCAGGAAAGACUGGAGGGGUCACAAUGGUCCCACUUAAAACCCAGACUCAUUAAGCUCUUAUCGCCUUUGUGAUAGAACUUUCCUAGACAUGUACAAAACCACACAGUUGCUAUUACUCACACCACUAUUCUCUGCUUUGCAUCACAAAAUUCUUGGAUCGCUUCCACCGUUUCUUGUGAAUAGUACCGUAUACGUGAACAUUACCGUUUACGUGAAUAGUACCCCUUACGUGAACAGUACCCGACUCCAAAAAUACAACCAAUAGCUCUGAUACCACUGUUAGGAAAUUGGUAGGUGAAGCAGACACGCAGCUAGAAUAAAAUUGAAAGAAAAAUAAAGAACAAGUACAAAAAAUGGACACCAGAAAUUACGUGGUUCGACUUUUAGCCUACAUCCACGGGCGAAGACAGAAGGAAAUAUUUUACUAGUGAAAAGGAGUUACAAGUAUUGUAGUAUUUUAGCUCACUUCCCAAAAUCCCAAUACACCCAAACUCUCAGAACACUAAUCACUCAAGAGUUUAUUAAACUCUUAAUACUCUCAACACUAAAAGAAAGCAAUAUUUCUCUCUCGAUGGAAUUGGAUACAAGCUCUAGAUUGAGAGCUUGUAUUUAUAGGCAAAAAUUUGCCUCAAAUGUCAAACAAGUGGCCAUAAACUUCAAGCCAUACAUCUUAAAAAUUUCAAACUUUGAAUUUUUAGCUUUGAAUUUUUCUUUUCUUUUACCAAACAUUACGGCAUCUAGAAUUUCAAAGCCAAGUGCCAACCAUUCUUGUUUAUUCAAAGCUUCUAGAUGCAGCCAAUUUUGACAAUUACACAUAUAUAAGAGUAUGUCGUCAGGUCCAUACUAGUAUUUUUACACAAGCGGUCACCUCAAUUGCUUUAGGAGCAAGAUGAGAUGAGACAAGUAGAAUAAUAAAACAAUAUUUUUGUGUGAGAGCCAAAUAAAAAGCGUUAUUCUACAAGUUUUUUUGCCUUGACUAGAAUCAAGAGGUCUCACACGAUUUUCAUUAUAGACUGACUAUGAUAUACCCCACCAUCAUGGAGACUUCAUUGAAGCCAGAUGUGAGAUCUUUACUUUUUACGCUAGAAGAGAGCGUUCAUUCUAAAAGAGUGACUAGACUAAGAUCUAUAGUCCUGGAAUGGAAAAUUUAUCGUAACGAGUGUAUCAUACCAUGCGUGCUUGGUAAUCAAAAUGGAAAAUGAAAGAAUCUUCAAUCUUUCUAAUUGUGUAAGUUCCAUAUAACUUUUUAUAAGUCAAUCCUGGUAUCAUCUUCUUCUCUUCUUCGUGAAGAUUAAAAUUAAGAACAUUGAACAAUCCAUAAAAAGGGCAUUUAUACUGUGAUUAGAUAAGGAUUUCCGCUUGCGAUUUCUUCUGACCAUUAACAUGAUCCAGUACUCGAUUACUCCGCUGCUGAAUUCAAUAAGAAAAAUAUUUCUAGAAUUUUCAUUUUUCCUUCAGACCAUGUAAGAAGCAUACGAACAGGAUGAUCCGGAGUCAAAAGGUGAACGAGGUGACGGCUCGUCCGUUAGUACUAUUAAUGUAUAAGGUAAUAUGGGAAUUACUAAUAAUUAAUCGACUAGCUGAUUUGUUAGUUAUGAUUAUCAAUGACGGUCUAUUUCCUGCCCAUAUUUUACCAUGCUGUUGAAUGGUCCCCUUAAAAUAAUCCAGAUCAGUCAUUUGCAUAAAAAUAUAUCAUGAGCGGUUAGGUGGAGGAUGCUGAUUUGUUAGAAAAUAAUUGUUUUCAACUCUUGCGAUUGUCUGCACCCUGCACUCUUGUUCCAAAACCAAUACAAAACUGUAGCAAUCUUAAGAGGAUUUGUGGAACAAAAGAUGGCCAAGAUUGGAGGUUCUCUGCUUGUUCCUUGUGUUCAAGAGUUGGUCAAGAAUCCUAUGUUAGUUGUCCCUCCUAGAUACAUUUGUCCGGACGAAGAUUCACCACUCAAUUCUGAUGAUACUUUGAUUUCACAGAUACCAGUUAUUGACAUGCAGAGCUUGCUUUCUGAAGAAUCAAUGGAUUCUGAGUUAGCCAAGCUCGACUUCGCUUGCAAAGAAUGGGGUUUUUUCCAGGUAAAAUGCUUUAGCAGAGUUAGAAAGAUUUUUCAUGCUUGUCUGUGAUUUAAGAAUCAUGAAAUCUGCAAAACUCUCAGUCACAAAAUAUCUAUUUUUGAAACCCAGUUUCCAUUGAUUUAGCAUGUCAUGAUUUCAAAUUUUCCCAUCUAGUCCUUUUGCUGCUUUCAGUGCUUCUACGACUGCAGCUUGUGAAAUGUCAAGGAAGUUGUCUCUUGUUUUAUUGUACAAUUUAUGAGGCGAUAUGAGAAGAAAACACUCACCAUUUAUUUCUGAAACCCAGAUUCCAUUGAUAUAUUUGUUUUUGACUUGCUUUAUUACUUUACCUUUCCAUAUAGCCAUAGAUUUGUUAGUAUAAUUUGUAUUAAAAGAUGCCCAUGACAAAGUUCACCUAUUUUGUCUCAAUAGCUUUUGGUAGCUUAUGAGAAAUAUGCUUCUGUCAAUAUGUGAUUAAAGAUAUAGUAAAUUGUAUAAGACUCCCGCAGAUUAUUAGCUGUUCUAGAAUAUUCAAAUUUCUCCAAAACUAUGAGUAAAAAACACUUGUAAAAAUCAAUCAUUGAUUAGAUUUAUAAACAAAAUAAAAUUGGUGUUUAAUGCAACAGCAAUGUUCUCAGUUGAAAUGUAACAAAUGCUUUUAGCCAUCUUUGAUAGCAAAUCUUGUCUCUAAAUUAGUCAAAUAAGUUGCAAUCUGUCUUCAUAAAACGCCUGGACGAUUGUGAACCUAGUGGCACGAUUAUCAAAUCUUAGCUGCUGUUCAUUCCUGCGUAAUUUCAGCUGGUAAACCAUGGAGUAAGCUCAGCAUUUCUAGAGAAAGUGAAGAAAGAGGUUAAGGGCUUCUUCAAUCUCAGCAUGGAAGAAAAGAAAAAAUAUUGGCAGCAUCCAGGAGAUGUAGAAGGAUUUGGACAAGCCUUUGUUGUAUCUGAGGAACAAAAGCUUGAUUGGGCUGACAUUUUCUCCAUGAUCACUCUUCCAGUUCAUCUGAGGAAGCCACACUUAUUUCCUAAGCUCCCUCCUUCCCUCAGGUUCUCUCUUUUUGUGGUUGAUAUGGAUUUGCAAACAAAAAGGGAAAAUUAAACCUUCUAUGAUUCUAUCUAAUGUUUUACCUUCUUUUUUCUUGUAGAGACACCUUGGAAGUUUACUCGAUGGAGUUAAAAUCUCUGGCCAUGAACCUGAUAUCGAAAAUGGGAAAAGUUUUAAAUAUCAAAGAUGAAGAAUUGAGAGAAUUCUUUGACAAUGGUUUCCAAUCAAUGAGGAUGAACUAUUACCCUCCAUGUCCUCAGCCAGAAAAGGUUAUGGGCCUCACCCCUCAUUCUGAUGGCUCUGCUCUUACCAUUCUGCUACAAAUCAAUGAAGUAGAAGGUCUCCAGAUCAAGAACGAUGGAAAAUGGAUUCCUAUCACACCGCUGCCAAAUGCUUUCAUUGUCAACAUCGGAGACACAUUGGAGGUAAUAAUUAUGAUUACUUUCCUUGGCAUUUUUAUGUCCCUUCUCAUGUGCUCUAAUAUUUUUAACAUUGCAGAUUAUGACCAAUGGGACAUACCGUAGCAUUGAACAUCGUGCAAUUGUGAACUCUAUACAAGAAAGACUUUCCAUUGCCACAUUUUACACAAAGAGAUUAGAUGGUGAAAUAUAUCCAGCAUCCAGUUUGAUAUCUGAAAAAACUCCUGCAUUGUUUCGAAGAGUGACAGUUGAAGAAUACUUUAGGAGCCGGUUUGCUCGUGAGCUUAGGGGAAAAUCUCACCUGGAUGACCUGAGAAUUCAACAUGGUCGAGGCUAGUACAAUUAUUUUGGAUAAUUGCAGAUUUGUGCCAGGAAUUUUCUGAUGAUAAUUGUGCUUAUUUUGGAUCAGUUUCUUUCAUUUUUGGAAUAGAAUUUUUGCAGGCUUGUCAUGUUUUUAUCAGAUUUCAAGAACUAUUUCACUUGCUUUCGGAGUUAAAGAUGAUUCAAAUAUGAUAUUAAAUACUUAAGCAUGCCAUUCUAACGCUUGCUUGUCCAAUUACAUCCUUAUCAACAAUAUAUUUUGUUACAAUGUCACUGAAGUUGAAUAGAUAACAACAUGCUUGGGUUAUAUGUUGUCAUUUGGCUUAACCAUCCGUCACAUUAAGCAGAUUGUUGUGAUAAUGUGUUUUACAACCUUCCCCAGUAGCAUGAAUGUUGUUAAAAUAAUUGUAACAAAUUUUAUAUUGCUUGUAGCAACAUUGUUCUCCAUAGCACACAUUGCGUGAGUACAUAAGUUGUAACUUGUUACCAAUAAUAAUAAUAAAAAAUAAUAAUAAUAGUAAUAAUAAUUAUCAAUAACUAAAAAUGAGACGGAUGUUACUUUCAUAAGUGGAACUUGGAUUCACAAGCUAAAUAUGAGGUUUUAAUUGGUUGUUAUCAGAAAAAAAUAUAAAGAUAAUUAAUGCCUAAACAUAAACAGCUAUAAUUGUAUAAAUGACUAAUCGAUUACAAUUCGAAUCCACUAUUUUCUUAAUAGUGCGCAGUCAAUUCCAACACAGCACCAGAUUGCAGCGUGUUAGAAAAAAUUUUAGGUAAUCAUAUAUAUGUUUUAAUCAAUAAUGAUAAUAUGUUUACCCAUAUAUAAGAUUUGAAUAGAUAAAAAGUAAUACUCGAGAACCACCAAAGUCCUUUUAACUGCAGACACGCAAUGGUGGAUUACUCGCACAAGUCAAGAGCAAAAUACCAAGUUGUGAAAGAAAAAUAAAAAGGGGAAAACAAAACAAAACGCAGUAUUGAAAAUACCUUCGCCUUUUGGGUUGAUGACAAGGUGGGAACCACAAAUAAUUAAUUGGCUGAUGGUUUGUCAUCGUUAUCCAUAGAGGAUAGUUUUGACCUGCGAAUAUUUUAUUUUGCAUUCGAAACAUGUGCAAAAAAUUAAAAUUACUUCAUGAAUGGUUAGGUGGAGGAUGCUGAUUAAUUACUUGGAAAAAGAUUCCUUUUUACUUUUGUGAUUGUCAGCACUCAGUCUUGUUCCAAAACCAAUACAAAGCUGCAGCAAUCUUGAAAGGAUUUGAGGAACAAAAGAUGGCCCAGAUUGGAAGUUCUCUCCUUGUGCCUUGUGUUCAAGAGUUGGUCAAGAAUCCGGCGUUAGUUGUCCCCGACAGAUACAUACGUCCAGAUCAAGAUUCACCCCUCAUUUCUGAUGAUAUUUUGAUUUCACAGAUACCAGUUAUUGACAUGCAAAGCUUACUUUCUAAAGAAUCAAUGGAUUCUGAGUUAGCCAAGCUCGACUUCGCAUGCAAAGAAUGGGGUUUUUUCCAGGUAUAAUGCUUUAGCAAAGUUAGAAAAUUGUUUCGCCAGAACAUGCUUGUUUGUGAUCAAGAAUCGAGAAAUAUGCAAAUUGUCAAUCAAAUAGGCAAAAUUAAAAUUCAUAUUUAUUUCUUAAACCCACGUAUCAUUGAUGUUAGCAGAUCAUGGUUUCACUUUCCAGUGUUGUCUGUGGCUUAGGACUGCAGCUUGUGAAAAGAAGAACUUGUCUCUGGUUUAUUUAUUAUUGACUUUCUAUAUUGCUUUACCUUUUCUCCCUCCAGGCAUGGUUUAAUUAGCUAUUUCAUUCCUAAAUGUCAAACAGGCAAUAUGUAUUAAAAAGAUUGUCUUGAGAAAUUUCACCUCCUCUGCCUCAAUAGCUUUUGGUACCUUAUGAGAAAUAUGCUUCUGUCAAAAUUUUAAAAGAUAUACUAUAGUAAAUUGUGUAAGACCUCUUAGAAAAUGUACUCAUUUCUGUAGUCAAUGUUGCAAAUUUACUUUAAUUUAAAGACAAUUAGAAGUAACAUUGAGAUUAUUUGCUGUUGUAUGAUUUUUCAAAUUCUAGGUGUGAACAAACCACAAGAACUUUAUGCUCAUUAUAGUUAUUCUAGAAUAACCGAAAUUUCUCCGAUAGAAUGAGUAGAAAACACCUGUGGAAACUAAUUGUUGAGAAGAUUUAAAUGUAACAAAUGCUUUUAGCCAUCUUUAAUGGUAAAUCUUAUCUCUAAAUCAGUCAGAUAAGUUGCAAUCUGUCUUAAUAAAACACCUGGACUAUUGUGCGCUUAGUGGCACGAUUAUUAAAUCUUUGCUGCAUUUCGUUCCUGUAUUUUUUUCAGCUGGUAAAUCAUGGAAUGAGCACAGCAUUUCUAGAGAAAUUAAAGAAAGAGGUUGAGGGAUUCUUCAAUCUCAGCAUGGAAGAAAAGAAAAAAUAUUGGCAGCGUCCAGGAGAUAUGGAAGGAUUUGGACAAGCCUUUGUUGUAUCGGAGGAACAAAAGCUUGAUUGGGCUGACCUUUUCUCCAUGAUGACUCUUCCAGUUCAUCUGAGGAAACCACAUUUAUUUCCUAAGCUCCCUCCUUCCCUCAGGUUCUCUCUCUCUCUCUCUCUGUGUCAAUGUCAUUUUGAUUUGCAAACAAAUAAAGGAUAGUGCAUCUUCUUUUCCUGUAGAGAGACCUUGGAAGUUUACUCAAUGGAAUUAAAAACCCUAGCCGAGAACCUAAUAUCGAAAAUGGGAGAAGUGUUAAAUAUCAAAGAUGAAGAAAUGAUAGAAUUCUUUGAAAAUGGACUGCAAGGAAUGAGGAUGAAUUAUUACCCUCCAUGUCCUCAGCCCGAGAAGGUUAUGGGCCUGUCGCCGCAUUCUGAUGCAGCUGCACUUACCAUUCUGCUACAACUUAAUGAAGUGGAGGGUCUCCAGGUAAAGAAGGAUGGAAAGUGGAUUCCUGUUACCCCACUCCCGGAUGCUUUCAUUGUCAACAUUGGAGACACAUUGGAGGUAAUAAUUAUAAUAAAUUACCUUAACCUGGCAUUUUUAUGCGCUUGCUUAUGUGCUUUAAUAAUUUUUACAUGGCAGAUUAUAACCAAUGGGACAUACCGCAGCAUUGAGCAUCGUGCAGUUGUAAACUCUGUACAGGAAAGACUUUCCGUUGCCACAGUUUACUCAGUGAGAUAUGAUGGUGAAGUGUAUCCUGCCUCCAGUUUGAUCUCUGAAAAAACUCCUCCUUUGUUUAGAAGAGUGAGAAUUGAAGAAUACUUUAGGAGCCGGUAUGCUCGUGAGCUUAGGGGAAAAUCUCAGUUGGAUUCCCUGAGAAUUCAACAUGGUCAAGGCUAGUAUAAGUUUAUUUUGGAUAACUAAAGAGUUUGGUACAAAAACUCUUAAGGACCUUGCUAUUAAGAUUGGCGUGGAACUGAAAAUAAGAAAUAAGUUCUAUGAAUACUGUGGUAUAACCUGCUAUGCUAGGGUCGUUGUGUAGCUCUAUCAUUUGAGAUACUGAAUAGACCAUGUAAGAAUCUUAAGAAUUGCAGACUUAUGCCUGGAAUCUUCCGAUGAUAUAUGGUGGUGCUUAUAUCAGAUCAGUAUCUUUCUUUCUUGAAAUAGAAUUUUUGCAUACCUGACUUGUUUUUAAUGAGAUUUCAAGGACUAUAUGACUUGGUUUCAAAUUUUUAUGAUACAUACAGAUAAUAUUACCACAGAACCAGUGUAGUUUCUGUAUCAGCCGUUAUAGUUUUCAGUUAAUAGUAACAAGUUUUUGAUUUUUAACAAGAAUGUUGUCCUUCCACGUCUUAAAUAUUCCGUUCCAUAACACACAUUGUGACGAAUACAUAACUUGUUACCAUUGACGAAAAAUUUUGCCAUCAAUAGCUGAAAAUAGAUGUUAGUUACACAAGCUGCAAAGCUAUAACUUUGGAUUUCAUAUUCAGAUUGUCCCUCUCAAAGUUGAACUUGGAACUACGGUUGAUGAUCUGCUAUUAUGCUGAGAAAAAUACAAGAUUUUUUUUUUGGUUGUCAUCAGACAAUGUAAAAGAAAUUAGCAUGGGAUCCAAAUUCUUGAGAGUUUGAUAAGGCAAUGCACUAUAUUUUUUUAUAACUCGCAGCAGACAGCAGCACAACAGCAGACUGCAACUGUCAUAUUCACAAAAUAUCUAUGGGCCAACCCUAGACCCGCAAUGGUGGAUUAGUCUCACACAAGGCCACAGCAAAUAAUGACUUGUAGAAAAUAAUACAUUUUCAACAUUUGCUUUGUCAAUAAAAAUCUGUAGCAUUAUUGUUGAGAGAAUUUGUGCAACAAAAAGAAGGCCAAGUUCGGAGGUUCUCUGCCUGUGCCUUGUGUUCAAGAGUUGGCCAAGAAUCCUAUGUUAGCUAUCCCCCCCAGGUACAUACCACCACGCUAAGAUUUAACCACAAUUUCUGAUAAUAAUUUGGAUUCACGGGUAUUGCAGAGCUUGUUUUCUGAAGAGUCAAUGGAUUCUGAGUUGUCCAGGCUCCACUUCGCUAGCAAAGAAUGGGCUUCUUUCCAGGUAAAGUCCUUUGCCAAGUUAUUAUUAUUUUGCUUUUAAAGGAUUUGCUUGGGAUGAGACCUCAUCUACUAAAUACCACCCUUUGUCCCAUAUUGUUACUCGAGCGCAGAUAUCUGCAAAUUGCGAAUUACAUUCACAACCAGCUAAGCUACACCUGCCGUGAGGCACCCAAGUUUGUACUUUUUCAUUUGGACAUGCUUGGUUUGUUAAUAGUAGUCUGGGGUCAAGAAUUAAGAAAUCUGUAUACUCUCAAUCAAAGAGCACAGUCGAUCAAAUUCAGAUUAGAUUAUGUUCCAUUCUUAUAGGUCAAGUAGGCCACAAAUUUGGCCUACUCUGUAUCAAUGCUUUCUUACACUGUAAGUUAGCAAUAAGAAAGCUGUAACAAAAUUUGAGUCUACGUAGUCUUAACCAAGCCGGUUUAAGCACUCUUUUUUUUAAAAAAAAAAACAUUGAGGGAUGUAACUGACCUUGUCCGAUUAUGGACCCAUCUAACUUGCUUUCUUGUAUGGCUGAGAAGAAAAACCUGCAUUCUUGAAAAUUAAAUUGUCUUUAAUAUCUUUCAGAUGUCUAGGCUUGCGGUAGCUUGAGAAGAACUAUAAGCAAAUUUAUGAUGGAGUAUAAUGCAAAUGCGAUUCUAUUAGUUUAUUGAAAUCUAACAAAUACUUUUAUUCAUCGCACUCAGUAAAUUUUGCCUGAAUUAGUCCAAUAAGUUGUACUCUGUCUCAGCAAAAUACCUUGACCAAAAUAAAAAACGUAGUGACACGAUUGUUAAUGUCUUAGCUGUUUUUCUGUUUCUGAAUUGUUUCAGCUGGUAAAUCAUGGAGUGAGCCCUGCAUUUCUAGAGAACGUAAAGAAAGAGAUUCCGGAAUUCUUCAAUCUAAGCAUGAAAAAAAAAAAAUUGGCGGUCUCCAGGAGCUGUGGAAGGAUUUGGACAAGCAUUUGUUGUAUCCGAGGAACAAAAGCUUGAUUGGAAUAACAUUUUCUUCAUGACAACUCUUCCAGUUCAUCUGAGGAAACCCCACUUGUUUCCUAAGCUCCCUCUUUUCCCCCUCAAGUUUCUCUCUCUCUAGGCAGUUAUUUGAUGAUUGCAAAUGUAUUAUGUUCAGAGAAAGAUCCCAAGUCAGUUAUAUUUAGCAAAAUUUGACAACCAAACAUGAUUUUGAAAGAAUACUGCUAAAUAAUAACUUAUUUAACAAUCCACCACAAUCAUGUACUAAACCUUCUAAUUGCGUCUUCUUUUUUCUUGUAGGAAAUUUUGGAAUUUAUUCAGUGGAGUUAAAAAUCUUUGGCCAUGAACCUGGUAUCGAAAAUGGGAAAAGUUUUAAAUAUCAAAGACGAAGAAUUGAGAGAAUACUUUGAAAAUGGUUUCCAAUCAAUGGGGAUGAACUAUUACCCUCCAUGUCCUUAGCCGGAGAAGGUUGUGGGCCUCACAACUCAUUGUGAUGACUCUGCUCUUACCAUUCUGCUGGAAAUCAAUGAAGUAGAAGGCCUCCAGAUCAAGAAGGAUGGAAAGUGGAUUCCUGUUACACCUUUCCCAAAUGCUUUCGUUGUCAACAUUGGAUAUGUGUUGGAGGUAAUUAUUAUGAUAAGUUAUUUUAACUUGACAUUCAUAUGAGCUAGCUAAUGUGUGCUUUCAUUAAUUCAUGUUGCUCCACUUCCUAAUGCUUUCAUUGGAGACACAUUGGAGGUAAUAAUUAUAGUAAAUUACUUAACUUGGCAUUUAUAUGCGCAUGCUCAUGUGCUUUAAUAAUUUUUACAUGGCAGAUUAUAACCAAUGGGACAUACCGUAGCAUUGAGCAUCAUGUAAUUGUAAACUCUGUACAAGGAAGACUUUCCAUUGGCACAGUUUACUCAGUGAGGUAUGAUGGUGAAAUGUACCCUGCGUCCAAUUUGGUCUCUGAAAAUACUCCUUCAUUGUUUAAAAGAGUGAAAGUUGAAGAAUAAUUUCAGGAAUCUGUGUGCUCGUAAGCUUAGGGGAAAAUCUCAUCUGGAUGCCUUGAGAAUUGAACAUGUUCAAGAUUAUUAUAAGUUUAUUUUGGAUAACUAAAGAGUGUAGUACAAAAACCGUGGGGGACCUUGCUAUUACAAUUGUGUGUGGAACUAAAAAUAAGAAAUAAGUGUAAGAACAAUAAAUCCUUUGGUGAAAAUCAUCACCUCAAUUUAGGAACAUGUAUGUUGUAUCACCAAAAAUUAAUAAUAGAAUAUGCGGCAGUGUACCUAAGUUCAUAAUCCACAAUUGCUCUUUAGAGCCGAGUAGUUUGUCUUCCAAAUCAACAUGUUCUCCUAAAGAAUUCUUUAAACUUCUCUAUACUGUCUCUUUAAUGAUGAGAUGUCAAUAGAGAAUAGAACAAUACGUGUGACCUAUGGAUAAUAACUACUUAUAUAUAUAGAUUUUCCUUUUGUUUUUAGGUAUUCUUAUUUCAACCCAUUAUAAAAAUCAAAAUUAGUCUUAAGUCUCUAUACAUUAAAGGCCCACAAUCUAUUAGAUACAUUAAAACACAAAUUACCGAAAACCUUAAUAGACCAAUUUUAAUUUGGCUUAGAGUUAGACUAUUGGCACCCCUCCAAAAUUCUUCUAAAACCCCUUUUUCAAUAAUGCUAAGCUUAAUGCCAAAAAUACCCUUAUUUCUAAAUAAACACAUUUAAUUUGUGAAUCUUUUAAUUUUUAUUAUUUUCUCGCUCCUCACAAACAAAAUUUUAUGGGUGAUAAGUUUCUUGAUAAAAAUCAAUUAAUAAAAUAAAAUAUCUGUAAGAUUAUAAUGUAAAAAGUUUUAUUAUGAGCCUUAAAAAAAGGUAGAUAAUUUUUUCAAAAUGUGUUUUGUUUAUUAUCAAUAGAUUGUCUUAGUAAUUGAAGAAAAAUUUACAGAGAAUUUGAGAAAAAAAUUACAUGUGUGAGUUUGAUGGCAGAGAAAAUACAAGAGCUUUUUUUUUAAGAGAGAAAAUACAAAAGUUUGAAGUGAGAUAAAAUAGAUGUGAGAUAUAUUAGAGUAUUUAUCCUUAAAUGUAAUUGUAAUAGAAGAGGAAGUUUAAAAGGAUUUUGAAGGGGUGUCAAUAGUCCAACUCUUUGGCUUAAUCUUAUAUGACAAUUCACAUCAUAUAAUUAUUCACAUAUAAGCGCAACAUUGGAUCAAGGAUCCAACCAUACUAGAUUAAAGAUCCAACAACCUUUCACUUGGACUAUAUAUAUAACUUUGUAAUUAUACUUUACAAAAAUAACUAUAUGAGGUCAACUUUACUGUCAUUACCAAAAUGCAUCUAUAGCCAAUUCGGUCCAUCUAUCAUACCAACAUAGGAUCAAAACGACCUUUAUUACAAAUAUCGUAACUUGACCCAUCAAUGCUCACUAUGCCAACAUAACUUAAUGACAUAGAUCAUGAUAUGGUGUAGGAUGGAAAUUUUAUGUAAUGUGAUUUCAACAUGCCUAUUUUCAAUUGAUCCACCUUAAACAUUAGUGAGAUCAAAUUAUACAAAAUUAGAGUGUAAAUAAACCAAAAUUUUAUUUCUGUAGAAAAUAGCCUUAAAUAUCCCCAAACCGAAAAAUGUUUAUAUCAUAAAAGCAUUUAAAAGUUACAAACUCCCAUUAAAAAUGAAUAUCAAUAUCCUUUAAUGACAUGUCACCCAUAUGAACAAUGUGCUCAUGAAACAUUUUAAAUGACAUUCCCUUAGUAAACGGAUCUGUAAUCAUGGAGUUUGUACCAUUAUACUUUAUAGACAAUUGUCCACUCUGAAUUCCUUAGGAACUUGAUGUCUAUAUACUGUGACAUCGUUGAGCUCUUAUUGUUAUUGGAAUAUAGCACUGCUGACUUAUUGUCACCAAAUAACUUAAGUGGUCUAUCAUAAGGGUGUCAAAAAAGCCUGCCCGGACCGGACCCGGCCCCCGGACCGCAUGCACAUAAAAACCGGACCCAGGUUUGAAAUUCUCAAACCCGGACAUUUCCGGGCCCGGGUCCGGGUUCAACACCAAAAACCUGGAACCCGGACCGGACCCGGUUUUUUAAUAAAUUUUUUUAAAAAAUAUAUAAAUAUAUAAUUAUGAAUUUAUGAUAUGUUGGAUGUUAUUUAAAUUUAUUGUGUGAUUAUUGUGUUGUUGAAUUUAAUUUAUUUAUUUUAUAUAUAGAUUGAAUGAGUUUAAGUUAGAAAUUGGAUGAAUUUAGGUAUUAGAAAGUGGAUUGAAAUAAUUUUAAUUUAUCAUUUGUGCAAAAUUUGCAUUGUUAGUGUGUUAUAUAUUUGUAUUUGACUAUUUGCUUUUUUAAAGUUUGAGAUUGAAUGAGUUUAUUUGAUUAUUUUCUUUUUUUAAAUUUGCAUUGUUAGAGAAAUGAAAGAAAAAAUUGAAGAAAAAAAUUGAAGUUAUCACAUGCGGGUUUAGAAAGCCCGGAUCAAAACCCGGACCCGGAAGGUGCCGGGCUCAACCCCGGACCGCACCCGAAAAAAUUGGGUUUUAACCCGGGUUCGGUCUUGUAUUUCUCUCAUCCAGUCCCGGGCAACACCAAAACCCGGACCGGACCCAAAUUUUGUCAAGCCUAGUCUAUCAAUACUAUUUAAAAUGAGUAAUUCUAUGACGAAAUUUUGUAGCCAUAUUCCUUGAUUGGAUAUUUCGUAACAUGCUGUGAACUCCGCUGCUAUAGUAGAAAAGGCUAUAAGAGACUGUUUAGCACUCUUUCAGGAAACAACACCCCUAGCCAGUAGCUAGAUGUAACCAAAAGUAGAUUUCAUAUUAUCUUGGGAUCUAACAAAAUCAGAGUUAGCAUAAUGAUCUCAAGCUGAUCUAACUUUCGAUGUAGUCUUUUGUUCUCUGUAAGUAUCGCAAGACCCGUUUGGCUGUUUCCCAAUAGUUUACCCCUGGAUUACUUAAAUAUCUAUCCAACAUUCCAGUAAUGUAUGCAAUAUUCAGUUGCGUACAAACCUAAACAUACAUCAGACUUUCUAUUACUGAUGUAUAAGGAAUCUUCUACAUUUUUUAUUCCUUAAAAUCAUCAUUAGGGCACUAAUUGUGUAACAUCCAUUAUUUUUGUUUUAUUUAUUUAUUUUUUAUUAUUUUACUACUACUACUACUACUACUACUACUACUACUACUACUACUACUACUACUAUUAUUAUUAUUAUUAUAUCUAUUUUAGAGAAUAUAGUAUUUUAGGCUAAUGAUUUUAAGCGUGUUUUAAUUUUUCUUUAUUUAUUUGAUUUACCAAUUUAGUAAAUACCUUAUUAAAAAAGGAAAUAAAUUCCUAAAUAGGUAAGGGUGUUAAAAGGCUUGGCUUUAUAAAAGCUUCUCUUGCGUUGUUUUAUUUCUCAAAAUCAUAGAGGCUGAAUACAACAACACACACAAGAGUAAACCUUUUUUUUUAAGAAGAGAAGUAGAUUUUGAUUGGUUUUUUUCUUUUCCAUAAAGAAAUUCUUGAGUUUUGAAUUUGUUUUGAAGGAUUUAGCCUUCUGGUUUUAUUUGUGAUUUUAUGUGAUUGAUUGAAUGAUUUUGUGUGUAUUACAUUGAUAAAAUUGUGAAAGCAUGAUCAUCUAUUGAUUUAUGUUGUUAUUGAGUGAAAGUGGUGCUAUUAUUUUAUCUUGAAAACAGUGAACAACAUAGAUUCAAUGUUUUAUGACUGCUGUUUUCAUUAAGUCUCAUGCAUAAAAUUUUAUAAUUUAUUAAACUAGACAUCUUUAUCUUUCUAUUUAUAUGUUUAUCGUUCAAAACUCAUUGUAUAUUAAUUUUUUUGAUUUUUCAAAAUUGGAACACUAGUGUUGGAAAAUUCCAAUUUUCAGCAGCAGUUCUCGUUACUAUAAUUUAUUUGGUAACUCAAACGAUUUCUGAAAAUUCUAGGAACGUUUUUCAUUUUACACAUAUAUGUCUAGUUUCUGUAUACUUAAAUUCCUAAUUUUUGGCUUUAUAUAAAAAUAAUUAAAAAUCAUAGAGCUAGGCUACCGUAAUAUUGGAAAUUGUUUUCUAGAAUUGCGAGGGUUGAUAUUGAAGCGAGUUUGGGUUACUUUUUCAUAGUGAAUGCUAGGGGUGGGCAAAAUACCCGACCCGAUCCGACCCGAAAAAAUUCGGGUUCGGGUCGGUUCGGGUUGUUAUUGAAACCCGAACGGGUGAAAAAUUGCAAACCCGAUCGGGUUGUGAUUGGGUCGGGUAAAACCCGAUCCGAUCCGAAUACCCGAUCGGGUCGCACAAAAAAAAAAUCACUAAACCUAUAAACACAUCACACAUGCACACACCAGACACCAGACACCACACACAUGGCCAUGCAAAGUUACAACUCAAAAAGUCACAAAAACAAGUGGCUAAAAAAAUAUUGACAAAUAAAAAACAAAAUAUAAUUAUAACCCACGCACACAGGCCACAGCCACACACAAACAUUGAAACAUAUCUUCGCUGCCUUCACAGCCCUCAUCCCCACAGCCCUCAUCCUUACACUCACAACUUCACACACACACACAAAUAUCGCAAAAGCCAAAAGCAAAGCGGCAGCUAGCAGCCAACGCAGAGAAGAGAACGGAGGAAGCGCAGCCAGUGCAUGCAGCCACCUAACCCGUGACUGGAUCUACUGCUCCGCGACAUCCGUAGCUACCAGAUCUGCUGUUGCCGGAUAUCUACAGGAUCUGUUGCUGUUGGAUCCGCUGCGCUGCUAUCGGAUCUGCUGCUGCAGCCUCCACCAUCACCGAGUUCCACCGCGAAGGUGCGAACCGGCAACUCGAAUUCUUUUCUUUUUUUGAUGUUUUGAUGGGAUAUAAUAAUAUAUUAUAUAUUAUCUGUUAAUUGCUAAGUAUAUGUAUUGUUAAAUGUUAAUAAUAAAAUGAGGGAAAUUCUUGUAUGGAAAAUUUUGGAGUUUAAUUUAUUAAGUCUGUGGAAGCUUAAAUAAUAAGUAUGAAUUGAUUUCUUUUUUUUUGUUUUGUUUUUAAUGAAUAGAUUAAGCAAAUUAAGCAUUAAAAUUAAAUAUUUUGCAUUUGAUCUGUGCAAUGUUUCACCCGAUCCGAAUUAACCCGAAUUUAACCCAAUUAUUUGACCCGAUCCGAUCCGAUCCGAAUAUAUUCGGAUCGGGUUACAACUUCGGGUUGAGUUCGGAUGAAUUCUUUUCUAACCCGAUCAACCCGAAAUCCAAUCGGGUUGAUCCGAACCCGACCCGAACCCAAAAAUGCCCACCCCUAGUGAAUGCCUUAUAAAUUUAACUUUUAUAUUCAAUGCAAACGUGUUCACAAUAGUUUUUUGUAAUAUUUUUGAUUUUUCUGACAUAAUUAUAGCUUGUUAGAAAUUAACUCUUACAAGAUGGUCGAGUGUAGUUUAGUGAAUUGAUGUGCUUUAGUAAGAGUAAAUGGUUUAAGGAUAUUUUGGCUUUCUUAUCAACGUCAAAAUUGAAAAAAAAAAUUGAUAAGAAUCUUAUCUUGAUAAUUAUAGGCCAAGAACGAGCUCGUGUGAUUGGGGUUAUUGUUGAUUGCUUCGUAUUGAGUUAAGUGAACUCAUGCAUAAUGUUUAUUAUAGUUAUAUAUGUAAAUAUCUAGAAAAGAAUAAUGUUAUUCAUAUAAAUUGACAUUUUAUGGUUUUGAAGUUAUUUUACUCUUAUAUUUUAUGAUAAUAAAUAAUGUUUUGAUUAAAACUUUAUUUAAAAUAUUUUCUUAAACUAUUUAAAAAAUAACUUUAAAAUAAUUGUCUUUCCAUAAAUUGGUCUUCCUUAAAAAUAUUUGUUAAGCUUGCCAAUUCAAUGUCUUAUAAGAGCAUUUUAUCAUAAUAUUACUGAAUGAUUGAUAUUGAAAGACUGAAAUUGUAUUUAAGAUUUUGGCUCAUUAACCGUAGUUAUUGUUGCUGAUAUAACCGAACAUUUAACUAUAUUGUGCGCACCUAUUGACGAUUAUAGUUGGGUAACGUACCCUAAUUGAACUACUAACCGAGUCAUCGGGGUUAUAGGUGACUUACUAAACUAAUACCGGGUCAUUAGGGUUAUAGGUGACUUAUUGAACCACUGGCCGGGUCACCGGAAGUACAGGCGACACUAUAUGACAUGAGCAAUUGAAUAAAUGAAUGGUUAUAUUGAUAAAUGAUUUCCGAAAUGAUUAUUUAUUAAAAAUGGUUAUUACAUUAUGAUUUAACUAAUUAUAAGUUUUAAUGUACACUUAUGGUACUUUAUAAUGAUUGUUUUGUAUUUUAUCGUUAUUAGUAACCUUAUGCAUGAGUUAGUGUUGAGUGUUAGAAAAUGCAUAUUUAUAAAGGAGAAAAUUGUCAUUUUACAUUUCACGUCUUACUAACAGCCCUUACUUUUAUGUAUUUAAGCUUCUUGUAAUUUAAUUAUGUGUGUUUUAUUUUAAUUAAGUAUUUUAUGUAUUUUAGGGGCAUCAUGGUCAUUUCACAAUAAACGAGAGAUCAGACGGCAAAAUGGACAUCACUUUUGAACUCAGGACGGUUGAAAACCUUAGGAGGAGCAUAAAAGGAAAAAUGACACUGUUCACAUGUACGGUACUGUCUAUGUUACUAUUCACGACACUGUUCACAUAGACGGAUCGAUGAUGUGGCAUUGACCGAUGAUGUGGCAUUGACUGAUGAGGUGUCACGAUCCUGUUGGACUAAAAUUCUUAUGCACUGUUGAUCGAUGACGUGGCAGCAUAUCAGUGGACCAAAAAUCUCGCGUACGGUACAUGCAUUAUAUAGGAUUAUUUUCAACCAAACUGAGUCACUGUUCAACUCGGGGCAAACCGUGUUACUGUUCAUCCAAGUGGUCAAACCGCAUACUGUUGACUGGUAACGUGGCGCAAUCCUGAGCGUCCAAACUGUUUUUAAUCCGAUGGCCACGAUUUACUUAAUGUAUCUACAAAAAGGGGGCCUCCCCUCUAAUUUGAUACCUCUGAAUCCAUUUUUUGGAUCCAUUUUCUAUAAUUCCUUCUCCAUCUUGUAUUUUCUACGUAUUUUAAUAAAUUUCUAUUUUGCCCCUAGUUCAAUUAUGAGUAACUAAUUUUCUUUCAAGCUUGGGUUGAAGGUGAAGUCUCAACAUGUGUCAUGGGCUUUAUUUGGUAAAUUUAUUUUCUCUUCCCCUCUAGUUUUUGUGGAUGUUUUGACUUCUCGUCGAUAAAUAAUAAUAAUAUUAUUUAGUACCGCCUUGGUUUCACCGGCUCCCUAAUACAAAGUUAUUGUUAUUUGGCACGAUAAGCCCUUAGCACCAUAUUGAUUAGAGCGUAGUUCAUGAGGUGUGAAUUCCCCCCUCAUGAUUUAAUUGGUAUUAAUAAGGAAUAUUUAGCCCAUGGUGCAUUUGAUAUGAAUUCAAAUACCCAAGUACGUCAAUUUAAUAGAUUUUCACUUUAAUUUCUUCUCGUCAUUUCAAUUCCAAUUUUUAGGAUAAUUUAAAUCACUUCCACCACAAAUCCAACCACCUCAUACAAAAUUAAUUCUAUAUAUAAUUAAAAUCCACCUCCUCGUGAGAUCGACACUCGUCACUAUUAGUCUAUUAUACAAUAGAUUCGUAAGCUUGCGAGUUCAAUAAAAUUUGCACAACAAGUUUUUGGCGCCGUUACUGGGGAGGUAAGUUAUUUUAAUUUGUAGAAUUAAUUUUUGUCAAUAAUUUCUUUUAUUUGUUUUCUUUUUUUUUCUUAUUAAAAAAAAGGGAAAAAAGAGAGUGAAUUUGCAUUUAGAGAUUAGUAUUUCUUUUCUUUUUCUCUUCUUUAAAAUUCUGUAAUUUAAUUUUCAAGUUAUUUUUUUCUUCUUUGUAAUUUUUGUUUAUCUUACUAAUUUUUUAAGUUAAUUUAUUUCACGUAUUUUUUUGUGUGUAUUUUUAUAGUAAGGUUGUAAUAGCGCGAUAAGGUUAGUAUCGUAAUUUCUCCCUCUUCUUUAUUUUUAUUUGUUUUGUUCCCAUCUUUAUUUUUAUUUUAUUUGUUUUACAUGCAUAGUCGAAGAUCAUUAUUACCUAAUCUUAAACCUAUAGACCUGGAACUAGAAAAAAUACUUCGCACACACAAGCACGUUAAAAAUAAAUUUGGAAUGGAUUUACAAGUACCACAAGAGAGGCCAUUUAAGGACUAUUUUAGUCCUUUAGCUAAUUUGAGCACAUCAUGUAUAAGAUACUCAAAUGUAGCUGCUACGAGUUUUGAACUAAGACCUAGUCUGCUAAAUUGUCUCCCAACAUUCUAUGGCCUAGAAAAUGAGGACCUUUAUAAUUAUUUGAAUGAUUUUCAUACUAUUUGUCAAACAUUUAAAUAUGAGAAUUUUUCAUAUGAUGAUGUAAAACUUAGACUAAUCCCAUUUUCUUUAAAGGAUAGAGCUCGUUCAUGGUUUAAUAUAUUGCCUGCUAAUACCAUUUCAUCAUGGGAACAAAUGGUAACGAAAUUUUUAAAUAAAUAUUUCCCAGUGCAUAAAACUAAUGCUAUUCGCAGGGAAAUUUCAAAGUUUACCCAUAGAGAAGAUGAGCAGUUUUUCGAAACAUGGCAGUAAUUUAAUGGGCUACUCUUGAAGUGUCCACAUCAUGGGUACGAGAAAUGACACCAAUGCCAAUACUUUUUGGAGGGAUUAUUGCUGAAUGUGUAAGAAUGACUAAUGGCAACAAGUGGAGGAGAGCUAAUGUCAAAAAGUGCAUCAGAGAUUUGGGAAUUCUUCUAGCGACAAGUGGAUAAUUCCCAACAACGGAGUCGAUCACUCAGGAAUACUAGAAGAAUUAAGGGAGUGAAUGAGGUUCACAUUGACGAGUCAACUUCAGGAAUCAAAGAAGUCAAGGAGAUGGUUGAAGGUAUCGCUCGACAAAUAGCAUCAUUAUCGACUGCUAAAUCAACAGAGCCACAUGACCAUGACUCAUACUCAGAUCAAGCCAAUACCAUAGGUGUAAUGAGAAGCCAUCAAAUUACAACCCAUACUCCAACACAUAUAACCCAGGAUGGAGAGACCACCCCAAUUUUUUAUGGUCUCAAGGAUUCCAACAGAAUGAAGCAGCAGCUCCAGCUCCACCAAUGCAACGAAUUCCUCAAGUUCCUCAAGCCUCUCAGCCACCAUUUAGACCAUACAAUCAGAACCAGAACUACUCUCAACCCAGACCAUGGGAGGAUGCAUUCCAGAAUUUCAAGAAUGUUACUCACUCUACGAUUGAGCAACAGAACCGCACCAUUGAUAGACUACGAAAUGAGUUGAGAGCAGGUUUCAACUCACAAGCCCAAUCAGUUUCAAGCCUUGAGAAGAUGGUGGGACAACUUGUUUCUUCAGUUCAGACCUUGGCAAUGACCGUUGAGAAAGGUAAAUUUCCAAGUCAACCAGUGCCUAAUCCUAAAGGAGUACAUGAUGCAAGUACUAGUUCACCACAGCAGCAUGGAGAGGUAAAAGUUGUCAUGACUUUGUGAAAAGAAAAAGAAGUCGACAACAAAGUGGAGAUGUAGGUGAUAAAAGAAAAUCAAAUUGUACCUGUAAAUGUUGAGGACUCAUCACCGGAGGAGAAAGAAGAAACGAACCUACGAGAAUAUGUUCCUAAAUCUCCAUUUCCUCAGAGGUUAGUAAAAGGAAAAAAGGAAAAAUUCACAGGUGAGAUUCUUGAAAUCUUCAAACAGGUAAGUGUUAACAUCCCUUUGUUUGACGCUAUAAAACAAGUUCCAUCUUAUGCUAAGUUUCUUAAAGACCUUUGUAUUAAAAAGAGAAACAUUCAUGUUCAAAAGAAGGCAUUUUUGACAGAAAACGUUAGUUCUAUACUCCAACAUAAAAUUCCUCUAAAAUGCAAAGACCCAGGCUCCCCCACUAUCUCAUGUAGUAUAGGGAACCACACAAUUGAAAAUGCUUUGUUGGAUUUAGGAGCUAGUGUAAAUCUGUUGCCUUAUUCAGUUUUCGUGAAACUUGGAUUGAGAGAAUUACACCCAACUCCAGUGGUGUUGCAGCUUGCAGAUCGGUCCACGAAAAUACCUCGUGGCAUUAUGGAAGACGUGCUUAUCCAGGUAGACAAGUUUUAUUUUUCUGUUGAUUUCAUUGUAAUUGACACUCAACCAAUUCAGGAUUCAAGGAAGCACAUCCUCAUUAUUCUAGGCCGACCUUUCUUGGCAACUGCAGAUGCUCACAUUCAAUGCAGGACUAGAAAUAUGCAGUUGUCCUUCGGCAACAUGACUAUGGAGCUGAACAUCUUCAACAUUGCCAAAUAGCCUCACAAUGCAGAUGAUAAAAUUGUUGAUGCAGAUUUAAUAGAAACAUUAGUUGAUAAUACCUUUGUUUCAAACCUUAGUGAUGACCCUUUACAAACAUGUUUAACUCAUUUUGGUUUAGAUUUUGAUAUUGACAGAUCAGUCGAUGAGGUCAACGCCCUACUUGACUCAGCACCAUCCAUGGAUACCAAUAAAUGGAAGUCAAGAGUUGAGCAACUAGCACCAUCAGGGAAGAAACUCAUCCCAUCAUUAGAAUCACCACCAAAACUCGAGCUCAAACCAUUACCCAACACUCUGGAAUAUGCAUUUUUGGGAGAAGAAAGUACUCUGCCAGUAAUCAUCUCAUCAUCCCUAAAUGACGAACAAAAAAGUAAGUUGUUGGAUGUUUUAAAAUAGCACAAAGGAGCAUUAGGAUGGACCAUAGCAGACAUAAAAGGUAUAAACCCAGUAGACUGCAUGCAUUACAUUCACCUCGAUGAAAAUGCUAAACCUACUAGGGCUCCUAAUAUGAAAAAAGUUGUUAGAACAGAAGUCCUUAAGCUAUUAGACGCAUGUAUUAUUUAUCCAAUUUCUGAUAGCUCAUGAGUCAGUCCUGUACAAGUUGUCCCUAAAAAGUCAGGAGUCACAGUAGCUACGAAUGCUGAUAAUGAAUUGAUACCCACUAGAGUGACUACAGGAUGGCGUGUAUGUAUUGAUUAUAGAAGUUAAAUUCUGUCACACGUAAAAACCAUUUUCCUUUACCAUUUAUUGAUCAAAUGCUUGAUAGAUUAGCAGACCAUGAAUUUUAUUGCUUUCUAGAUGGCUACUCAGGAUAUAAUCAGAUUACCAUAGCACCAAAAGAUCAAGAGAAUACCACUUUCACUUGCCCUUUUGGCACUUUUGCAUAUAUGAGAAUGCCAUUUAGAUUAUGUAAUGCACCUGCUACAUUUCAACGAUGCAUGUUAAGUAUUUUUUCUGAUAUGCUUGAAUGAUUUCUUGAAGUCUUUAUGGAUGACUUUUCUAUCUUUGGUGACUCGUUUGAUCAAUGUUUACAUCAUUUAACGCUAGUUAUGUAGAAAUAUAUCGAGAAUAACUUGGUCUUAAAUUGAGAGAAGUGUCAUUUUAUGAUAAAACAAUGUAUUGUUCUCGGUUACAUCAUUUCGAGCAAAGGUAUUGAGAUUGACAAAACAAAGGUGGAUCUUAUUUCUAAUCUUCCUCCAUCUAAAACAAUCAGAGAAGUAAGAUCUUUCCUUGGGCAUGCUGGUUUUUAUAGACGUUUCAUUAAAGAUUUUAGCAAAGUUUCUAGACCCUUAUGCAAUCUACUUGCUAAGGAUGUACCUUUUGUCUUUAAUGAUUCAUGUCUUGUGGCGUUUGAAAAACUAAAGCAGUUGUUGACAUCAUCACCCAUCAUUCAGCCCCCAAACUGGAGCUUACAAUUUGAACUCAUGUGUGAUGCAUCUGAUUAUGCAGUAGGAGCAGUAUUAGGACAAAGAGUUGAUCGAAUUUCCCAUGUUAUUUACUAUGCUAGUAUGACAUUGAAUAAUGCACAGUUGAACUAUCCAACUACUGAAAAAGAAAUGCUAGCAGUAGUGUUUGCAUUUGAAAAAUUUCGAUCUUAUCUCAUUGAUUGUAAAAUAAUUAUAUUCACAGAUCAUGCUGCUCUUAAAUAUCUUCUCAUAAAGAAAGAUGCAAAAGUUAGACUAAUUCGUUGGGUGUUACUUUUGCAGGAAUUUGACUUGGAAUUCAAAGAUAAGAAAAGCAUAGAAAAUGUUGUGGCAGACCAUCUCUCUCGUCUCUAUUUUGACACAAUUACAGAGCCUUUAACAUUGAAAGAGUCAUUUCCAAAUAAACAAUUAAUGAGUGUGGAAGUAUUACCUUGGUAUGCUGAUAUCGUUAAUUAUCUUAUUACAGGUCAACUUCCAGAGCAUUGGACUAAGCAAGAUAAGGCUAAAUUCUUUGUAGAAAUAAAGAAUUUCUUUUGGGAUGACCCUUAUUUGUUCAAGUAUUGUGCAAAUCAAAUUAUUAGACGAUGUGUCCCAGAAAAUGAAAUUCAGAAUAUCCUUUCAUUCUGCCAUGAACAAGCUUGUGGAGGCCAUUUCAGUACUAAGAAAACAACGACUAAAGUUUUACAAUAUGGUUUCUAUUGGCCAACUAUAUUUCGAUAUGCUUACACUUUCUGUUCUUCAUGUGAUAGGUGUCAACGAAUGGGGAGCAUUACACGAAGGAACAUGAUGCCACUAAAUCCAAUUUUAGUGGUUGAGAUUUUUUACGUAUGGGGUAUCGACUUCAUGGGACCCUUUCCCCCUUCUUUUGGCCAUCAAUACAUAUUGGUUGCUAUUGACUAUGUAUCGAAAUGGGUAAAAGCAAUUCUAUGUAGAACCAAUGGUCACAAGGUGGUGAUAGGAUUUUUGAAAAGCAACAUUGUUUCGCGCUUUGGAUUCCCUCGAGCAAUAAUCAGUGAUGGUUGUGCCCACUUUUGUAACAAAGCAUUCAAAACUCUUUUGACAAAGUAUUCAAUCACUCACAAAGUGGCAACUCUAUAUCAUUCGUAAACUAGUGGCCAAGUUGAGAUCUCUAAUCGAGAAAUAAAGCACAUAUUAGAAAAGAUGGUAAAGUCAGACAGAACAGAUUGGUCAUUAAGACUUGAUGAUGCAUUAUGGGCAUAUAGAACGGCUUUCAAGACCCCGAUUGGGAUGUCACCCUACAGGCUAGUGUAUGGAAAAGCUUGCCACCUACCUGUGGAACUAGAGCAUCGUGCAUAUUGGGCCAUCAAGAAACAACUUUGACAUGCAGCAAGCCAGCUCAGAAAGAAGAUUACAACUGGCCGAACUUGAAGAAAUUCGCAAUGAUGCAUACGAAAAUGCCAAGAUUUACAAGCAACGAAUGAAAGUCUUUCACGACAAGCAAAUUAUGAGAAAAACUUUUACUCUAGGUCAGAAAGUGCUUUUAUUUAAUUCUCGCUUGCACUUAUUCCCAGGUAAGUUACGCUCUUGAUGGUCUGACCCCUUUAUUGUUCAUACUGUUUUUCCACAUAGGGCAAUUGAAAUUAAGGACCCAAAGAACGGUGUCAUGUUUAAAGUUAAUGGUCAAAGAUUAAAGCCAUAUCUAGAGUACCAACCACAUGGAGAAGACACCGAAAUAAAUUUGAAUGACCCACCAGAUUUGAAUUGAUUUUUUUUCUUUUCGGUGAUUUGAUUUUUUUCUUUCUUUCUUUAUAUUAUUCUUUUGCUAUUUGGAAUUAUUUUUGCAUAAGUGUGUUUGUUUAACCAUUAAGUUUUUUUUUCUUAUCAUUAUUAAUCAUGAGUACUAUACUUAAACUAUUUCUCCUGAACAUUCUUAAACCACUUCAACGUGUAAAAUCUCAUCUCAAAAGACAAAUUUGAUUUUGUAAGGCACAUCGUAUUUGGGCUCUGCAACCACCAGAGUUAGUAUCCUAUGUUGAGGGUUUAGAAAGCCAACUCAAAGACAUUGAGAGAAGUGUUUACGACAUCCAGUUGGAGCUUGAGGUAAAUUCAAUAAGAGGAUGAUUUUAAUUUUCUUUGUGUGUUUUAAUUUAUUUUUUUGUUUGUGUGCUUUAGUUUGUUACCCCGGUGAAGUGACGGAUAACGGUACUCCGUGACAAUCAAGUCGGUUACUUCAGUUUUCCCAUAAUAACUGAUAUUCUGAGGCGAAUGUAUGGACAGAAAUGAAAUUCUAGCGAAGCUUCACAAGCGAUUCCCUUCACUUCCUCAGAAUGCCCUCCGUACAAUCUAUAAAGCCCGGUCCGAACGCAUGCGAUUGCUCAUGAGGAAUAACAUACCUGCUGACAUCCGUUGGUUAAUCGAGGCUAAAGUACGAUUGGCAGGUGAGUUACCUCCAAAAUUUAUUGCAUACAUGCCUGGGUGUGGUAAAGGAAAUUUUGCAAGAAAAUGACGAGCUCGAAGAAUUUCUGUUGCUUGUCAUAAGUGUACCAGAAUGAGUUGCGAUAAAAACCCAUGUUAUUUAGGAAUGGUGUCUGAUAACAGGGAAGAUAAGAUUCAAUUCAUUAGGGAUGGCUUAAAAAAGGAGUCAUUGGAUGAUAUCCUUCUAUCUCUUGAAACGCAUCCCAGUGGAUAUGUGCAAGGAGCGAUUCUCCAGUUAUGACCAUUAUUCCAGAAAGAGCAUGUAUGAUAUAGUCUCGGGAAUCUAACUAUAAAUGACCCUGUUUGCCAGUUUAUAAGAAAACUGGAUGGGAAGCACAUCCUCGACCCAUAGAGGGCGUUCAAGCCAUUUCUGGACGUAAAACCAGAGGAAGAUGUGUGCCACAGUCGCAACUACAUGUAAAUAUCCUUUUACUUCACUGUUAUUUUAUUUCACUGUUAUUUUAUCUUUUCCAUUAUUGUCUUUAAUAAUUUUAUUUUAUCAUUAUUUCUUUUUCUUUUUACUAUUUCCUUUUUUACUCGCGAUCCAUGUGCUUUACGCGGUAUUUGACACUGACAUGCCACCUCAUACACAGUUAUGACCCACUGUCACCAAGAUUCUUAAAUAUGACUUUUUUUUAAGCACUCACAAAUUAUUUUUGAGAAAUAUUCCAAUAGCAGCUAUCCCAAUAGACAAUUCAAGAACAUUUGUGUGCUUUCUGGAUUUACCUAUGGCAAACAUAAAGAGUUCAUUGAUGCAGCCAUAGAUCUUAGUUGAAGUAUAGAAGAGAGAAAAUUACACUUGGUGUAUGGAGGAGGUAACCGAGGGUUAUCAAAAUUGGUCUCAGAAGCUGCUUUUGUCAGAGGAAGCCAAGUGUUAGGCAUCAUUCCAAGAGCCCUAAACCUUUUGGGUAGUUUGUCUGACUCAUCGACUGGAGAAGAGCUAGUCGUCUCAGGUAUGCAAGAAAGAAUAACUGAAAUGCUUAAUCAUGUUGAUGUUUUUAUUUUCCUUCCAGGAGAUCUUGCAACACUAGAGGCAUUUAUCACGCUAGCAUCUUAGGCCCAUUUGCACAUUCACCAGAAACCCAUCGGUUUGUUAAAUGUCAAUAAUUUUUAUGAUGGCUUCAUCGCAUUUCUUAACCAUGCAAUAAAAAACUAUUUCAUUCCUUCCAAUGCGAAAAAGCUUUUUAUUUGUGCUCACACUGCUAAUGAGCUACUUGAUAUGUUAAAAGCUUAUAAACCGGAGCCAGACCCCUGGACCUUGUGUUGGAGCGUCCAAAUAAUGACGGUAACAGUAGCUGCAGUAAGAAGUACAAAUUAGAUUUAACUCUUCGCUUGUAAAUAUUUUCUUCUGUGUUGCACCACCCAGGUGAUGUCUUCUAAACUCUACUUCUUUCCUUUAAAACAUUGAGGACAAUGUUUUGUUCUGGUUGGGGUGAGGGAAUAGUCGACAAUUGUGGAAUUUUGGUUAAGUUUUUACUAAUUUUUUGUUGUAGAAACUAAGGUGGUGUUUGUUUUUUUAUCUGAAAUCUGAAUAGACCUGAAUGUCUGAAUCUGAAUAAUAUGUUUAUUUUUUCGUCUGAAUCUCGAAAAAUAAGUAUUAAGUUGUUUGUUUUUUUCAACUUAAAAAGUUGAAAAUAUGUACUUUUACAUUUGUAUCCUUAUUAAUUUUGAAUGUCAAAUAAAUAAUAUAUUAAAUACCACAAUAUUUUAACAUUUAUAAGUAAAACUAUAUUCAAGUGAAUACAUAAUUAUUUUAGAAUUUUAAUAUAUAAAAUACCAUAAAUUUCAAAUUUUAUCAUAUAUAAUAUAAGAAAGAAAAAAUAUGAAUAUUUUUAUAUGGGGUAAAUAUCUAUAGGUGAGUUUUGGGAUAGACAUGAAAAAUAAAUUAUAAAACAGGGAUAUUUUUUACAUUAGCAAGUAAUUGACUUAAUUCAGAUUUCUCCAUUAAGUAAAAGGCUAAAAAAAUUAGGUUAUUUUAUUAAGUCAAAAUUAUCUAAAAAGUCUCAUUAAGUUAUAAAAACAAACACCUCUAAUUAACUUAAUUAAUUAAGUUAAGUCACUUUAAGUCAUUAAGUUAAAAAAACAAACGCCACCUAACUAUUGCUAACUUUUUGUGUUGAAGAUGGCUGAAUAUGGAGUGUAGUGACUCUACAAACGCAUCUUCAUCGUUUAAAAAAAAAAAAAUUAGACAUUUUCUUUUUCUUUAUUAUGUUUUGAUAUUCAUUUUUCUUUUUCUUUUUAAUUUCUCCUUUAUAAAUAUACAUUUUCAAUUUUUUUUUUGAGUCGAAGAUGGCUGAAUAGGGAGUAUAGUGCCUCUAGAAACGCAUCUUCUCAAGUUAAAAAAAAAAUCAUUUUCGUUUUCUAUCAUUUUCUAAUUAGUUUUUCUGCAUCAUUUUCACAUUUCUGCAUGUAUAUUUUCGUUUCAUGUUUAGAAUAGGUUGGGGGGUAGGAUGUUGUUUAAAAAAAAAUUUUUUGUGAUUUGUUUUAACAUUGGAUGACAUGAUGAAUUUUAAAUUUUAGUAUUUGUAUUAUCUUUAGUCUGAAGUGAUGUUACGCUAUGUUUGCUACUCUACAUGUUGAUGUCGGAGACAAAUAUGAAUUGCUUGAAGGAAUGAACAUGUCAUAUUAGCCAAUAUCUUACAAGUUUCAUCACCUAUUUAUAUUUGAGAAAAAUGUAAAUAAAUAUUUUGUAUAGUGAAGUUAUGCCCAACAAAAGCAAACAAAAAAAAAUUGUUGUUUCAAAAAAAAGAAAAAAAUGACAAUAAUAUGUGAAAUCCACCUUGCAACUUAAAAAAAAAAAACAAAAAAAAAAUUUCUCUGCAUUUUUCUCAAACAUACACUUUGUUUUCCUUAUUUCCUUUCUUUGUUAACCAUGUCCCUAACCUACGUUACGUCCUAAUCAAAGUCCUUCUUGAUUUUAGGGAACUAUAAUAUGAAGUAGAAGCUAGUUAUAUGGGCUAAAAAGAUGUAGUGGUGCAUUAAAAAAAUAAUAAAUAAAAAGAAAUAAAUUGGGUUGACUAGUAUUUUUAUUUGACUUGAGAUCGUAUUAUUUCUAAGUUGCGGGCAUAUUUCUUUCAUCUUAGUGAGAGCAUGUGAUAUCACUUCUUUAUUAUUUUCUCUCAAUUACCAUUCAUUGGAGUGACUAUUUUUAUUGGGUUUAAUUUCUUUGUGAGAGUGUCACUACUUCUAGUGAGAUUUUGGGGUUUGACAUGUCAUUCUUGAAAGUAGCUGUGACAAAGUCUACUGGGCUGAUUCAUGUGGAUGGUUGAUGUGGGUGUGAUGUUUCUUUAGACUUGAGAUAAUGCUUAUACUUUUAUUUGAUUGUUAUCAUUAGUUUGAUUGAAUAAACAAGAGUGUUUAAAAAAAAAAAUCAUUUUGGAUUUGAAUUUUGUUUUCGCUUUAUUUGCUAGGGACUAGCAAUAAGCUGGUUGGGGGGUGUGUUGAGUGUUAGAAAAUGCAUAUUUAUAAAGGAGAAAAUCGUCAUUUUAUAUUUCACGUCUUACAAACAACGCUUACUUUUAUGUAUUUAAGCUUCUUGUAAUUUAAUUAUGUGUGUUUUAUUUUAAUUAAGUAUUUUAUGUAUUUUAGGGGCAUUAUGAUCAUUUUAUAAUAAACGAGAGAUCAGACGGCAAAACGGACAUCACUUUUGAACUCAGGACGGUCGAAAACCUUAGGAAGAGCAUAAAAGGAAAAAUAGCAUUGUUCACAUGUACGGUACUAUUCACAUGUACGGUACUAUCUACGUUACUGUUCACGACACUAUUUACAUAGACGGAUCGAUGAUGUGGCAUUGACCGAUGAUAUGGUAUUGACUGAUGAGUGUCACGAUCUUGUUGGACUAAAAUUCUUAUGCACUAUUUAUCGAUGACGUGGCAGCAUAUCAGUGGACCAAAAAUCUCGCGUACGGUACAUGCAUUAAACAGGAUUAUUUUCAACCAAACUGCGUCACUAUUCAAUCCGGGUCAAACCAUGUUACUGUUCAUCUGCGUGGCCAAACCGCGUACUGUUGACUGAUGACGUGGCGCAAUCCUGAGCGUCCAAACUGUUUUUAAUCUGAUGGCCACGAUUUACUCAAUGUAUCUAUAACAAGGGGGCCUCCUCCCCCUAAUUUGAUACCUUUGAAUCUAUUUUUGGGAUCCAUUUUCUGUAAUUCCUUCUCCAUCUUGUAUUUUCUACAUAUUUUAAUAAAUUCCCAUUUUACCCCUAGUUCAAUUAUGAGUAGCUAAUUUUCUUUCAAGCUUGGGUUGAAGGUGAAGUCUCAACAUGUGUCUUGGGCUUUAUUUAGUAAAUUUAUUUUCUCUUCCCCUCUAGUUUUUGUGGAUGUUUUGACUUCUCGUCGACAAAUAAUAAUAAUCUUGUUUAGUACCGCCUUGGUUUCACCGGCUCCCUAAUACAAGGUUAUUAUUAUUUGGCAUGAUAAACCCUUAGCAUCAUAUUGAUUAGAGCGUGGUUCAUGAGGUGUGGAUUCCCCCCUCAUGAUUUAAUUGGUAUUAAUAAGGAAUAGUUAGCCCAUGGUGCAUGUUGAUACGGAUCCAGAUACCCAAGUACGUCAAUUUAAUAGAUUUUCACUUUAAUUUCUUCUCGCCAUUUCAAUUCCAAUUUUUAGGAUAAUUUAAAUCACUUCCACCACAAAUCCAACCACCUCAUACAAAAUUAAUUCUACAUAUAAUUAAAAUCCACCUCCUUGUGGGAUCGACACUCGUCACCAUUAGUCUAUUCUAUAAUAGAUUCGUGCGCUUGCAAGUUCAAUAAAAUUUGCACAAUAGUUAGCUUAUCGAAUUAACAGCUCACUUAUCAUCUUCAAUAUUUUGCAGAUUGAUUUUAGAGAUGUGGGUUUUUUGGUCUAAAGAAGAGGAUUUGUUAGGUCAGAAACUUUGGUGUUUUCUAAAUGAAUAAGUUGUUGCUACUUUGGUUAUUGUUUAGACUUGAAUUUUUGUUUUAGAGAAUUAUUGUUAUAUUUAUUAUUUUAGAGACUAUGUUUCGACUAUAGCUAUUUUCGUUUAGGAAUAGCAAUAAGAUUAAUGUUAAGAGGUUUCGUUCUAAAUUUCUCUUGGGAUUCUUAAGUGAAUUUGGAGUGUUAUAUUUUUGGUAUCAGAGAAAAUGGUUAUAAGAUUCUGUAGACAUUUAAGGUCAAUGACCAAUAGCUUAGGAUUGAAAUCCUAUAGAGGUCUUGCACACUUUUAAGACUGUAGUGAUUUAUGAUAGGUAAAAUACAGAGCUGAUUAUAGGUAUGUCCAAAAAUUUAUUUUCAUUGAUGGAUUUGUACGAAUAAUUUCAAUGUUUCACAGUUUUGCUCUUGUUAAAGAGUUUGACUUUUAAGUUAUUGAUUUAUUCAUAUGUUUAUAGGUAUAUGAUUUUAUCUGUAAUUUGAAAAAAAAUGCAAUGUUCAAUUUUUCUACUUGUAUAUGCUUAAUGACCAACAAAAUAAUGCCUCCUAGCAAUGAUACUAGUUGAACCCUACCAUAUGAGAGUGAUAGAGUAGCUCGAGGGUAAUUGGUCCUUGGAUUAGGGUUGAUCCUGGUACUGCCUAAUGUAUUACAGUGGUGGUUGAGGUUGAGACGAGUAAUCUAUAGGGAGUAGUUAAGCAGAAAGCCCCACCCUUCAUGAAAUGGCUUAAAAUGCUAACCUGACAAUGCAGAUGUUAUUUUGAGAACGGAUUGAUUAGUAACCUAUCAUGCUAGUGUUGGGUAUUUCUCAAAGGAGAUUUUAUUUAAAAUUUUGGAGAUAUAGAAUUUCAGUUUAAAGGCAACCAAAAAAAUUAUGGGGGGCUAAUAUUUGUACUUAAGGCUAACAAGAUAUUAGCAAAAGGAUGUGAGGGCUUUUUAGCAUAUGUGGUGACCGAUAAUAAUAGUGAAGUUUGACUGAUAAUAAUAGUGAAGCUUCCCUUGGGGAUUUCAGGUGGUUGGGGAAUUUUUAGAUGUAUUUUGUUGUGCAAAUUUUAAUGAACUCGCAAGCACACGAAUCUAUUGUAGUGUAGAUCAAUGGUGACGAGUGUCGAUCCCACGAGGAGGUGGAUUUUAAUUGUGUGUAGAAUUAAUUCUGUAAAUGGGUGAUUGGAUUUGUGGUGGAAAUGAUUUUGAAUAUACUAAAACUUAAAUUAAAAUGGUGAGAAUAAAUUCUAAAAUUGGAAUUGAAAUAACGAGAAUAAAUUGAAGAGAAUUCUAUUGAAAUGACGUACUUGGGUAUCUGGAUCCGUAUCAACAUGCAUCAUGGGCUAAAUAUUCCUUAUUAAUGCCAAUUAAAUCAUGAGGGGGGAAUCCACACCUCAUGAACCACGCUCUAAUCAAUAUGGUGCUAAGGGCUUAUCGUGCCAAAUAAUAAUAACCUUAUACUAGAGAGCCGGUGUAACCAAGGCGGUAUCUAGACAAGAUCAGUAUUAUUUGUCGACGAUAAGUCAAAUCAUCCACAAAAACUAGAGGGGAAAAGAAAAUAAAUUUACCAAAUAAAGCCCAUGACACAUGUUGAGACUUCACCUUCAACCCAAGCUUGAAAGGAAAUUAGCUACUCAUAAUUGAAUUAGGGGCAAAAUGGGAAUUUAUUAAAAUACAAAGAAAAUACAAGAUGGAGAAGGAAUUACAGAAAAUGGAUCCCAAAAAUGGAUUCAGAGAUAUCAAAUUAGGGGGGGGAGGCCCCCUUUUUAUAGAUACAUGGAGUAAAUCAUGGCCAUCGGAUUAAAAACAGUUUGGACGCUCAGGAUUGCGCCACGUCAUCAGUCAACAGUCCACGGUUUGACCACGCGGAUAAACAGUAACACGGUUUGACCCGGAUGAACAGUAACACGGUUUGGUUGAAAAUAAUCCUGUGUGAUGCAUGCACCGUACGCGAGAUUUUUCGUCCACUGAUAUGCUGCCACGUCACCAUCAACAGUACAUAAGAAGUUUAGUCCAACAGGAUCGUGACACCUCAUCAGUCAAUGCCACAUCAUCGGUCAAUGCCACGUCAUCGAUCCGUCUAUGUGAACAGUGUCGUGAACAGUAACGUAGACAGUACCGUAUACGUGAAUAGUACCGUACAUGUGAAUAGUGCCAUUUUUCCUUUUAUGCUCCUCCUAAGGUUUUCGACCGUCCUGAGUUCAAAAGUGAUGUCCGUUUUGCCGUCUGAUCUCUCCUUUAUUGUGAAAUGACUAUAAUGCCCCUAAAAUAUAUAAAAUACUUAAUUAAAAUAACACACACGUAAUUACAUCACAAGAAGGUUAAAUACAUAAAAGUAAGGGUUGUUAGUAAGACUUGAAAUGUAAAAUGACGGUUUUCUCCUUUAUAAAUAUGCAUUUUCUAACACUCAACACACCCCCCAACCAGCUUAUUGCUAGUCCCUAGCAAAUAAUGCGAAAUCAAAAUUCAAAUUCAAAAUGAUUUUUUUUUUUUUUUUUAGAAACACUCGUGUUUAUUCAAUCAGAUUAAUUAUAGCAAUCAAAUAAAAGUAUAAGCAUUAUCUCCAGUCUAAAGCAACAUCACACCCACAUCAACCAUCCACAUGAAUUAGCCCAGUAGACUUUGUUAUAGCUACUUUCAAGAAUGACAUGUCAAACCCCAAAAUCUCACUGGAAGUAGUGACACUCUCACAAAGAAAUUAAAACCCAAUAAACAUAGUCACUCCAAUGAAUGGUAAUUGAGAGAGAAAAUAAUAAAGAAAUGAUAUCACAUGCUCUCACCAAGAUGAAAUAAAUAUGCCCUCAGCUUAGAAAUAAUACGAUCUCAAGUCAAAUAAAAUGUUAGUUAACCCACUUUAUUUAUCUUUUUUUUUUAUUAUUAUUAUUAUGCAUCACUACAUCUUUUUAGCCCAUAUAACUAGCUUCUACUUCAAACUAUAGUUCCCUAAAAUCAAGAAGGACUUUUAUUAGGACGUAACGUAGGCUAGGGAUAUGGCUAACAAAGAAAGGAAAUAAGGAAAACAAAGUUUAUGUUUGAGAAAAAUGCAGAAUUUUUUUUUUUUUUUUAAAGUUGCAAGGUGGAUUUCACCUAUUAUUGUUAUUUUAUUCUUUUGAAACAACAACUUUUGUUUUUUUUGUUUUUUUUUUUUUGCUUUUAUUUGGCAUAACUUCACUGAACAACAUAAUUAUUUACAUUUUCUCAAACAUAAAUAGGUGAUGGAACUUAUAAGACAUCGGGUAAUACUCCAAAUUAGAGUGGGUCAAGAUGAUAAGUUGACAAAGAAAUUUUUUUCUUCUUUUUUUUUUUUAAAGGCUCAAAAGGGGUAACUAUGGAUAUUUAAUAACAGGGAUGGCUAGAAAGGCUCAAACGGAUCAAAGAUGGCCUUUCCAUCGUUUUUUAGGGCUCUAAAUAAUUAUCCAUAUCUACUAGUUAGAUGGGCCUCCCAAUGUAGCAACACACAUUUUUUCUUUUUUUUUUUUAAUUUUACCAUUUUUUUUUAUAGGGUUAACUCAAAAGAAAUCUAGAGAUCGUGUAUAAAAUAAUAAACUGCUAAGCUGUAUAGAAAAUGGGCAAAAGGGUUACUCUCCAAGAAAAUGAUAGGCUCAACUACUCACUUGGCACUUAUUUAUGACAUGUUCAUUCCUUCAAGCAACUCAUAUUUGUCUCCGACAUCAACAUGUAAAGUAGCAAACAUAGCGUAACAUCACUUAAGGCCAAAGAUAAUACAAAUACUAAAAUUUGAAAUUAAUCAUGUCAUCCAAUGUUAAAACAAAUAACACAAUUUUUUUUGUUUUUUUUUAAACAACAUUCUACCCCCCAACCUAUUCUAAACAUGAAAGGAAAAUAUGCAUGCAGAAAUGUGAAAAUGAUGUAGAAAAAUUAAUUAGAAAAAGAAUUUUUUUUUUUUUAAACUAAGAAGAUGCGUUUCUAGAGGCACUACACUCUAUAUUCAGCCAUCUUCGACUCAAAAAUUUGAAAAUAUAUAUUUAUAAAGGAGAAAGAGGAAGAAAACGAUUUUUUUUUUUGUUUUUUUUUUGUUUUUUUUGUUUUUUAAACGAUGAAGAUGCGUUUCUAGAGUAACUACACUCCAUAUUCAGCCAUCUUCAACACAAAAUGUUAGCAACAGUUAGUUUCUACAACAAAAAAUCAGUAAAAACUUAACCAAGAUUCCACAAUUGUCGACUAUUCCCUCCCCCCAACCAGAACGAAACAUUGUCCUCAAUGUUUUAAAGGAAAGAAGUAGAGUUUAGAAGACAUCACCUGGGUGGUGCAACACAGAAGAAAAUAUUUACAGGCGGAGAGUUAAAUCUAAUUUGUACUUCUUACUGCGGCUACUGUUACCAUCAUUAUUUGGUCGCUCCAACACAAAGGUCCAGGGGUCUGGCUCCGGUUUAUAAGCUUGUAACAUAUCAAGUAGCUCAUUAGCAGUGUGAGCACAAAUAAAUAGUUUUUUCACAUUAGAAGGAAUGAAAUAGUUUUUUAUUACAUGGUUAAGAAAUGAGAUAAAGCCAUCAUAAAAGUUAUUGACAUUUAACAAACCGAUGGGUUUCUGGUGGAUGUGUAGAUGGGCCCAAGAUGCUAGUGUGAUAAGUGCCUCUAGUGUUGCAAGAUCUCCUGGAAGGAAAAUAAAAGCAUCAGCAUGAUUAAGCAUUUCAGUUAUUCUUUCUUGCAUACCUGAGACGACUAACUCUUCUCCAGUUGAUGAGUUAGACGAACUGCCCAAUGGUUUUAGGACUCUUGGGAUGAUGCCUAACACUUGACUUCCUCUGAUAAAAGCUGCUUCGGAGACCAUUUUUGAUAAUCCUCGGUUACCUCCUCCAUACACCAAGUGUAAUUUUCUCGCUGCUAUGCUUCGACCAAGAUCUAUGGCUGCCUCCACGAACUCUUUAUGUUUGUCAUAGGUAAAUCCAGAAAGCACACAAAUGUUCUUGAAUUGUCCAUUGGGAGUAGCUGCCAUUGUGAUACUUCUCAAAAACAAUUUGUGAGUGCUUGACAAAAGAUAAAUCACAUUUAAGAAUCUUGGUGACAGUGGAUCACAGCUGUGAAGGAGGUAACAUGUCAGUGUCAAAUAACGCGUAAAGCACGUGGCUCGCGAGUCAAAAAGGAAACAGUAAAAAGGAAAAAGCAAACAGUAAUAAAAUUAUUAAAGACAAUAAUACAAACGAUAAAACAACAGUAAAAUAAAACAACAGUAAAGUAAAAGGAUAUUUACAGGUAGUUGCGACUGUGGCUCACAUCUUCCUCUGGUUUUACGUCCAGAAACGGCUUGAACGCCCUCUAUGGGUCGAGGAUCGGCUUCCCAUCAAGUUUUCUUAUAAACUGACAAACAGGGUCAUUUAUAGUCAGAUUCCCGAGACUAUAUCGUGCAUGCUCUUUCUGAAAUAAUGGCCAUAAUCGGAGAAUCGCUCCUUGCACAUAUCCACUGGGAUGCGUUUCAAGAGACAAAAUGAUAUCAUCCAAUGACUCCUUAUUCAAGCCAUCCCUAAUGAAUUGAAUCUUAUCUUCCCUGUUAUCAGACACCAUUCCUAAAGAACAUGGGUUUCUAUCGCAACUCAUUCUGGCACACUUAUGACAAGCAACAGAAAUUCUUCGAGCUCGUCGUUUUCUUGCAUAAUUUCCUUUACUACAACCAGGCAUGAAUGCAAUAAAUUUUGGAGGUAACUCACCUGCCGAUCGUACUUUAGCCUCGAUUAACCAACGGAUGUCAGCAGGUAUGUUAUUCUUCAUGAGUAAUCGCAUGCGUUCGGACCGAGCUUUAUAGAUCGUAAAGAGGGCAUUCUGAGGAAGUGAAUGGAAUCGCUUGUGAAGCUUCGCUAGAAUCUCGUUUAUGUCCAUACUUUCGCCUCAGAAUGUCAGUUAUUAUGGGAAACUGAAGUAACCGACUUGAUUGUCACGGAGUACCGUUAUCCGCCACUUCACCGGGGUAACAAACUAAAGCACAAAAACAGAAAAACAAAUCAAAACACACAAAGAAAAUUAAAAUCGUCCUCUUAUUGAAUUUACCUCAAGCUCCAACUGGAUGUCGUAAACACUUCUCUCAAUGUCUCUGAGUUGGCGUUCUAAACCCUCAACAUAGGCUACUAACUCUGGUGGUUGUAGAGCCCAAAUGCGUUGUGUUUUACAAAAUUGAAUCUGCUUUUUGAGAUGAGUUUUGACACGUUGAAGUGGUUUAAGAAUGUUCAGGAGGAACGGUCUAAGUAUGGUACUCAUGAUUAACAAUGAUAAGAAAAAAAAACUUAAUGGUAAAACAAACACACUUAUGCAAAAAUAAUUUCAAUUAGCAAAAGAAUAAUAAAAAGAAAGAAAGAAAAAUCAAAUCAACAAAAAGAAAAAAUCAAUUCAAAUCUGGUGGGUCACUCAAAUUUAUUUCGGUGUCUUCUCCAUGUGGUUGGUACUCAAGAUAUGGCUUUAAUCUUUGACCAUUAACUUUAAACGUGACACCGUUCUUUGGGUCCUUAAUUUCAAUUGCCCGAUGUGGAAAAACAGUAUGAACAAUAAAGGGACCAGACCAUCGAGAGCGUAACUUACCUGGGAAUAAGUGCAAACGAGAAUUGAAUAAAAGCACUUUCUGACCUGGAGUGAACGAUUUUCUCAUAAUGUGCUUGUCAUGAAAGACUUUCAUUCGUUGCUUGUAAAUCUUGGCAUUUUCGUAUGCAUCAUUACGAAUUUCUUCAAGUUCUGCCAGUUGUAAUCUUCUUUCUGAGCUGGCUUGCUGCAUGUCAAAGUUGAAUUUCUUGAUGGCCCAAUAUGCACGAUGCUCGAGUUCCACAGGUAGGUGGCAAGCUUUUCCAUACACUAGCCUGUAGGGUGACAUCCCAAUCGGGGUCUUGAAAGCCGUUCUAUAUGCCCAUAAUGCAUCAUCAAGUCUUAAUGACCAAUCUUUUCUGUCUGGCCUCACUGUUUUUUCUAAUAUGUGCUUGAUUUCUCGAUUGGAGAUCUCAACUUGGCCACUGGUUUGCGGAUGAUACGGGGUCGCCACUUUGUGUGUGAUUGAAUACUUUGUCAAAAGAGCUUUGAAUGCUUUGUUACAAAAGUGGGCACCACCAUCACUGAUUAUCGCUCGAGAGAAUCCAAAGCGCGAAACAAUAUUGCUUUUCAAAAAUCCUAUCACCACUUUGUGAUCAUUGGUUCUGCAUGGAAUUGCUUCCACCCAUUUCGAUACGUAGUCAAUACCAACCAAUAUGUAUUGAUGGCCAAAAGAAGGGAGAAAGGGUCCCAUGAAGUCGAUACCCCAUAUGUCAAAAAUCUCAACCAUUAAAAUUGGAUUUAGUGGCAUUAUGUUCCUUCGUGUAAUGCUCCCCAUUCGUUGACACCUAUCACAUGAAGAACAGAAAGUGUAAGCAUCUCGAAAUAUAGUUGGCCAAUAGAAACCACAUUGUAAAACUUUAGUCGCUGUUUUCUUAGCACUGAAAUGGCCUCCACACGCUUGUUCAUGGCAGAAUGAAAGGAUAUUUUGAAUUUCACUUUCUGGGACACAUCACCUAACAAUUUGAUCUGCACAAUACUUGAACAAAUACGGGUCAUCCCAAAAGAAAUUCUUUAUUUCCGCAAAGAAUUUAGCCUUGUCUUGCUCGGUCCAAUGCUCUGGAAGUUUACCUGUAACAAGAUAAUUAACUAUAUCAGCAUACCAAGGUAAUACUUCCACAUUCAUUAAUUGUUCAUCUGGAAAUGACUCAUUCAAUGGUAAUGGUUCCAUAAUUGUAUCAAAAUGGAGGCGAGAGAGAUGGUCAGCUACAACAUUCUCUGUGCCUUUCUUAUCUUUGAAUUCCAAGUCAAAUUCCUGCAAAAGUAACACCCAACGAAUUAGUCUAGCUUUUGCAUAUUUCUUUGUGAGAAGAUAUUUAAGAGCAGCAUGAUCUGUGAAUAUAAUUAUUUUACAACCAAUGAGAUAAAAUCGAAAUUUCUCUAAUGCAAACACUACUGCUAGCAUUUCUUUUUCAGUAGUUGAAUAGUUCAACUGUGCAUCAUUCAAUGUCAUACUAGCAUAGUAAAUAACAUGGGGAAUUCGAUCAACUCUUUGUCCUAAUACUGCUCCUACUGCAUAAUCAGAUGCAUCACACAUGAGCUCAAAUGGUAAGCUCCAGUUUGGGGCCUGAAUGAUGGGUGAUGAUGUCAACAACUGCUUUAAUUUUUCAAAUGCCACAAGACAUGAAUCAUUAAAGAUAAAAGGUACAUCCUUAGCAAGUAGAUUGCAUAAGGGUCUAGAAACUUUGCUAAAAUCUUUAAUGAAACGUCUAUAGAAACCAGCAUGCCCAAGGAAAGAUCUUACUUCUCUGACUGUUUUGGGUGGAGGAAGAUUAGAAAUGAGAUCCACCUUGGCUUUGUCAACCUCAAUACCUUUGCUUGAAAUGAUGUGACCGAGAACAAUACCUUGUUUUACCAUAAAAUGACACUUCUCCCAAUUCAAGACUAAGUUCUUCUCGGUACAUCUCUGCAGAACUAGCGUUAGAUGAUGUAAACAUUGAUCAAACGAGUCACCAAAGACAGAAAAAUCAUCCAUAAAGACUUCAAGAAAUCGUUCAACCAUAUCAGAAAAAAUGCUCAACAUGCAUCGUUGGAAUGUAGCAGGUGCAUUACAUAAUCCAAAUGGCAUUCUCCUAUAUGCAAAAGUGCCAAAAGGGCAAGUGAAAGUAGUUUUCUCCUGAUCUUUUGGUGCUAUGGGAAUCUGAUUAUAUCCUGAGUAGCCAUCUAGAAAGCAAUAAAAUUUAUGGCCUGCUAAUCUAUCAAGCAUUUGAUCAAUAAAUGGUAAAGGAAAAUGGUCUUUACGUGUGACAGAAUUCAACUUUCUAUAAUCAAUGCAUACACGCCAUCCUGUAGUUACUCUAGUUGGUAUCAAUUCAUUAUCAGCAUUGGUAACUACUGUGACUCCUGACUUUUUGGGGACAACUUGUACAGGACUGACCCAUGAACUAUCAGAAAUUGGGUAAAUGAUACCUGCGUCUAAUAGCUUAAGGACUUCUGUUCUAACAACUUCUUUCAUAUUAGGAUUUAACCGACGUUGCAUUUCCCUAGUAGAUUUAGCAUUUUCAUCAAGGUGAAUGUAAUGCAUGCAGUCUACUAGGUUUAUACCCUUUAUAUCUACUAUGGUCCAUCCUAAUGCUCCUUUGUGCUCUUUUAAAACAUCCAACAACUUACCUUUUUGUUCGUCAUUUAGGGAUGAUGAGAUGAUUACCGGCAGAGUACUUUCUUCUCCCAAAAAUGCAUAUUCCAAUGUGUUGGGCAAUGGUUUGAGCUCGAGUUUCGGUGGUGAUUCUGAUGAUGGGAUGAGUUUCUUUUCUGAUGGUGCUAGUUGUUCAACUCUUGACUUCCAUUUAUUAGUGUCCAUGGAUGGUGCUGAGUCAAGUAGAGCAUUGACCUCAUUGACCGAUCUGUCAAUAUCAAAAUCCAAACCAAAGUGAGUUAAGCAUGUCUAUAAAGGGUCAUCACUAAGGUUUGAAAUAAAAGUAUUAUCGACUAUUGUUUCUAUUAAAUCCACAUCAACAAUUCUAUCAUCUGCACUGUGAGGUUGUUUGGCAAUGUUGAAGAUGUUCAGCUCCAUAGUCAUGUUGCCAAAGGACAACUGCAUAUUUUCGGUCCUACAUUGAAUAUGAGCAUCUGCAGUUGCCAAGAAAGGUCGGCCUAGAAUAAUUGGGAUGUGCUUCCUUGAGUCCUGUAUUGGUUGAGUGUCAAUUACAAUGAAAUCAACAGGAAAAUAAAACUUGUCUACCUGGAUAAGCACGUCCUCCACAAUACCACGAGGUAUUUUCGUGGACCGAUCUGCAAGCUGUAACACCACUGGAGUUGGGUGUAAUUCUCCCAGUCCAAGUUUCACAAAUACUGAAUAAGGCAACAAAUUUACACUAGCUCCUAAAUCCAACAAAGCAUUCUCAAUUGUGUGGUUCCCUAUACUACAUGUGAUAGUGGGGGAGCCUGGGUCUUUGCAUUUUAAAGGAAUUUUAUGUUGGAGUAUAGAACUAACGUUUUCUGUUAAAAAUGCCUUCUUUUGAACAUGCAUAUUUCUCUUUUUAGUACAAAGGUCUUUAAGAAACUUGGCAUAAGAUGGAACUUGUUUAAUAGCAUCAAGUAAAGGGAUGUUAACACUUACCUAUUUGAAGAUUUCGAGAAUCUCACCUGUGGAUUUUCCCUUAUUUCCUUUCGCUAACCUCUGAGGAAAUGGAGCUUUAGGAACAUAUUCUCGUGGGUUGGUUUCUUCUUUUUCCUCCGGUGGUGAGUCCUCAACAUUCACAGGUACAAUUUGAUUUUCUUUUGUCACCGGCAUCUCCACUUUGUUGUCGACUUCCUUUCCUUUUCGCAAGGUCAUGACUGCUUUGACCUCUCCAUGCUGUUGUGGUGAACUGGUACUUGCUUCAUGUACUCCUUUAGGAUUAGGCACUGGUUGACUUGGAAAUUUACCUUUCUCAACAGUAAUUGCCAAGGUCUGAACUGAAGAAGCAAGUUGUCCCACCAUCUUCUCGAGGCUUGAAACUGAUUGGGCUUGUGAGUUGAAGCCCGCUCUCAACUCAUUUCGUAGUCCAUCAAUGGUGCGAUUCUGUUGCUCAAUCGUGGAGUGAGUAAGAUUCUUGAGAUCCUGGAAUGAAUCCUCCCAUGGUCUGGGUUGAGAGUAGUUCUGGUUCUGAUUGAAUGGUCUAAAUGGGGGCUGAGAGGCUUGAGGAACUUGAGGAAUUUGUGGAGCUGGAGCUGCUGGUCCAUUCUGUUGGAAUCCUUGAGACCAUGAAAAAUUGGGGUGGUCUCUCCAUCCAGGGUUAUAUGUGUUGGAGUAUGGGUUGUAAUUAGAUGGCUUCCUCAUUACACCUAUGGCAUUGGCUUGAUCGGAGUAUGAGUCAUGGUCAUGUGGUUCUGUUGAUUUAGCAGUCGAUAACGAUGCUAUUUGUCGAGAGAGACCUUCUAUUAUUGCUUUGACUUCUUUGAUUUCUGAAUUUGACUCGCCAAUUUGAACCUCAUUUACUCCCUUAAUUCUUCUAGUAUUCCUGAGUGAUCGACUCCGUUGUUGGGAAUUAUCCGCUUGUCGCUGGAAGAAUUCCCAAAUCUCUGAUGCACUUUUUGACAUUAGCUCUCCUCCACUUGUUGCCAUUAGCCAUUCUUGCACAUUCGGCAAUAAUCCCUCCAAAAAGUAUUGGCAUUGGUGCCAUUUCUCGUACCCAUGAUGUGGACACUUCAAGAGUAGCCCAUUGAAUCGCUCCCAUGUUUCGAAAAACUGCUCGUCCUCUCUUUGGGUAAACUCCGAGAUUUCCCUGCGAAUAGCAUUGGUUUUAUGCACUGGGAAAUAUUUAUUCAAAAAUUUUGUAACCAUUUGUUCCCAUGAUGCAAUGCUAUUAGCAGGCAAUGUAUUAAGCCAUGAACGAGCUCUAUCCUUUAAAGAAAAUGAGAAUCAUCUAAGUUUAACAUCAUCGUCUGAAAAAUUUUCAUAUUUAAAAGUUUGACAAAUUGCAUGAAAAUCAUUCAGAUGAUUAUAUGGGUCCUCAUUUUCUAAGCCAUAGAAUGUGGGGAGACAAUUUAGCACACUAGGUUUUAAUUCAAAACUCCUAGCAGCUACAUUUGGGUAUCUAAUACAUGAUGUGCUCAAAUUAGCUAAGGGACUAAAAUAAUCCUUAAAUGGCCUCUCCUAUGGUGCUUGUAAAUCCAUUUCAAAUUUAUUUUUAACGUUCUUGUGUGUGCGAAGUGUUUUCUCAAGUUCAAGGUCUGUAGGUUCAAGAUUAGGUAAUAAUGACCUACGACCAUACAUGCAAAAUAAAUAAAAUAAAAAUAAAGAUGGAACAAAACAAAUAAAAAUAAAGAAGAGAGAGAAAUUACAAUACUAACCUUAUUGCGCUAUUACAACCUUACUAUAAAAAUACACACAAAAACAAAAAAUACGUGAAAUAAAUUAACUAAAAAAAAUUAGUAAGAUAAACAAAAAUUACAAAGAAAGAAAAAAAAAAUAAAUUGAAAAUUAAAUUACAGAAUUUUAAAGAAGAGAAAAAGAAAAGAAAUACUAACCUUUAAAUGUAGAUUUACUUUUUUUUUUUUUUAAAGAACAAAAAAAAAAUACAAGAAAACAAUUAAAUGAAAUUAUUCACAAAAAUUAAAUCUAUGAAUUAAAAUUACUUACCUCCCCGGCAACGGCGCCAAAAACUUGUUGUGUAAAUUUUAAUGAACUCGCAAGCGCACGAAUCUAUUGUAGUGUAGAUCAAUGGUGACGAAUGUCGAUCCCACGAGGAGGUGGAUUUUAAUUGUGUGUAGAAUUAAUUCUGUAAAUGGGUGAUUGGAUUUGUGGUGGAAAUGAUUUGGAAUAUACUAAAACUUAAAUUAAAAUGGCGAGAAUAAAUUCUAAAAUUGGAAUUGAAAUAGCGAGAAUAAAUUGAAGAGAAUUCUAUUGAAAUGACGUACUUGGGUAUCUGGAUCCGUAUCAACAUGCAUCAUGGGCUAAAUAUUCCUUAUUAAUGCCAAUUAAAUCAUGAGGGGGGAAUCCACACCUCAUGAACCACGCUCUAAUCAAUAUGGUGCUAAGGGCUUAUCGUGCCAAAUAAUAAUAACCUUAUACUAGAGAGCCGGUGUAACCAAGGCGGUAUCUAGACAAGAUCAGUAUUAUUUGUCGACGAUAAGUCAAAUCAUCCACAAAAACUAGAGGGGAAAAGAAAAUAAAUUUACCAAAUAAAGCCCAUGACACAUGUUGAGACUUCACCUUCAACCCAAGCUUGAAAGGAAAUUAGCUACUCAUAAUUGAAUUAGGGGCAAAAUGGGAAUUUAUUAAAAUACAAAGAAAAUACAAGAUGGAGAGGGAAUUACAGAAAAUGGAUCCCAAAAAUGGAUUCAGAGAUAUCAAAUUAGGGGGGGGGAGGCCCCCUUUUUAUAGAUACAUGGAGUAAAUCAUGGCCAUCGGAUUAAAAACAGUUUGGACGCUCAGGAUUGCGCCACGUCAUCAGUCAACAGUCCACGGUUUGACCACGUGGAUGAACAGUAACACGGUUUGACCUGGAUGAACAGUAACACGAUUUGGUUGAAAAUAAUCCUGUGUGAUGCAUGCACCGUACGCGAGAUUUUUCGUCCACUGAUAUGUUGCCACGUCACCAUCAACAGUACAUAAGAAGUUUAGUCCAACAGGAUCGUGACACCUCAUCAGUCAAUGCCACAUCAUCAGUCAAUGCCACGUCAUCGAUCCGUCUAUGUGAACAGUGUCGUGAACAGUAACGUAGACAGUACCGUAUACGUGAAUAGUACCGUAUACGUGAAUAGUACCGUACAUGUGAAUAGUGCCAUUUUUCUUUUUAUGCUCCUCCUAAGGUUUUCGACCGUCCUGAGUUCAAAAGUGAUGUCCGUUUUGCCGUCUGAUCUCUCCUUUAUUGUGAAAUGACUAUAAUGCCCCUAAAAUACAUAAAAUACUUAAUUAAAAUAACACACACGUAAUUACAUCACAAGAAGGUUAAAUACAUAAAAGUAAGGGUUGUUAGUAAGACUUGAAAUGUAAAAUGACGGUUUUCUCCUUUAUAAAUAUGCAUUUUCUAACACUCAACAUAUUUCCUGAGGAUUUGCCUAGUUUGCCUUCUGAUCAAGAAAUUGAAUUUUCUAUUAAUUUAUUGUUUGGCACUACACGUAUCUCCAAAGCACCUUACCAUAUGGCACCUCUUGAGUUGAAUGAAUUAAAGGUUCAACUACAGGAGCUUCUUCGUAAAGUUUUUAUUCGCCCUAGUUUAUCUCUUUUCAGAGCUCCAAUAUUGUUUAUAAAAAAGAAAGAUGGUUAUAUUGUUAGCCUAUGUGGCUAUAGAAUGUUGAUUUUGAUGAUAAUAAACCACAUGUUUUGGCUAAACAAAGAAUUAAACAUUUUUCUUUUAUAAAAAGAGAAUGAUUUUAUGAAAUUAGUUAUUUUUCAAGAUGUGGACUAAAAUAAAAAAAUUUUGUCAUCUUUGAUUUUAAUAAGUAUUGUUUUGAACUCUAGAUUUUGAUCUAUUUGCAAAUAUUUGAAACAUUUUGCACUAUACUAUAAUUUCUAUAAAUUUUGGGUUGUAUCAUAAUUUCAGUAAAUUUUAAAAUUGGACCUUUUUACAAAUUUUAUGACAUUUUAGGCUAUAGUAUAAUUUUAUAAAGUUUUAGGGUAAAACUAUAAUUUUAGAAAAUAAUUGUUUUACUUUAGCAAGCAGUUAGCCGGAUUUAUCAAGCGGCAAACCGGUUAUGGAUAGAAGCUCUCUGGAAUAAAAGCGGCCUACCGGAAAUGAAAAGUGGCAUGUUGGAUGUGCAAAAUUUCAAAUCUUUGAACAUAACGGUAACAUAAAACAGCAAGCUGGAUUCACAAAGCGGCAAGCUGGUUAUCACCAGAAAGUCUAUAACAACUAGUUUUUGGGCUGAAACUAUAUAAAUUCAAAUUCAAUUCAUAUUUAGAACCUUUUGCAAGCCAAAAAAAAAAAAGUAUAUAACAUAUAUUGAGCUUCCAUUUCGUUAAUCAUUUUAGAUUAAAUCUUCAUUGAGCUUUUAUUUAUAUAUUCGCUCUAAAAAGAGUUUUUAUUGCAAUCUUUAUUUUCUCAUCAAAUUUGUGAGUGUAUAAGUGUGAGAAACACUUGGGGUGAAGAGAUUGAGAGAUAAUCUCUUUGUUAUAAAGGUCUAUUAACACUUUGAAAGUCAAUUGUAAGCAUUUAAUACCUUGGGAGGUUUGGAUAGUGAAAUCCUCAAACUUGAUUUGCUUGGAGGCGUGGACAAAGGCGGAGAUUACCUAACAACAUAAAAAUUAUUGUGUUGCUCUCUCUUCUCUUACUCUUUUAUUAUUGUGCUUUAUUAAUUUAUUGUUUUUGAUUUCAUUGUGCGAUUUGUUUAGCUUAAGUUUUAAAAUCUCAAUUCACCCCCCUCUUGGAUUGCAUAACUAGCAUUUCAUCUAUGUGGUUAUGCAAUGGUUAGCGACAAUUGAAUUUGGUUUCCAUUUAGAACAAAUAUUCAUUUCUUCACAUUGAUGAUCUUUUUGAUCAACUAGUAGGUGCAACAGUAUUCUCUAAAAUGUAUUUAUGGUCUAGGUAUCAUCAGCUGAAAGUGAAAAAUGAGGAUGUGUUACACCGUUUCGAACAUGAUAUAGGCAUUAUGAAUUCCUUAUGAUGCCUUUUGAUUAACCAAUGCUCCAACAGCUUUUAUGGACUUGAUGAAUAGAGUUUUCUGACCUUUCAUUAAUUGAUUUGUCAUUGUUUUUAUCGAUGACAUUUUGAUGUACUCUAAAACCAUGGAGGAACAUGAGGAACAUUUAAAGGUGGUUUUUCAAACACUCUAAGAAGGGAAACUCUAUACGAAGUUCAAGAAGUGUGAGUUUUGGCUCAACCAAAACUCUUUACGAAGUUCAAGAAGUAUGAGUUUUCUGGGUCAUGUUGUUACUAAGAAGGGCAUAUUUGUUGAUUCAUCUAAGGUUAAGGUCAUUGUAAAUUGAACAAAACCAUUUAAUGUUAUUAUGAUUAGAAGCUUUCUGGGUUUGGGUGGCUGUUACUGGCGAUUCGUGAAUGGAUUCUCUAGUCUUACAACUCCAUUAUUAAAGUUGACUAGGAAGAACAUCAAGAUUGAAUGGAGUGACGAAUGCUAAAAGAGCUUCGAAGAAUUAAAGAAUAAAUUAGUUUCUAUUCCUAUUUUGACAAUUCCUUCUAAUGGUGGUGGCUAUGUCAUUUAUAGUGAUGCUUCUAGAAAGGGACUAGGAUACGUAUUAAUGCAGCAUGGUUAGGUAGUUUUGUAUUCAUCUUGACACUUAAAGAUUUAUGUGCUUAUUGCACUCACGACUCUAGUUAGUAGUUGUAGUCUUUACCUUAGCGAUAGAAGACAUUAUCUUUAUUGUGAAACUUGCGAAAUCUAUACAAAUCACAAGAGUUUGAAAUACUUCUUCACCCAUAAAGAAUUAAACUUGAGGCAAAAGGGAUGGUUAGAUAUGGUGAAAGAUUAUAAUUGUUUGAUUAAUUAUCAUCUUGGUAAGGCGAAUGUAGUGGCUAAUGCUCUUAGUAGAAAGUGAUCGGGUUACUCGGCAUGUAUGAUUACUAAUCAAGGUCACAUACUAGAGGAUUUGAAGAAAUAUUGAAGUUGUUUUACAUGGGCAAACUGAGGUUUUAUCUCAUUUGAAGGUUCAACCUACCUUGAUUGAUAGGAGAAGGCCACAUAUAGUGAGGAUCCACAAUUUAAAAAAAAAAAAAAGUUCGAGGAGUGAAGGCUAGACAUUUUGAGUCCAGACUUGAUAAGAAUGGUAUUUUGUUAUUUGGAUAGAGACUUUGUGUACCAAUAAAGGAUGAGUUGAAAAGAGAUAUUAUGCAAGAGGGCCAUGACUCAAGUUUUAAUGUUCAUCUCGGAAGCACUAAAAUGUGUCGAAACUUGAAGAAAAUUUUUUUUGGUGGAGGAAUAUGAAGGGUGAUAUUGCUUAUUAUGUUUUGAAAUGCUUGGUAUGUCAGCAAGUGAAGAUAGAGCAUUGAUAGGCUUGGCAAUUUAGCCUGACCCUAUUUUUGGCCCGACUGACCCGACCCUAAUUUUUAGGGCUUUGACCUGAAUUUUUGUGUUUCGGAUUAGGUUCGGGCCAAAAUUUUAAGGCCUGAUCAAAUUUCGGGUUAGGGUCGGGCUUAAAGCCGACCCGAACCUAUUUAAAAAAAAUGCUAACACAAGUUAACACACACAUACAUCACAACAUCACACACACAGACAACACAUAUCUCAUUUGCAUCACACACGCACACAACACAUAUGACAUAUCACACACGCACACUUCACUCUAAACCAUAAAUCACACACACCACAUACACUUACACAAAUUCACAAAAACCCUAAGUCAGCCACUCAGCCACCGUCCUAUCAGCCAACAUCGUGACCGUUCACCAAUCGCAAUCAGCUACACGACGCCACGAGGUGAACCAGCCACCCUUUGUCGUCGUCCUGCCGCGUCCGCCUGCCAGCCAAUGGCCAACGCACAUGUUCAACUACCAUGCACACAUUCUGCCGUCGGCAUUAGCUAUUUAGCUUUGGUAAUUUUAAUUUCAUAAAUAUUAAUUAAUGUUUUUCAUUUAAGCUUAUAAUUGAAUCUAUAAUUUAAUAAUUUUAGCUAAAUAUAUUCAUGUUAAUUAAUUAAUUAUGUAGUUGCUAUAAAUAUUAUAUUGUGGCUACAUAUAAGGCUAUAUACAAGGUUUUUUUAAUUAUUAUGUUAUGAUUGUAAAUUAACUUUAAUUAUAUCUUAAGUUUAUAAUUUCAUAAAUAUUAAUUAAUUUUUUUUCAUUUAAGCUUAUAAAUUUAUUUAUAAUUUUAGCUAAUUAUAUUCAUAAUGAUUAUGUAGUUACUAUAAAUAUUAUAUUUUAGCUAAAUAUAGCCUUAUAUAAGAUUGUAAGUAUUAAUUAUUAUGUUGUAAUUGUAAAUUAAUUUUAAUCAUAUUUUGAGUUUAUAAAUUAACUUAAAAUUUAUAAGUUCAAUCAUAUUUUAAGUCUAUAAAUUAAUUGCAACUUGUUACACAUUUAAUUUAGGUCAUUAUGUCAAAUUCACGUGAGGAUUCUCAUGUUGGCGAAGAGAAUAGAAAUGAUGGCCUUCCUCUUGAAGGGGUCCAGGAAGUAAAGAGGCAUUCUGUGGUGAUAAUGGGGUACAGCAAAGUAGUAAUUAAAAAAAGCGAGGUGUGGGAGAACCUUCUUAUGUUUGGUGACACUUCAUCAAGGUAACCAUUAAUGGUGAAUUGAAGGUGAAAUGUAAUCAUUGUCAAGCUAAGUUGGUAGCAUCUUGUCAUAAUGAAACCUCACAUUCGAAUAGACAUUUAAAAAUAUCAUGUAAGGCAAAGGGUGUUCCCUCAGUUCUUGAUAGCUUACAAAAUAACUCUUAGCGUGACGAGGAAAGAUGAUGGAACAAGUUGUAUUGAGACGAGAGAAUUUGAUCCAAUUGUUGCUCGACAAAAGAUAGCAACCUUGGUUGUAAAGCAUGAGCUACCACUUAAUUUUGUGGAAUAUGAGGCAUUUAGGGAUUUGAUGUCUUAUGUCAACCCUUUGGUGAAGAAUUUGAGUAGAAACAUUUUAAAGAGUGAGAUUUUUAAAUUGUAUCAAGCUGAAAAGGCAAAAGCAAUGGCUUUGUUGGAGAAUAAUGAUAGUAGGGUGGCAAUUACCACAAACAUGUGGACUGCGAGUAAUAAAAAGAAGGGGUACAUAGUUGAUACAAGACAUUUUUUGGACAAGUCUUGGCGAUUACAAAGUCGAAUUUUAAGGUACUUUUUUUAUUAAUUGAUAUUUAUUUUAAUUCAAUUUAAUUAAUUCUAAAAUUUAGAUUUUUGGUGAUGAAUAGGUUCAUAUAUUAGCAAAGUCGAUAUUAUGUUUACUUAUUUCUAGUUCAAUUUAAUUAAUUCUAAAAUUUAGUUUUUUUGGUAAUGAAUAGGUUCAUAUAUUUGCCGGCUCCACAUUCUGUUGAAUUUAUUUCUGAAGCAUUUUUUAAAUCUAUGUUGGAUUAAAAUUAGAUAGAAGGAUAUCGGUUGUAACUUUAGAUAAUUGCUCUACCAAUGAUGCUAUGGUUGAUAGGUUGAUGGAAUUGAUUCCAGUUGAUUCUAUGUUAAUGGGUAGGGAGUUUUUUCAUAUCAGGUGUAUGGCUCAUAUUUUAAACCUAAUUGUGAAGGAGGGGAUGAAAGUGAUUGAGGAGUGGAUUAAAAAGAUUAGAGAUAGUGUGGCUUAUUGGACGGGCACACCAAAGAGGGUAGAAACUUUUGAAAUGGUUGCGCGGCAAUUACAAGUUAAGUGUGAGAAAAUUUUGGUACUUGAUUGUGUAAUUAGAUGGAAUUCUACAUAUGUUAUGCUUGAUGUUGCUGUGAAAUAUAAAACAAUCUUUUCUAGACUGCAACAGCGCAACAAACACUACACCUCUUUGCCAACAGAUGAGGAAUGGGAGAUGGCUGAAAAGAUGUUGGAAUAUUUACUGCUGUUUUACUCUAUGACAAAGUUAUUUUCAGGUAUGCAAUAUCCCACACCUAAUCUUUUUUUUCCAAUGAUAUGUGAAAUGAAGAUUAAUUUGGAUGAAUGGGAACUUUCUGAUGUGCCUAUGGUUAGAUAAAUGGCUGGUCAAAUUAUUAUGAAAUUUGAUAAAUAUUGGGCCCAAAUUCAUGGGAUUUUGGUGAUGGCGGUUAUUCUUGAUCCGAUGUUUAAGAUGCAAUUGGUUAAUUAUUAUUUUCCACAACUUUAUGGUGAGGGUGCUACAAAUGAGAUUCAAAGGGUACGUAAUUUAAGUAACGAUUUGGUUAAGUUUUAUGAAGGUAAGAAUGGGAAUGUGAGUGAUAUGAUUGUUGGUAAAUCUUUUUUGGUCGAUGUUCAUUUUAAUUUUACUGUAGGAACUGGCUGUAAAUAUUUUGAUAUAAGUAAGUUUGAGGCAUUGGCAAGCCAAAAUAGUGAGACUAUGGUAUCGAAGUCUAACUUUAAGAGGUACUUAGAAGAGCUUUUAAUCAAAUCCACUAUGAACUUUGAUUUUCUAAAUUAGUGGAAGGUGACCAAGGCAAAUACUCUAUUUUGGCUCAAAUGGCCAAGGAUAUCUUAGUCGUUCCCGUGACAACCAUUGCCCCUGAAUCUGCGUUUAGCACUAGAGUUAGGGUCCUGACUCCACAUCAGAGUAGACUUCAUCCUAUGAUAUUGGAAGCGCUUAUGUGCACUCAACAUUGGCUAUGGGCAAACUCCAAAGGUAUGAAUACAAAUAAUGGACAAAAUAUUUAAAUAAUUGGUUUAGUAAUAAUUUUAUAAACUUAAAUUAUUUUCUCACUUUUUUUUUACAGGUAAAAUUCUCGAAAGCGAAAUUUUUAGUGGAGAGGAAUUUGUGGAUGAAGAUGAAAGUGGCCCGCAAGUGUUGAAGUAGUUCUUUUUAAAAAAAAAAAAUGUUUGGUUGUGGAAUUGAAUUAUGAGUUUUUAUUUGUAUAAGACAUGUUUUUUUUUAAUGUUGGGUUUUGGAACUAAAUUGUAUGUUUUUAUUUGUAUAAGACAUGAGUUUUUUCUUUUUGAUUUUUUUAUGUUGGUUUUCAAAUUGAAUUGUGUAUGGCUAAUAUGGUUGUGGAAUUACAUUGUGUGUUUUUCAUAUUGGAUUUUGGAAUUGAUUUGUGUGUGGCGUUGAAAUGGUUGUGGAAUUAAAUUGUGUUUGAAAUGGUUGAGAAAUUGCUGAAUUGGUUGAAAUGGUUGUGGGAAUUGAAUUGUGGGGUUAACUAUUUCGGUAGGGUCGAGUUGGGUCUAACCCAACCCUAACUAUAAAGUGUUUGGGUUUUUUUAGGGUCGGGUUUCAAAUUGUUUUUUAUCUGGUCGGGUUGGACUUGGCCAAGCCCGAACCCGAGCCCGACCCGAACUUUUGCCAUUCCUAAGCAUUAAAGACCUGCUGGGUAUAGCACAAAGUAGGCAGAAGAUUUAUGCUGAUCAAUUUAGACGUGAUCUAGAGUUCCAAGUUGAGGAUUAUGUUUUCUUGAAAGUAUCAUCUUGGAAAGGAGUUUUCCAUUUUAGGAAGAGAGGUAAACUUAGCCUUAGGUUUAUUAGGCCUCUUGAGAUUCUGAAGAGAAUCGGCACAAUGACAUAUUGAGUGGCUUUGCCAUCGAGCCUUUCAAGACUUCACGAUGUAUUUCAUGUGUCAAUGUUCAAAAAGUACAUGGCUGAUUCUUCUCAUAGCUUGGAUUACUUACCUAUCCAAAUCUCGAAUGAUAUGUCAUAUGAGGAGCAUCCAUUGGAGAUCCUGGACAGGAAGAAACAAGUUUUAAGGAGACAAAUAAUGCGUUUAGUGAAUGUUUACUGGGCGAAUCAUUCUAUAGAGGAAGCUACAUGAGAAUAAGAGGCAGAGAUUAUGGAGAACUACCAUCAACAUUUUGAGAAAUAAGGUAGAGUUUUAAAUUUCGAAGAAGAAAUUUCUUUUAAGGGGGGAGAAAUUGUAACAUCCAUUAUUUUUGUUUAUUAUUAUUAUUAUUAUUAUUAUUAUUAUUAUUAUUAUUAUUAUUAUUAUUAUUAUUAUUAUUAUUAUUAUUAUAUAUAUAUAUAUAUAUAUCUAUCUAUUUUAUAGAAUAUAGUAUUUUAGGCUGAGGAUUUUAAGAGUGUUUUAAUUUAUCUUUAUUUAUUUGUAUUUGCUUGAUUUACCAAUCUAUCAAAUACCUUAUUAAAAAAGGAAAUAAAUUCCUUAAUUGGUAAGGGUAUUAAAAGGCUUGGUUUUAUAAAAACAAAAACAAAAACUCCUCUUACUUGCUUUGUUUCUCAAAAUCCUAGAGGCUAAUAAAAAAGAAAAAAAAAAGAAUAACACACACAAGAAUAAACUUACGUUUUUUUAAAAAAAAAAGAGGAGAAGAUUUUGAUUGUAUUUUUCUUUUUCUAUAAAAGAAGUUAUUGAGUUUUGAUUCUUUUGAAGGUAGGUAAGAAUUUAUAAUCCCUUAAACUUGUUGUUUGAUUUUGAUUUUAUGUGAUUGAUUGAAUGAUUUUAUGUGUGUUAUAUUGAUAAAAUUAUGAAAUCAUAAUCAUAUAUUGAUUUAUGUUGUUAUUAAGUGAAAGUAGUGCUAUUAUGUUAUCCUGAAAAUUUCAAAUAGUAUAGAUUUAAUGUUAUACUACUUCCAUUUUCAAUAAGUUUCAUGCAUAAAACUCUACAAUUUAUUAAAGUAGACAUCUUUAUCUUUCUAUCUGUAUGUUUAUCGUUAAAAAACGCAUUGUAUAUUAAUUGUUUUGAUUUUUUGAAAUUGGAACACUAGUACUAGAAAAUUCUGAUUUUCAGCAGCAAUUCUCACUUCUAUAAUUUAGCGGAUAACUCAAAUGACCUCUGAAAAUUCUGAGAAUUUUUAUUAUUGUACGUAUAUAUGUUUAUUUCUGUAUAUUUAAAUUCAUAAUUUUUAGCUUUAUAUAAAAAUCAUUAAUAAUCAUAGAGUUGGGCUGCCGUAAUCCUGGAAAUUGCUUUCUAGAAUUGCGAGGGUUGAUAUUUAUGCAAGUUUGGGUUACUUUUUCAUCAGUAAAUGCCUUACAAAAUUUAAUUCUUAUUCUUUAACUCUAAUCAUCAAAUCUUAAAUCACUAUUUUGACUAUGUAUGACUAGUUAUGAAUUUUUAAAUCGGCAGUCCUCUGUUUUUUUUACCACUGGACAAUUUUGAUGUUUUUGCAAAAAAUCAGUUUUCAGAGAUGUUCAUGAACUCUAAUUAAUCUAGUUAACUUUUAUAUGAAAUGACAACAUGUUCACAGUAGUUUUUUUGGUAGUAUUUGUGAUUUUUCUGACAUAACUAUAGCUUGUUAGAAAUCAGCUAUAAGAUAGUCUACUGUAGUUUAGUGAAUUGAUUUGUUUAAAUAAGAGUAAAUUGUUUAAGGAUUUUUGGGUUUUCUCAUCAAGGUUAGAAUUGAAAAAAAAAAUAUUGAUAAGAAUCUUAUCUUGAUAAUUAUAGGUCAAGAGUGGGCUUGUGUGAUUGGUAUUAUUAUUGAUUACUUCGAAUCGAAGUAAGUAAAUUCAAGCAUAAUGUUUAUUAUGGUUAUAUAUGUAAAUAUCUAUGAAAAGGAUGAUGUUGUUAAUAUGGAUUGUCAUUUUAUAGUUUUGAAGUUAUUUUACUCUUCUACUUUAUAAUAAUAAAUUAUAUUUUGAUCAAAACUUUAUUUAAAAUUUUUUCUUAAAUUGUUUUAAAAAUGACUUUAAAAUAAUUGUCUUGCCAUAAAUUGUUUUCGUUAAAAAUAUUUGUAAAACUCUUCCAAUUCAAUGUCUUAUAAGAGCAUUUCAUCAAAAUAUUACUGAAUGAUUGAUAUUGAAAGACUGAAAACAAUAUUUAAGGUCUUGGCUCUUUGUCUGUAGUUAUCAUUAUUGAUAUAACUGAACAACUAGCUGUUUUGUGCGUAUGCAUUGACGAUUAUACAGGGUAACGUACUCUAAUUGAACUACUGACCGAGUCAUCAAGGUUACAGGUGAUUUAUUGAACUACUGAUUGGAUCGUCAGGGUCAUAGGUGACUUACUGAACUAUUGGUCAGGUUACUGGGAGUACAUGUGACGCUAUAUGACAUGAGUAAUUGAAAAAAUGAAAUGUUUUAUUGAUAAAUGAUUUCCUAAAUGAUUGUUUAUUUAAAAUGAUUAUUGCAUUAUGACUUAACUGAUUAUUUGUUUUACCAUAUAUAUGUAUUAGAUUAUAAAAUAUUUACUGGUUUCUAACUUAUGGUACUUCAUAGUGAUUAUUAUGUAUUUUAUCGUUAUUAGUAACAUUAUGCAUAAUCUUACUUAUCAAGUUGACAACUCAUCACUCGUCUCCAACAUUUUUCAAAUUAAUUUUAAAGAUGUGGACUUUUUGGUCUAGAGAAGAAGAUUUGUUAGCUGAGAAACUUUAGCGUUUUCUAGAUGAAUAAAUUGUUUUUACUUUGGUUAUUAUUUAGAGCUAAAUUUUUGUUUUGGAGGAUUAUUAUUAUAUUUAUAAUUUUAGAUACAAUUUUUCGAAUAUUACUAUUUUCUUUUAGAAAUAACAAUAAGAUUAAUGUUAUGAGGUUUCAUUCCAAAUUUCUCUAAAGACUCUUGGGUGAAUUUAGGGUGUUAUAGAUUCAAUCUAAACUUGUCUCCUUUAGCCACAGGAGAAUCACUUAGGUUUGCAAUCUUACAUGCAAUAUCACUUGAGAACUUUUUCGAUAUAACUCUUUUGUGAUAGUCCUAAAAUACCAUGGGAGGUCUUAGUGUAUCGGUAUGCCUAGUAAAAAAGAGGCGUCAUCAAGAUCUUUUAUCUCAAAAUUCUUAGCUAAAAAUCUCUUGGUGUCGUAUAGUAAGUCUAUAUCGUUGAUGGCAAGCAAAAUGUUAUCGAAAUAAAGAACAAGAAAAUGAAACUUACUCCUAAAGAACUUAUGAGUAUAUGCAAUUAUCAACCAAAUUCGUAUCAAAAUCGAAUGAGAUGAUCACUUGAUGAAACUUAAAAUAUCAUUGUCAAGAUGCUUGCUUAAGCCUACAGAUAGAUUUCUUAAGUUUGGAAUCUAUAUUCUUUGGGUCUUCUGACAUAAAUUUUUUUGCUUGCACAAUCUAGAUUAUCUCAUCAAUGUCACCAUUGAGAAAUAUUGUCUUUACAUUCAUCUGAUGUAACUCAAGAUUGAAAUAUGCCACUAAUGCCAUUAUGAUCUUAAAAGAGUCUUUUGAAGAAACUAGAGAGAAAAUCUCUUUGUAGUCUAUGUCUUCUUCAUAAUCAUCAUACACAUGUGAUUUAAUUUCUCCCAUCUUUAUAUUUUUCUUUUGUCAUUAAGAGUACUCUCAUCGGUAAGAGGUGAAGGAGAAUCAACCAUUAACGCAAGGUCGAGAUUCAUGAUUGCGAGAACUAUUAAGAAGUUCUCUUGCCAUGAAUUGAAAUUAAAGUCGUUUAGAAUAGGAAUGGAAUUGAUAUUGGCAUUAAUAGUAGCAAAAGUCAUAACUGAAUAGAGAACAACAAAUAAUUAAUGCAAGCUUAUAUAUCUUAAAAACAAAAAUAAAUUCAAUAAAGGUAAACCAUGUCUCAAGAUACCGGAACUCCAUUAAUAUUUCAUCUUUUGAAAAAAUAUUAACUUAUAAGUGAUAUCUUGUGCAGUAAUAAAACAUUGAUAGCAAGAAUAUGUCAAAUAAUAAAGUUUCCUUUGAGUUGAUUUAUUAUUCACAUGUAAAACAAAAUAAUCAUCAUGCGUCUACUACCACAGGUGCACAUACAAUUCUCUCAAAUAUGGACCUUAUUUUGAGCCGAACGAUAUUCAUAAAAAUGACAUGCACAUAGUUGUUUAUAUUUCAAAUUAAAUUAAUUUCCAUAAGAGAGGUCACUUUGGUGACAUAUUGCUUCAAUUAAUUCAUCUCAAUAUAUAUAUAUAAACAUAACAGGUGCACAUACAAUUCUCUCAAAUAUGGACCUUACUUUGAGCCGAACGAUAUUAACAAAAAUGACAUGCACAUAACUGUUUAUAUUUCAAAACAAAUUAAUUUCCAUAAGAGAGGCCACUUUGGUGACAUAUUGAUUCAAUUAAUUCAUCUCAAUAUAUAUAUAUAUAUAUAAACAUACCAAUAUUUAAAUUUAAAAUUGUAUUAAAAUUACCCUUUAAAAUGAAAAAAAAAUUAAGUUAAAAGCUGGUCUACAGUCUACUGUCAAUUACUGAAGGGUCAACCUUUAAUCGAAUCAGGCUAGAUCGGCCCAAACCAACCCGGAUCUUAAACUAGCCAAUUGCCUUAAUCGGGUCAAGGUUGGACUGGGUUGCGUCAACUAGACCUAGACCCUAAACCAUCCUAAUCCUAAUUUUUUUUUUUAAAUUUUCCUUCUUCUUGGUGAGGCAACCCUUUCACAAUCUAUUACAGCCAAUCUUGCCUUGCCGAUGGCCAAAAAGCGUCCCUCUUUUCUUUUUUUUCACCACCGUUUUUCCUCAAUCUACCGCAUCCUGUGACCAGGGACAUAGCAAGGAAUUUAAUUGAGCUGGGGCACAUUUAAAAUCGCAAUUAUAAUAUAAUUUAAUAAUACAUUUACUUAUUAUAAUUGUUCUAAUCGAGAAUUCCUCGACGGGAUUUCAUGUGUUGAAAAUGAUGUAUAAUAGUUUCAUUAUCGAUACAAUCAAAUACAUCUCUUUUAAUGUACACAACGGGGUUAUCAUUCAACAAUUCAUCUCCUAUUCGACUUCGUAGUCAAUUCUUCACAUAAUUCAUUGUUGAAAAAACUCUUUCAGCAGUGGCAGUGGCAAUUGGUAAAAGCAAUGCUAAUGUGACUAAUAAAUAGACUAAUGAAAACACCUCGUACUUGUUAGUCUCAACCAUUUUUUUGUGCAAGAUCACCAAUCCCAUUUAAUCCUGAAAAGUCAACACUAGACUGCAUAUCCAUUAUAUAAACAUCAAGUUGAGUAUCUAGUUCUAUGAGAUCAACUGGAGAAAAAUCUUUUGGAUAAAGUUGAGCAAAGCACAAUAACAUUUCUUUAUUGAAAGCUGCAAAUGAAUUUUUUGGACAUAAACAAGCCAAGCAAAGUAGUAAUUCAAUGUUUACCUUAUUAAAACGACUGUUUAACUCUUGAAGCUGCAUUUUCGAAAUAGUAUAAAAUAUGUCAAUGUGAUAAUGAUGCAUGUUUGUGAUCUCUUGAGGUCUGCGCCUUGAUCUUCUAGGAGUUAGAAACAUAUUUUCCAUGAUAGGAACACUAAUAAAAUGCUUCUUACUUAGAAACAUAUUUUCCAUGAUAGGAACAGUAAUAAAAUGCUUCUUACAAAAUGAAGAAACUUGACUAAGCAAAGAAUUCCAUCCAUGUUCCCUCAUCCUUUGUAGACAUAGUUUGCAAAUGCUGACUAAUUUCAUGGAAUUCACAGUAUCUUGAUCUUUCCUUUGUAAUGCUUGUGACAAUUCAUUUGCAAAACCAAGAAUAUUUUUCAUCAAGUAUAAAGUAAACACAAAAUCAAAUGUUUGCAUGAACUUCAAGGUUGAAUUUGCUUCAAAUCUUUCCUCAGAAUUUGAUGCAUCAUUUGUAAUAAUCUCAAGCACAUCAAUUAUGGAUGAGAACAUGGUAAUAAUGCUUAUUAAUGUACCGUGAUGUGAGCUACACCGUGUGUCGCCAGAACGCUUUAAAGUAAUCUCUUCAUUCAUACAUUGUCUACUUUUAAGCUCGCUCUUUUUAAGAGCUUCAAUAACUGUAAUACCAUGCUUUUCUCUAAGAAUAUCAAAUCGUUUAGAUGAGGUUGCAACAAUGUUAAUAACUUUAGCAACUAAACUGAAACAAAUCAUUAACUUCCUGGUGCUUUUUUACUACAGAAACAAGGGCCAACUAUAAUUGAUGGGCAAAACAAUGAAUGAAAUAAGAAGAUUUAUUCUCUUUCAGAAUGAGUAUUUUCAAACCAUUAAGUUCGCCUUCCACGUUACUAGCAUCAUCAUAUCCUUGCCCACACAACCUAGAGAUGCAUAAUCCAUGUCUAGCAAAUAGUGUGUUAUGUAAUGCUUUAAGAGAGCAACUUUGGUAUCAAUAACAUGUUCAAUACCAAUAGAACGCUCAAUCACAAGUCCUGUUUUAUCCAUGUAACACAACACAAUCAUAAUAGAAAAUAAAGAGUCACCAGUUUCUUUAAUGAUAGCUCAAGAAGUUUCAGAUGAACAAACAUUUACAAUCUAUUUUUGAAUAUUAAGAGAUAUCAUUUGGAGAUUUGUUAGAGCAUUGUUGAAAAUAACACUUUUAAUUUCCUCAUUGUGAUCAGUAAGAAAUUGUAGAAGCUUAAGAAAGUUUCCUCUAUUGUUUGAACUUUGAGAUUCAUUAUUAGCACGGAAUGCAAAGUCUUGUCUCAAAAGAAAUCAAAUGUAAUCAAUUACAGCUGUUAAACAAACGCGAUACUCCCUUUAAAUUUUUUUAGAAUGGUUAAAGAAAAAUGUAGCAGCAUGUGCCUUUUGAUUCGUCAAUGAUUCACAAUGACGCCUCACUAUGUUAUGAGCACUAUUUGCACCAUUAACAUCAAUGGCGGACCCAGAAACUAAAAUAAGGAGGGGCUUAGUUCAAAAAAUUUUAUUUAACUUAGAUUUUUUUAAUGUUCACUCGAAUACAUUUUAAGUCUUAUAAACUCAAAUUUUAUUACUUUUUUUUAAAUUCUAAAUAAUAAUAGUAAUAAAUUAUUAUUUUUAAAUGCGUGAAAAUAUCAUUUUUUGAAGUAGUAUUUUAAAUGCGUGAAAAUAUUAUUUUUCGAAGUAGUUUCCACAAAAUAUUUAAAAAAAUAAAAUAAUGUGGCUAAUGGGAUUUGAACCAAGGUUUCAAAAUCAUUAAAUAACACUCUUACCAUUGAACCACAAGUCUUUUAGUAUAUGAAAAAUGUGUCCAAAUUGUUUUAUCUAACUUUUUCAUAAGGGCAUUGGGGUACAUUUAAAAGAAAAUUUAAUGGUCCAGGGGGGCUGAAGCCCCUCCUGGGCCUUAAUUGGGUCCGCCCAUGAUUAACAUGUUGUCUCAACAUUUCUUUUUUCUUCUAAUUUCUAAACCCUUCACUAGUAAAGCAUGGACCCCCCUUUUAUUGCCAUCUUUUUAUAUGAAAAACAUAACAUUAAAGACACAAAACUGCAUCAUUUAUUAUGUUAUAUUCUAACCAAUCAGGAUAAUUAUCGAACCAACUCUGAACAAAUCGUCGUAAUUUUUCUCCUAACGACCUAAUAGGAAAAUCAUGACUCUAAGGUUGAAAAGGACCCAUUUGCAAGUAUGCUCUCCGAACUUCGUCUUGAAUAUUAGGAUCUAACUUUAAAAUUGACAUUCAUAAACCGAGAUCCCUUGGAAGAUCAUGCAAAUUAAGUCUAACUUUUUCUUUUGAACUACCACUCAUUUUUCCUAAUGAGGUUGCAAUUGUUGAAUUCUUUCUUAAAUAUUUAUCCAUGGCUUUCAAAGAAAUAUAUUUAUUGAAUAAGUAUGAUACUUAUUGUUCAAAGAAAAUUUUCAACAUAAAUAAAAAUAAUACACAUGAAAAUUACAUUUUACAGAACUAGAAAAAUAUUAUGGUUUUUUAUUACAAAUUUAGUGUACAGUGUAUUGAUCUUAAUAAAUUAACUUGUUCUUAAAUCUUUUAAUGAUGGCAAAAAUAUUCAUAUAUGGCAACACAAAAAUCAAACAUGAAUAAAAUUAGGGAUUUUAAAAUGGAAAAAACAACAAAAUAAUAAAAAAUUAGAAUUAAUAAACUUACAAUUUUAAAACAUUAGACCAUACAAAUGAAGAAAAGUGAGAAGACAUCCAUGCACACGGUGACACGCAAUGCUAAUCGCCUAAUCUUCUAUGGAGUCCACACUUUAUUCCACGAAAGAGACGAAAGAAAGAGUAAAGUUUAGAUUUCAUUUGUUUUCCUUGAUCUUUUAAUGGAUUUCAUUUGAUGAAGGUGGCUCUCUUCUUGUCUUUAUUAAUUUUCAUGAAAUUAUAAUAGCUAAUCAAACUAUUUCGAAUUAGACAUUUAAGUUAGGGAAAGCAUGAAAUUUUUUUAAAAUUACGUGUGGCACUUUCAGAAUUUCAUAAUUUACCUAGGGUAUUUUUAUAAGUAAUAAAUAAAAAAUAUUUUUUUAAGAUAACCAUAAAAAAAAAAAAUUUUAAGAGCCUGCUGGGGCACGGUCCUAUGCUAGCUACGCCCUUGUUGGUGGCCACAACUUGUUUACACAUAGCCCAACUGCCACACCUCUUGCCUUUUAUUUUUUUUUUUAUGCCUUACAUGGCAACCGUUAAGUAGCCUAUUUGCUUUUGCCACGAGAUUCAAUUGUAGUUAUUCCUUCUGAUGUAGCCAUGGCCUAGGCCAGCGACGUCGUUGCCAAUAGUAGAAUGGGCUGUCGUCGGCCUAAACGCACAAUGUCAAAAACUGAAUUUUUUGAAUCUUAAAAGAAAUAACCAAAUAUAUUGAAACCAAAUUUCAUAAUAUUUAUCUCAAUAUUAGAAGAUAGCCACACAUUUGUUCUUAAACUCAAUAAUAUGGGAAUUAUUAAAUUCAAGGAAACCAAAGAUUUAAUCAUUAAUAAAAAAUAAAUUAUAUUCUCAAUGAUUCAACAUGAAGAGGUUGUGAUACUACUUGUAAGAAUAAUAAUACUUUGGUAAAAACUAUCACCUUAAUCUAGGAAUAUUCAUGUCGUGCCACCAAAAAUUAAUAACAGAAUAUGUGGAAGCAUACCUAAAUUUAUAAUAUACAAUUGCUCUCUAAAGUUGUGUGAUCUGUCUUUCAAAUCAACACAUUCUCCUAGAGAAUCCUUUAAACUUCUCUUUGCACUCUCUCUGAUUAGGGGUGGGCAAACGGUUCGGUUCGGUUCUAUGAGCAAAAACCGAAUGGUUUAAAAAGUAUUGAACCAAUUGGUUUUUGUUCGUUUCAGUUUAAAACCGAACUGAACCGAAAAAUCGAUUAGUUCAGUUCAAUUUAAUUAUAAAAUAUUUAAAGUGAAAUAUAUGAAUUUAAAAUCAAAUUUCAAUCACAAAAAAUCAAAACCCUAAAUUGGAAAUAAAAAAUUCACGAUUGCAUCUAUACUGUUGCCCUUGCCUCUCUCCCUCGCGCCUCUCCCUCGCGUCUCUCUCUCUCCUCACGGCCCAGCUCCUCAGUGGCGGCACCACCCCUCGGCAGUAUCUUCCCCCUCUGCGUGUGCAUGGCGCAGUUCGGCUCAUCCCCUCUCGAUAUCUUCCUCGCGUCUCUCCCUCGCCUCACACCAUGGUCAGCGCCUAGCACAGCCCCUCCCCUCAAGCACAGUGACGUCGUCGUUAACCCUCGCACACUGUCAUCUUGGUUGCUACAGCUGCAGCCUGUGGGUGUCUUUUUUUCCUUUUAAAUUUUUGCCAUGGCCCGUCCGUUUUUUUGUUCUUAAUAACUUGAGUUUUUGGGUCCAUGGUAAUGGCUGCCUCAAAUCUCAAUCAAUUUCAAAUCAUUUUCGUUUUAUUUUAUUCGGUUUGGGUCUCAUAACAUCAGAGUACUCAUUGCAAGUUAGGAGCUGGCUAAGUUAAAGCAUCUGUAAGGUACAUAUGCUGCUUCAGCUAACCCCCAACCUUGCAUUUGCAUUGCUUUUUCUCUGUAAGUCAGGACACGUGUGCUAUUUGCUUUGGGUGUGUAAGUUACAGAUGUUGUAAUAUAGCAACAUCCUGCAAGUUAAUAUUUUAUGCAUGCUCUUAACUUUUCUUGUUAUUUUAAAAUCAUCAAAACGGAAAUGUUGUUACUGCAGUUAUAGAAGUUAAAAUAAACUUAUAAUUAAACAAAAAUCACUACUAGAAAAAUGGGCUUUACUGACACCAAUUUAGUGUCAGUAAUUACUUUUACUGACACUUGUUAAUUGUGUCAGUAAUGCUCAAGCCAGAACACACUGACACUAAUUUUUGGUGUCAGUGAUUUUUGCGUCAGUAUUUUGUGUCACUAUAGUAUCACCACAAUAGUGAUACUAUGAUGUUAGUAUCAGUUGAUACUAUUUCUAUGUCAGUAUUUUGUGUCACUAGAGAGUCACAAGGAUAGUGACUCAAUCGUGUUAGCAUUUAAUGAUACUAUUUACAUGUCACUGAUUUAUGUGACUACAGUAUCAGGAAUCCACUGACUUAGUAACAUAAAAAAUUCUUAUCGUCAUUUAAAUAAUUAGUGUCAGUAUUAACGGUGCUAUACCGGUUGUGUUUUAUUUUUUCUAAUCACAUUAUUCAUGUUUAUUUUACAAUUAAAAUAAACCCAAAAUAUAUUAAACAUACCAAAUCUUGUAAUGCAAUUCACAUAAUACACAUUUCAAAUACAUCAGUUAAAUUAAAAUAGUUCAAAUACAUCAUUGUUUGGGGGUAAAAAACAAGUUCAAGUACUAAAUUAAGCUUUGAACAAGUAGUAUACACGAUAAAGUACUAAAUUAAUUUUGGAAAAUUUAGCCAAGAAGAAAAAAUAGAAAACAAUGUCACUGAUUUUGGAGUCACUGAUUUUGGAGUCCGCAUAUGCCUUCAUUUUUUUUCCACCUACAAGUAUAUAAAAUCAAUUAGCACACCACAAAAAAUAAGUCACAUAUUUGUUUUAAGGAAAAAUAAUCAUAAAUUACUUGUAUGUUACCUCGCGAUUGUAGGCUAUAAUUAACUUGGCAACGUAUGUAGCCCACUGAUCACGAAGUCGCGAGAGGUCCUUGACAGUGUAUUCCUCAACUCCCUUGAACUUUAAUUUUAAAACAACAAGUUAUUCACCGAAAAUCCUUGACUAAACUACUUAAUUAUCAUUCAUUUAAAUAUAUUUGUGUGUUAACAAUUAAAGCCAACAAAUAAACUCCAACAAUGUUACUGUUUUAUCCAAAAUUAUAUAGGUAAAUACUGAACAUCCUGAUCAUGGUAAUUCCAAAAAAAAAAAAACAACUUGUGAACCCCAACAGCAACAAUAUUUGAUAGCCGAAGCAACUUGUGAACCCCAACAGUACGCAAUUUAAUACAAAUAUGGAUGUAGAUACAAAACCUUAAUUAGGGUGACAACUUAUCCUCAUCAAAGUAAAGUACAAGCAACGACACCAUAGCACAUCCCCACUAACAACUACUUUGCAAUCCAAACAAUUGUUUUGUGUUGGGAUAUGCAGUACAUUGUGUAUAUCCCAAAUCCUAAUUCAUGUCUAUAUGGAUAUUCAUAUAAUCUAUUCAACAGUAUGCAACAUAGUCACCAUUAUAAGUACCCUCACAGUUUAUAAAAUGCAUACAAUACGCAAUAAAAAGAUAACUGUAAAGAAGCACACAUGUGUUUGAGCUGAUUCAUUUCACAAUAAAUUAAAAAAAUAUGAUGCAGUAUUGUAAAAAUCAUUUUCAACACUUACAUUAUUUUUCAGAACGUUCACAUUUGUGAUGAUAUCUUGCAUGUAUUUCAUCACAUAGUAACCACAUUCAAAGCUGCUCGGCUGCCUCGGACACUAUAAGAUCAAAAUUACAUUAAUUUUUUUACUGUACGUUAACAAUAAUUAGUUAGGUUUGUCUGAUUUUUACCUUGACAGGUAUCCAUUGAACAUUGGCCUUUGUAUCAGAAUUUAAACUCUGAUGUAUUCGAAUCCCCCUACAAUUAAAAGACAUAGCUAACGUUAGUAAAUAAUUAGCAUAAGACAUAAAAAUAAAAUAACAUGAUCAAAGAUACAAAUAACAAACUUAACUGAUUGACAAUCUGCUUUAGCUCUUCAUCAGGACCACCUUCCAAAGGAUCAAGGUAAUAAGUUGUACGUCUCACCAUAUCAAUUGCCAAUAACACCCAGUGGGCACUAAACAAAGUAAAUAUUAUUCUCACACAUGAAUUACAAGUAAAAGUUUUUAACUUCGUGAUUAAUCUACAAAUUAAAUAAUAUAACUAGCAAAUGAAAAAGGUUAUACCCAGGGUUAUGCGGGAAUACGAUGACUUGUCCCAAUUCUGCCAAGCCUAACAAUUUUGAAAUGUAUUGAGUCCUGUCUUUGAAGCUGGCCCUUGGAUAUAACUUCUCAAAAAGCCCAAACUGAACUGGUUUAGUACUUCUAUUGCUCUCCAUCUCCUCAUACAGGUGUCUAAGAGGAAACAAAUAUAUAUAACGAAGUAAGUUUGAAUAUAAGAAACAAAAUAAUAGGGCCAAGCUUACUAAAACAUAAGUUAUGAUUUACCGUACUUGAUCCAUAUGUUAAUGAUGCAGUUUGAGACCUCUUUAAACUCGAUGAUUUCAGCACAAAUCAUUUUGUCCAAGUGUGUUUCCCAAAUUUCACCAAAGAUUGCUGUGUCAUGCCUAAUUCUGAUCAACCGAGGUAAAGAAUUCUCGAUGAACAUGGUAAACAUGUUCAUAUAUUCACUCCUGUCAUUCUUUCUUGAUCGUGCUGCUGCUCGUGUAUUCUUCACACGUACAUUGAGGUCUUUUGCUGCUGGUCUGAUGACUCGGGGUUCUUUUUUGGCUACUUCUGCUGGUCUGAUGACUCGGGGUUCUGUUUUGGCUACUUCUGCUGGUCUGAUGACUCUGGGUUCUUUUUUGGCUACUUCUGCUGGUCUGAUGACUAGUGGUUCUUUUUUGGGUACUUCUGCUGGUCUAAUGACUCUAGGUUCUUUUUUGGCUACUUCUGCUGGUCUGAUGACUGGUGGUUCUUUGUUGGGUACUUUGUCAUGACAAGAGAACUGCCUAUCUAGUACUUUAGGAGUUAGUCUAGGAGAUCUUCUGGGUGUGGGCUUUGAAGUAAUUUCACACUCUACUUUUUCGGGGGUUUGUUGAAGAGUUGCUUGGGAAAUUGUGGUGGGACUGUCCUUGAUUUUACUCUUCACAGAUUUUGGAGUCGACUUACCCGAUGGGAAAUCAGCCUAUGCAAUAAUCAAAAUACAUACCAUUAGUAGUAAUACAUGCAUAUACAAAUGGAAAUAAAAUAAUGACAUGUAACAGGCCAUAUACCUUUCUUUUUCUAAGAGUUUCAGGGGAUUGUUGAUCAUUGUCAAUCUGAACACCAGUGGAAGUUUUGGGCUUAGGAAAGUUAGAACUUCCAACUUCAGUAUUGCUGUACGCAUUUAACCUUGCAUUCAUGCGUUCUAAUUGAGCAGACAUGAAUUGGAAACUCUCUUGAUACAUCUUUCUUUCUCUUGCUAACUCAAUGGCAUCAGGGACAUGAAAGUACAUAGAUGGGGUGACGAAUUGCCCCACUCCUUACACCCUGCUUCCAUUUGGCUGCUUCUGAAGAGCUUCACCUAGAAUGUCAUGUGACCCUUGUGAUUGGAAUGUUCCUUGUUCAACCUGACUCUUCAGCUCAUUCUACAAAAAAAAAAUAUUGUAAAUCCGCAAUUACGAGUACAAGACAUCAGCUAAACUAAACUAAUAUCCUUCUUGAAUCUUUAAAAAUCAGCAAAUCCAUAUACAGUUCAAAUUGAAACUACAGAAAAUAUUACAAGACAACACCUCACACAAGUUUUAACUUUUUUAUAUGCGAAGAAAUAAGUUCUGAUGAAAUCUUACUGAGUUUCUGUCAAUUGUAAAUGUUGCCAUACAAUUAUUACAAAAAACAGUAUAUAUGUACGUAAAUAUCUACCCACACACACACAUAUUAUAAAGAAAAUUCAUAAGAAUUAAUUAUACAAGUGACUUACUAUUUUCUCAGCAAUUGGCGUGACAUCAGAAGCAUAUUUGCCAUCUUGGUCUGCUCAUGCCAUUAACCAAGCUUCACUGCGAUCAAUCUCCCGCUCAUAAACUCCACUCUCCUUUUUCUGUUACAAGGUGACAUAAAACAUAAAUAAUUGAUUCUAUUAUAUUAUACGUACUAGAUUACCUAUGUUACUGUAAUUACUCCAUAUUACCACACUUACUUUUCUAUACAACAUGCCACCAUAUCCUGUGCUACCCAAGCGAUGGUUGUAGACAUUCUUUGCUCUUUUGUCUUUUGCCUUCUUACUUUUUUCCUGCACAAACAGUUUAUAUGAAGAACAAAAAGUUACCACUGAUUAUUAGUAACUACCAACAAUUAAAUCAGGUAAUAUUAACAAACAACACACUUGAAAUUGUUCAGACAAAACUUUGUCAACAAAAAGUUUCCAAUCUUCUUUUUUAAUGCCUGGAUAUUCAAUAAGAGGCAACCUUAGUGACUUUCGAUUGUCCUUGUUAGGAAGAACGAAUUCAGUUGCCAGUUCACAUCGAAAGUUUCUUGAUGCAACCCUCAUCCACUUUAAUACUUGGCUUUUGCAUUUCAAGCUCAAUUUGAAUUUUUUCUGUAAACCAAUAACAUGGAUUAGAAACAACUUUAAACAAAUCUGGAAGUUAUAUAAAAUCUUUAAACAUACUAUGAAACAAGAAAACAAAACCUGAAAAUGAACCCACAAAGUUUCUUUCAUCUCCAGUGGCACACGCCUCCAAUCAUCAAGUAAAAUUGAAAUUGUUUCACGUACAAUGACUCCAAUGUAACUCCUAAGAUCAUUUCUUCCCUUUCCAACUGGAACACCAUAAGAAUUGUACUCAAUUGCAGCUUCAUGACUAACUUCUUGUUUUUACAAACCUUUUUUUUUUUUCUUCUCCUUGGUCUUCCGUCCAGCUCCGGAAGAGUGAACUCAACAUCAUCAGCCAUCUCCUACAAUCCUGAAAAUGAUUAAAAUAAAUUAGUAUAUCAUUUAGAUUAAUAAGUUAAUACAAGAGCAAUAGCAUAUAAUGAAAUAAAUAAAUCACUUACUGGAAAACUGUGAAAAUUGGUGCUGGAAACUAACUACAAUAAUGCAUUCACUGAUUUUCUAAAUCAAUAUCUAUUGGAAUAGCAUCACAAUCUUUUCUGUCAUAAAUUCCUUCAUCAUCUUUCUCAUCCAACUCACAUACUGGAAGUUUGUUAGAUAAUGGAGAAAAUACAUCCACGUCUUCACAUCUUUCCCCAUUUAACUUAUAAGCUUUGUCGGUCACUGAACAAACUAUUGAUUUAUUAUUAUCUAGCUGGUCCUUUACAUAAAAUACUUGCUUUGCAUGACAAGCCAGAAUAAAGCAAUCAGAUUUAUAGCCAAUCCGAUUUAAAUCAACUACAGUGAAACCUAAAUUGUCAGUGCAAACCCCUCUAUCAUCUACCCAAUCACACUUAAAAAGUGUUUUUUUAACUAUUAGAUAAUCAAGCUGCCAUAUCUCAUCAAUGACUCCAUAAAAUGUCAUGUCUCCAAAAUGAGGACUUUUAUCUUUUGAGCUUGAAAUCUGUAGAGUGUUAGCAACAACCCUAACACCACUAUUUUGGGUCACACAAUUACAGUCCCGGUCCCUCGUUGUAAAAUUGAAGCGAUUUAUCUCGUAGCCAGAGAAGGUCACCACGCUUGAGCGUGGUUUGUUUGCCAACCAGCACACUAUUUUGUCAAUCGGCACAUUAUUUGCUUUAUCAUGUGCCACCUAUAAAUUAAAUUAACAAGUACAGUAAUUAGUAACAUGUAGAAAAAUCUUGUUAAGUUUAUAUCCUAUAUUGUAUUUUAGUUAAGUAAUUCUAACCUUUGCUUGUAACCAACCAGAAAAUGUACGUAUGUGUUCAUUUUGCAACCACAUAUUUGUUUUUGCCUUAUAGGGGUUUCUUGAUGCCAAAUAAUGCAUAUGCUCCCUACAGUGAGACAUAUUAAGAUUUAAAAACUAGUAUAUUAAUCUAAUAAUACAAUAGUAAUAUUUUUUUGGAAAAAUUAACAACUUACUCGAUAUAUAUUUGGAUUUCAGGGGUGUUCAUUAGAACACACCGGUGUGCUUGUGCCAACAAAGGAUCAUCAACCACCUUUAUGUUUGCACCUCCCAAAGGCUUUUCGAUAGAUAAAUCAGUUGGACAACCAGUAGGCAGCCCAAUAACAUCACAAUUUGAGAGGUACUUAGCACAAAAUGCAAGUGCUUCUUCUGCAAUAUAACUUUCUACAAUACAACCCUCAAGGCGGUAGCGAUUACGAACAUAAUCCUUGAGAGUUUUCAUUUGUCUCUCAAAAGGAUACAUCCAUCGAAGAUAAACAUAACCUAACUUGUUCAACUAAGUGGAUUGUUAAAUGGAUCAUUAUGUCAAAAAAGCUAGGUGGGAAGUACUGCUGCAGUAAGCAUAAAGUGAUUACAAGUUCCUCUUGCAAUUGGUCAAGAGUAUUGGGAUCUACCACUUUACAGCACAAUGUAUUAAAAAAGAAGCACAUCCUGAUUAUGGCCCUUCUCACAUUUAUAGGCAAACAGUUUCGAAUGGCUAGUGGUAGAAAUUGUUGCAUCAAAGUAUGACAGUCAUGGGACUUAAGGCCUUGAAGCCGACAAUCAUCUAUUGAAACAAGGUUUUGGACAUUGGAAGAAUACCCAUUAGGGACUUUCACACUCAGCAAGGUUUCACAAAACUGUUUUUUUUCUUUUUUACUCAAAGUAUAAGGAGCCGGAGGUAGGACUUUGUGUUUUUUGUUUGAUUCAUCAGGAACUAGUUUUCCCCUGAUCUUCAAAGACUCAAGAUCUUUUCUAGCAUUAAUCCCAUCUUUUGUUUUGCCUGGUUGAUGAAGUAAUGUGCCAUAUAUGUUCUCGCACACAUUUUUUUUAAUGUGCAUCACAUCUAAUUGAUGGCGAACUAAUAAAUGCUUCCAAUAAUCUAACUAAAAAAAGAUUGACUUUUUUUUGUACAAUUUUUUAGUUAUGUUCUCAUCACCAUCACCGCCACCACCGCCAUCAUGUUUCCGCUUUUUUGCCUUCUUUUUCCCGAACUUAAUAUCUAUAUCUUCCACCAUAUUAAAGAUUUCCUCACCAGUCAAAGUUUUAGGAGGCUCAUUCCACUCUUGCUUCCCAUUAAAAACCUUUUUCAGUUUCUGAAAUAGGUGACCGAGUGGUAGAAAGCGGCGAUGGCCCAUAUAUGAUAUUUUCCUACUAUGUGGCAGCCAACAUGCACAAGUGUCUAUCCCACAAAUUGGGCAAGCAUAAUAGCCCUUAACAGUACAACCAGAGAGGUUUCCGUAUGCUGGAAAGUCACUGAUUGUCCACAUCAAGACAGCCCGUAAAUUAAAGGUUUCUUUUCUAUAAGAAUCAUAAACAUCAAUACCUACAUCACAUAGAGUUUUUAAGUCCUCAAUCAAAGGUGCUAGGUAUACAUCUAGAUCAUUUCCAGCUUGUUUAGGGUCAGAUAUCAAAAGUGACAACAUCAAAAACUUUCUCUUCAUACACAACCAUGGAGGAAGAUUAUAUGUUAUCAAUAUAACAGGCCAACAACUAUAAGUAGUGCUAAGUGUACUAUGUGGGUUAACCCCAUCAGUUGAGAGAGCUAACGGAGAUUUCUAGGUUCUUGUGCAAAUUUUGGCCAUUUAUUGUCAAUUAGUUGCCAGGCUGGUGAGUCUGCUGGGUGGCGAAGUUUGCCAUCUCUAAUUCUUUUAUUAGCAUGCCAUGUUAAAUUUUGAGCUGUUUGUGGUGAUUGAAACAAUCUUUUCAACCUAGGAAUAUGUGGAAAAUACCAUAAUACCUUUUUAGGAACCCCUUUCCUAAAUUUUGUUGAGCUAUCUUUUUUUAUUUGAUACCUAGAUGCUCCACAAUUUGGGCAUUCAGCAAGAUCAGCAAAUUCAUUCCUAUACAAAAUGCAGUCAUUUGGACAUGCAUGUAUUUUUUCAUACUCUAAGCCUAACACUUUCAUUGUUUUCUUAACCUCGUACAUUGACAUAGGUAGAGUAUUAUUAUUUGGUAAAAUAUCAGCAAGGACUUCUAACAAAGCAGAAAACCCUUUAUCGGACCACCCAUAGUUCCCUUUCACAUUGUAAAGUCUCAUUAAACUAGAUAACUUUGAAUGUUUUGCACCUGGGUACAAAGGCUUUUCAGCAUCUUCAAGCAUAUCCUUAAAAGAACUAGGAUCUCUAUCACAAUGCUCGUAAGCAUCUUCGACCAUGUCAAUUAUAUUAUUGUAAUCAUGACAUCUAAAUCUUUGACUAUGUGAAUGGUCUUCACAGUUUGUAAAUGUACAUUUAGAGUCAGUUUCACCAUGCCAAGUCCAAACAAUAUAUCUUGGGAGAAAACCUUUUUCAAAUAAAUGAUCCUUCACCUGUUGAGGAGUAUGAAACUCCAUAUUACAACAAAAGGUGCAAGGACAUCUAAUUGACAUUCGAUUUUCAGCAUUCAAAAUGGCAAAAUCUAAGAAAUCAGUAACUCCAGAACGAUACUCUACAUACAAUCUAUCACAAGUUAUCCAACUUCUCUCCAUUUCAAAUACUUUACAUGUUCACAUAUGUAAUGUCAGUUUAAGUUUAAUUAAAUUGCAUGAUUAAUUUAAAGUUCAAUGUUAUUAUGAUUAUAGUUGUAAUAAAAAACUUAUAAUUCUGGAAAAUCAUUAAUAGCCCCUAUAAAUCAUUAAUUAUAAUAAUAAUUUAGGCAAAAUCCUGAAAUUGAAACAAAAGAAGUUUUGAAACUUAAAUAGGAGAUUAAUAGGUAAGAUGGGUGCUAAUGGCUUUUUAAGUAGUCGAACUAAUUCAUAAGUCAAGUAACUAACAAAAGUUAAGAGUUCAAAUAAAUAAUGUCUUCAUACCACUUUGCAAGCCAUUUUUUAAGAUUCUAUAAAUCAUUUUUUAACUUCAAAUACAACAUGCAGAACUACUUUAAAACAAGCAUUUCUUUAUUGAAUCAAACACAAAUCAUCAACUUUAUACAAUCUCAAAAUAUUCACAACCACGAACUUAAUUAAUUCAUAUCAUAGUCAUUGUCUCUAUUACAAAUCGUCCAACCAAAACAGAAUAAAUAAACAAGUAGGAUUAUAUAACAAAAUUUUCCUCUCUUUACAUGAAACAGAGAUGUAAAUAGUUUGUAACCACUAAAUACACAGUCAUUCAGCCAAUAUAACACCCAAACAAUCAUCUCCUAAUCACAAAGGCAAAAGCUAAAAUGAAAUUUCAUAUUUUAGUACAUUCAAAAUCAACUAACUUAUUGCUCAAAGUUAAGAAACGGAGCUAACAGUUUAUUUUAGAAACUAAAAAAAAUGCACAUUCUUAGUUUUAAAUAACAAUGACAGUAAAUCACAUGCACAAAAGUUUGAAACUGACCUCAAAUGUGGCAAAAAAAACAGAGUCGCAGCAGCAAGUGUUUUGAGUUUAAGAAAUGCACCACUUAAAAUGCCUGUAUUUUUGGACUGCAUGUGAGUGAAGAUAUAGAAAAAUAAGAACAAAAAUUUCAAGUUACGAAUAAAUAAAAGAAAACAAAAAGAUUUGGAAAACAAAACCCACCAGGGUUGCACUACUGUUCAAUUUAUGAAUAUCUAAAACAACCCAAAAAUAAAAAUUCAAAAAUAUUAUUCAUAAGCCAAAUUAAAACAAACCCAAUAAUUAAAUUGCCCAAAAAAAAAAAAAUAUUCUGCCAUUACCAGCUGAUAACCUCCUCUACAGUUCUUUCUCUGGACUUGACUUGUCAGGGAGAAUGAGAUUACCUGAAUACCGAACCGAUGGUGCCACUUCACCCCUUGUCGAUGGCUUUUACUUGCUUGCCUAGUAUAGGCACUGGAUGGUUUAGUUGGAGAAAAACCCCUUCGAUAACAAGCGAUUAGGGUUUUGGUUUGUGUUUCAAUUUGGGGAAAAUGGAAAAAUGAAACAGAGUUUUAGCUUUUCAUUAUCUAUCUAAAUUAAUUGAAUUUAAUUUGUAAAUGGAUAGUGCAAAACAGAAGAGAUCGAGAAGAGAAAAACGAAAGCGAAAGUGAACAAUGAAAGCAAGAUAGAGACAGUCGAUAUAGUCUAGAUGGGGAAAAGUCAAGUGUGUUUUAUGUUGUUCUUAUUUAUAUUUUCAUUUUUUAAUAAUUUAAAUAUUAUUAUGACUUUGACUCAUCGAUAUUUGAUGGUCUGUGCUCCAAACAUUAAAGCUUUAAAUCUUAGAGCUCUCAGGUUCGAGUUGGAGCUAAAACAAAAUUUUUAUGAAUUUUUUUUUAUCACUGAUACUUUAGUGUUAGUGAUUUUUGAUAUUUAGUUUACUGACACCCUAGUAUCAUUAAUCUCUGAUUUCUAUUUGUCAAAAGCGGAAAAUGGUGCAUAUGUACAUAAGUACUGACACUUUUUGUAAAGUGUCAGUAACGAAGUGCAGUAAAGCCCAUUUUUCUAGUAGUGAAUGUUGAAUAUUUGCUAAGAUGAAUAUUGUGAUUAAACAGAAAUGUUGUUACCAAACCGAAUCGAACCAAACCGAACCGAAUUUAGGAACCGAACCAAAAUUUCGGUUCGGUUUGGUUCGGUUCCUAAAUUCGGUCCGAAUUCGGUUCAUCUUCUAAAAAACCAAUUGGUUUUGGUUUGGUUCGGUUCAGUUCAGGUCCCGAACCGAACUGAACCGACUAUUGCCCACCCCUAUCUCUGAUGAUGGGAUGUCAUUUGAGAAUAGAACGAUACAUAUGACUUGGGGAUCAUAACCAUUUAUAUAGGUAACUUUUCCUGUUGUCUUUAGGUAUUCCUAUUUCAGUCCAUCAUAAAAAUAAAAAUUACCCUUAAGUCUCUACACAUUAAAAGACCACACCCUAUUAGAUACAUUAAAAUUUAAUUUACUAAUAUCCUUAAUAAAUCAUUUUUAAUUGGGUUAACCUUAUAUUAUAAUCCACAAUACAUAAUUAUUCACAUAUAAGUCUAACAUUGGAUUAAGAAUCCAAUAAUACUGGAUUAAAUAUCUAACAAUAAGUUCUAUGAAUAUUGUGGUAUAACCUGUUAUGCUGUGGUCAUAGUAUUUCUAAUGGCUAUAUCAUGUAAAAUACUGAAUAGACCAUGUAAGAAUCUUAAAAAUUGCGUAUUUAUGCUUGGAAUCUUUUGAUGAUAUAUAACAGUGCUUAUAUUGGAUUAGUAUCUUUCUUUCUUGAAAUAGAAUUUUUGCAUACCUAUCUUGUUUUUAAUGAGAUUUCAA
rnacentral:lncRNA from 1 species